CGUGUUCCCCUUUUCGGAGAUAAGGUUGAAGAAUAGCCUGAGCAUCGGGAUGAUCCCACAUCAGCGUCUUCCACUUUUCCUCUUCUUCCACCCAGAUAUACGGAAGCUCCUCAAUUUCACACAAUCGCAGUUGCAAAGGAGUCGGCUUCAGUUCUGGGCAUCUGGGAGGGGGGCCAAUGUUUUCAUGGAAUCGCAGCUUAUUGGGGCUUCGUAUAUGCUCUUCAGCUGGUGUAGAUCGCGUAGCUCCAAAUACUCUAGCUUUGGGAGAGAAAUUGAAGAAGGCUGGAAGGAUGAAGGAGUGUUGUUUACAGAAGUCGUUAUGCUUCCUUCUUGGCCUUGUCCCGCUCCGCUUAUCAACUCCACCAUUCGUUUGCAGUGUCUGACCUCGAUACUUUGAAGAUUUCGAAGAUGGAGCAGCCACUCAUACGUAAGCAGCUUUCUCAUGUUAUUGCAAUGGCUUACCUCAAGAGAUUCGAGAGAAAUCUGUUCAUCCGGCGAGUAUGGGGGAGGACCUCCGAUUAUCUCCUCCAUCUUCUCACAAUCAAAUGCUGUGAUUCUUCUUAGAUUAGGGAAGUGGGGCAUCCACUCGGAUUCCACCGCUCUCUUCAUCUUGUGACAGCGUGUAAUGCUAAUCUGUUCCAGACUAGGGAAAAAUGGGAGCGGAUGUGGUGGUGGGGAUGUAACUGCUGCUAUUAUCCCCACCGUCUCCUCACAUUCCCAUAUUUCAAUCUCUCGUAGAUGUGGAAGGUCGAAUUUAGACCCAUGCCCAAAGAGAUACUUCAGUUUCGGACAAUCCCGUAUUUUCAAAACCCUAAGGCUCGAGAAGAGGAGAGGCGCAAGGGCUGGGGCAAAGAUGUCGAUUACUUCUUUGUCUUCUCCUCCACAGAGCACCCCUAAGUUUUUUGAGUUGUAUAUAUCUAGCUCCUCAAGGUAUUCAAGCGGACCUAUGCUAGACAAAUUUGUUAUACCGUUGCAAAAAAUCGUCAUUUCCUGCACGUCUUGGGGAAUCAAAAUAAAAAUGCCGGUGCAUUCCCCUCCCACACUCACAAUAGCAUGAUCCCACCCCCAAAUGUUGACUUCCCUCUCCGGAUUCUCAAUUUGAGUAAAAUUAAAUUCGUCCUCCUCAUGAUCUGUUUUGUCCAUAUAAUAACAGAGAUAAUAAUAGCAGCGAGGGUUCCUCUGUUCAAUAUCCCUCACACACUUAUUGAAAUCAUUCGCAUCUUCAAAAGAGCAUUUGAGUGUCUCCAGUGCCCUCAAUUUUGUCAUGUCUUGUCCAUCUAGAAAAUAAACUUUAAGAUGCUGCAAGUUUAGCAAACCCCCCAUUACUCUUUUAGGUAAUUCAACGGUCAAUGAAAACGUAGGUCAAGGUAUCUCAAGUUCACCAACAUUUCCAGACCCUCGGGCACUUCUUUAAGCUCAGAACAGCCACCAACGUCCAACUUUCUUAAAGAUGUGAGCUUCCCUAAAUAAGGAAUAUGGCACAAUCCCUGACACCCUCUAAGCAAUAGUGCUCUCAAGUUUACCAAAUCUGAGAUGGAAUUUNNNNNNNNNNNNNNNNNNNNNNNNNNNNNNNNNNNNNNNNNNNNNNNNNNNNNNNNNNNNNNNNNNNNNNNNNNNNNNNNNNNNNNNNNNNNNNNNNNNNNNNNNNNNNNNNNNNNNNNNNNNNNNNNNNNNNNNNNNNNNNNNNNNNNNNNNNNNNNNNNNNNNNNNNNNNNNNNNNNNNNNNNNNNNNNNNNNNNNNNNNNNNNNNNNNNNNNNNNNNNNNNNNNNNNNNNNNNNNNNNNNNNNNNNNNNNNNNNNNNNNNNNNNNNNNNNNNNNNNNNNNNNNNNNNNNNNNNNNNNNNNNNNNNNNNNNNNNNNNNNNNNNNNNNNNNNNNNNNNNNNNNNNNNNNNNNNNNNNNNNNNNNNNNNNNNNNNNNNNNNNNNNNNNNNNNNNNNNNNNNNNNNNNNNNNNNNNNNNNNNNNNNNNNNNNNNNNNNNNNNNNNNNNNNNNNNNNNNNNNNNNNNNNNNNNNNNNNNNNNNNNGACAAGAAGCACUGUUGCACAUCAGGAUUACCAAGGCGAUCAUAACUGAAUUUUAGAUUCAUUAAGACCUUCUUCUCCAUAUCUGUUUGCCCCUUACUUGAUUCUUCCAAUUUAACCAAGGAAUCCCUCCAUUCAAACACAUCAGUCACUCCUCGCAUGCUUCUUGCCAUCGUGAUGACUCCAAUUGGCAAUCCUGCACAUUCUUUAACAAUGGACUUCACAAUUGCUUCAAUUUCCAAAUUAAGUGGCAUUUCAGGUCCAAGCUCCUCCAAAAACAAACUCUCGGCCUCUUUUUGAGAUAGAGGCUCGAUUUUUAUGUUUUUUUGACAUUGCAUCCGGUGGCACACAUCAAAGGAUCGAGUGGUUAAGACGAACUUAAAUCCAUGUGCUCUAACAGGGAUUCCCACCUCUUCAAGAUCAAGAUGUUCCCACACAUCAUCAAGAAUCAAUACCCAAUUCUUCUUUGUUUCUAAAUGCUUCGACAACAUCGCUGCUCGUUUCUUCUCAUCCUCAUCCUCCGUAAUACCACAUUUUAAUGCCUUCCCAAUAUCACUCUGCAAUUUAUAAAUGCUGAAAUCUUUGGACACAGUGAUCAAACCCACACCAUCGAAGGUUGCAUCUUCGAGAAGUCUAUUAUGUAUGUGCAUCAUAAUAGUUGUCUUCCCAACACCACCCAUUCCAUAAAUACCCAAUUUGCACCCAUGAUUCUUCGUAAGAUGGUCCCAAAUCAACUUAAUGUUCCUUUGAAUCGCUUUACCUGUUAACUCUCGUUCCAAAAAUUUGACUCCUUGGGCAUCCCUCUCUUCUAUGAGCAGUGGUUGUGGAAGCGUUUUUCCUAUGAGUUCUUCCACUUCUCUCGUCAAUGUCUCCACCUGUUGCUUUGGUGGCAAAGUUUCUGCAUUGGCUUGGCCAAUUAUUUGGAAAUUGUUUCUUGCUCUUUCUGUCUCUUUCAGCCAUCUCUUAACCAAUAUCCUCGGCUUCUUCCGAACUGAGGAAGCAGCAGACUCUAUGUCCAUCUGCUCCUUUAUGACAGCGUCUUUGUCGUCGAGUUCUUCCACUUUUCUUUUCAGGUUUCUUAUCUCUUCAUCGUUGGCAUAGAUGCUCCGUACGUCCAUGACUGGAGAACCCCUGUUCAUAUCUAAUUUAUAAAAAAAACAUAUGUUAGAUUUCGAUAAAAUAAUUUGGGUAUAUUUAAGAAUCUAGUGGAACCAUAGUAACAAUGAAGAUCAAUCCAAACGCACCUUGUGAUGACGAUGGGCCUGUUGUUUUUGUUGCCGCCCCUGGAACUUGCGAAUCAAUCAUUAUUGCCUCAAUAUUUCGAGAGUCGAUUGUAUGCUGUGAUGCAAUUGAGGGAUCUAUGUCCAUUGGAGUUUGCAAUUGAGAGUGCCGAUUGCAAUCCUGCAAGCAAUUUGAAUUACCUCCAGUAGGUAGUUGAUCAUACUGGAAUGAUGAUGCCCCUGUUGGAGUCUGCUGGUCAUUCAUUUGUAUUUGAGAUUGAAUGGAACAUUGUCGUUGACAGAGCAAACUGAGAGGAUUCGGUCCUUCUUCCGUACUUUCACCUGUGUGUUGUUCAUCAAAGUUAGGAUAUGGUUGAUUGGAACACAGAAGAAUGCUUGCUGUAGUUAGUUUACUGGAUCAGUGGAUCCAGAGGACACGUGCAACACAUUGGAUGUAUGUAUUGUUAUUAAGGAAUAAAUCAUGAACUCUCUUCACAUCUGAAAAGUUGCGUGGGAAAAGCAUGUUUAUCGGGGAUAUUUUAAGGUCAUCACUUUGGUUAAAAAAUCCGACGUGUUUGCAUUGAAAAAUAUAAUAGAUGUUUUUCUCCCCGCCUAGAUGAAUGUAUAGAAACUUCACAUGAACAUACCAUGGCGAUUUUGUGCCAGUGACGGCAUUGUUGAACUCUGAGGAAACUGACGCUCUGCUUGUGAUUGUUGGCCAGAGUUUAGCCCAUUGAUAUCCUGUUGGUUGAAGUUUGAAACGUCGGUCGGCCACUGCGGAGCAGCAUUUGAAACUUGUGAUGAUGGUAGGAUACGUAAAUCCAUAUUCCUUAGAGAUGUUGAUGAUAGUGCAGUUGGAUUCUGCAGCACAUUCCUUGUCUCGGAUUGAUGUGGAGCAUUUUGAUGUUGAGGGGGCACCAAAACUGGUUGCACUAAAAAAGUCGAGCGUAAAAUAAUUCAACGAUGGGACUUUUAAAUCAAGUCAUGGGUACAGGUAAAACGAAUGUCUAGAACUUGAUUAAAAAAAAUAUUUACAGCGAAAAUCAACAUAUGCUCAUAAGUAAAUAUUUUGAUGAAAUAAAUCGUGGGGUAAAAAGAUAAUGACAUUGGACAUAUAGAAUAUGUGAUGAUACAACUGUAAAUUGGAAUCGAUACGAUAUGGAAGCUGAUGAAUUUGAGUUAUUAUAAAGAGAGUUACUAAUACGAAAAAUAUAAUGAUUUUUCUUUUCUCCACGCCUGGAUGAAUGUAUAGAAACUUUACAUGGACAUACCAUGGCUAUUUUGCACCUGUGACGGCAUUGUUGAACUUUGAUGAAACUGACGCUCUGUUUGUGAUUGUUGGGCAGAGUUUAACACAAUGACAUCCUGUUGGCUGAAGUUUAACUGUUCCAUAUAUUCGAGGAAUGCUGGUGAGAAUAAAGGCCCUGUGGAAAAUUGACCAUUGGCUUCCCUGCUCUCUUCUUCAGCCUCCACCUCAGCUUGAAGUGGCACGUCACGUGAGUUUGGCUCCACGGAGGAUUGACCGUGGGCUUCUCUGCUCUGCUCUUGAGCCACCUCUCUGCUCUCUUCUUCAGCCACCUCAUCGAGUAACGACCGCAUUAGAAUUAAAUAUUUUGAAGAAAGUAAUGGUGUGAUAAAAAGUGAUAUCGGACAUAUAGAAUGUGCAAUGAUGCUCGGCAUGUUCUUGAUUGGAUAAUCCAUGUUGCUAUCUUGUUUAAAAAACCAUAUGUUAGAUUUCGAUAAAAUAAUAUGGAGAUAUUCAAAGAUCUAACAUAACCAUAGGAGCAAUGUAGAUUAAUCCAUACAAACCUUGUGAUGAUGAUGGCCCCGUUGUAUUUGUUGCCGCCUCUGGAACUUUCGAAUCAUUGAUUUGUGUCCCAGUAAUGUGAUUUGUACGCUGUGAUGCAAUUGAGGGAUCUACGUCCACUGGCGUUUGCAAUUGAGAGUCAUUGCAGUCCUGCAAGCAAUUUGAAUUACCUACAGCAGGUAAUGAAACAUACUGGAAUGAUAAUGCCCCGGCUGGAGUUUGCUGGUCAUUCAUUUGCAUUUCCUCGGGAUAAGGAGAUCGAUUGGAACACCGUGGCUGACCUGGCGAAUCAAGAAGAUACGAUUCUGAUUCUACUGCUGCUAAAGCCAUCGUUGAAUGUGACAAGCUUUCACCUGUGUUGUUUAUCAAAAUUAGGAUAUGGUUGAUUGGAACACGAGAAAAUGCGUACGGUAGUUUAUUGCAUCCAAUGGGUCCGAUCGGCACAUGCAACACAUUCAAUGCACUGUUGUUAAGGAAUAGGUGAUUGACUUUUUUCACAUUUGAAAAGUCCCGUAGGAAGAUCGUUUUUAUCAAAGAUGUUUAAAAGUCGCCACUUUGGUUAAAAAAACCCAACGUGUUUACAAUGAAAAAUACAAUAGAUGUUUUUUCUCCAUGCCUAGAUGCAUGGAUAGAAACUUCACAUGAACAUACCGUGGAUAUUUUGCGCCGGUGGCGGCAUUGCCAAAGUCUCACGAAAAUGAUGCUCUAGGUCAUAGUCUACGUUUUCCAAGUCGGUCGCCCACUCUGUUGUGAAUAAGUUUUCUAUAUCUUCCAAGCUUUGUGAUGACCGAGGAACAGCUGGAGACAGCAUGUCACGCGACUGUGGUUCCGUGGAAAAUUGACGGUCGGCUUCUCUGAUCUCUUCUUCAGCCACCUCAGCUUGACUCGGCAAGUCACGGGAAUUUGGUUCGAUGGAGGAUUGACCGUGGGCUUCUCUGCUCUGUCCUUCAGCCACCUCUCUGUUCUCUUCUUCAGCCACCUCAUCGAGUAACGACCGCAUUAGAGUUAUUAUGUGGUCCGGCACUUCCGUGCAAUUGGAAAUCCCUUCAAUUGGGGCUUUAAGCAAGUGACCUUUCACUCCCGUAAGGUCUCCAGAGAAUUCUACACUGCAGUAAUGACAACGCCAUUUGUUGUCCUCCAGUCUAUCGACAAAUUUCCAGGCUAUAUCAUCUUUGUUAUCAACCUGCAAGCAAAUAGAGCGCACCCCUGUCAUAUAUUAUCCCCAUUUUUUAAAUAUCUUCUUAGCACGCAUAGCAUUAUUCUCUCGCAAAUAAUGUAGCUACCACAAGCGCUAAAGACACCUGAUUCUGUGACAAUUCCAUUAGCGUGCUUAUGUGCUCCGGCACUUUUUUGCAAGGAGAAAUGCCUUUGUUUCGAUGUUUAAGAAAGUGACUUUUCACUCUUGUGACUUUUCCAGAGUAUUCAGUCUCGCAGUGAGGACAACGCCAUUUCUCGCCCUCCAGUCUAGUCACGAAUUUCCAGGCUAUGUCUUUAACUCGCGGCAUCUUGUCGUUUUGAUUAUCAACCUGCAGGCAAAGAGAGCACGCCCAAUUAUAUAACCUACCAAUCUUGUGUAUGUUUUCCUGAUGCGCAUAGCAUUAUUCUCAAGCAAAUAAUAGCAUCCACAAGUACUAAAGCAGGAAAGCCAAACUGCAUAUUAAUAUUCAACAGACCCAAGAAUAAUUUGCUUUUUUUUGAGACAAGAAAUACCCGAUCAACUCAAAAGACAACUUGACAAUUGCGGAUUACCUUCUCAAGAAGGUAAUGUGGGGAAUCAAAAUGUCGUUGGAUUUUGACCAAAUCGUUGCCGCAAAGCAAAAUCCAAAAUAGAUCCGGACAUUAACUUUUAAAACAAAAAUCCCAAAUUCCUAAGAAAUAGAGCUAAAAAAAUAUUGUCUAGUGUUCGGAAAUGGAGAUUUCUAGCGUAGCUCGACCCUUUCAACGGGCUGCAAUCCACUGAUGUCGAUCUUCCCCUCUCUCUUCUCGCCCCUUCUCUAUUUCUUGGUCUCUCUUCGAGAAGUCUAUUGCAUCUCACAGUUAAGUCCACCCACCUACAUUCAGGUCAUUUAACCCUUCAUUUCGCAUAGAAUCCAUCAGAUCUACUUGUCGAGUGCGCAUAUAUUUGAUCCAGGUAAAUAAGGAUGUUCAGUUGGAGAGUCUUUAUUUUAUUCUUACAAAAUGUAAAAUGGCAAAGAUGAGGACGAAGCAACAUACCAGUUAGGACAGAAAAAGCAGAUUCAGAUGCAUGCAGGUGGCAAAGAUGCAAUCAAGAAGUAGAACUAAGAAGCUGUUCUCGAGAUUCGAAAGCACUGGUCAGCAUCCAGGAAUCAAGCAACGAGUCCUUCUUUUGCUGAAGGCGGAGAUCCAAUUCCUAGAGUAACAAGGGCAUUGGCCUGCUGUUGGAGACAGGAAUGAACACCUUUUGGUGAAGAAUCAAGAGGAACUCUGCCAGAGUGACAACAGAACAGUUGCUAAGAAUGCCCAGGAAAUGUCUCCGUCUUUUUUUAAUUAUUUCAUUUUGCUUUUCUAUGUGAGAGAGGGAGAGAGAGACUCGGCAUUGGUCAAAGUCUUGCAUUAUGAUCAAAACACUGUUGAGAGGUACGGAUAUGCUCUAUUUGUGAAAUUUCUGUGGAUUCCUGUUGUCCAAAAGUUUUCUCUUUUUUUUAAUCAAACUCAAAGGCCUUUUUUUUUCCUUAUCGCAACCCAAAAGCUAGUUCAACUAGUAGAGUUUGUCAGCAUCUUUAGUCACAUGGAGGCCUCACGAAGAAUUCUUACGUGGCCAGUCAGAUAUUUGUUGUCACAUACUACCCCUUUUUAUAUCUUUUUCGUUUUCAUCCUACACUAUAACUAUUACUAAAAUAAAUAAAAAUGACUUUUUUCCCCUUCAAAGAUUUGAUUGAUUGUUUUUACUUCGCCUCUAGUAACUUUGCCUUUUCUAUUUAUUUUUCCUCCUUAGAUUCUACGAAAUGAUAUAUUUUUAGCAUUAUCCAAAUUAACCCCACACAUGAAAAUUUUGAACAUCCGAAUAUAUUAUCUAUUUGGUCUUAUUAUUUAGGACCAAUGAGCUAGCCUUUUUGCCAUUGACUUGCUAGUGGUAAGUGCUCUAAUCUUUCAGGUUCUCCAUCUAUCCAUGACUUCCAAGCAUUAAAAGAGGGGUGAUAGCGGUGCAAUUCUUUCUUUCUUCGUCUUCCUACAUUUUAACUCAAAGUGGGGCUGAGGUGAAUUCUUACAACAAAGGGUGAAAAGAGAACUUCCCAGCCUACGUUUUCAGAUAUGAUCCAACUACUAAGCAGAUCAAGUAUUCUAUACCCAAUGCACCGAUCCAAAAGAGCGAAGCAGCGUAUGUGGCAUAACAAAUAUAAUUGACAAUUUUAUGCUAUAUCAUAUUUGAAAUCUUUUCUAAACACAAACAGAUUAAAGAUGGUUUGGCUAAAAUUCUCUUUCCUUAGGAGGAUUUAUUUCGGGAAGAUCAAUCCAUGAUAAUAAAUUGUUUCAUUUCUAAGACAACAAGGAAGCAGACUCUGCUCAUCCCUUGGCUUCUCGGAUAUUUAGAUUCAUUGUUCUUCGACUAACCCAAAAUAUCGACCAGAUUUUUGUUCUUUUUCAGUGAAAGAGUACUCAUUAGAUUGAAAUUGGACUAUACACCAACAAAUUCCAGGAAGGUAAUUUCAUGUGAAGUUUUGUAGCAUUAUUAGCAACUGAAAUAGGAAGCUAACACAUCUGAGAGAUAUAUACCUGUAUAACUUCGAAAGGAGGAACUCUGAGUCUAAGGCCACUAUUACAAUCUGAAGCACAAAUCGCGGUCGCUGUCCGAGAAUCCGGAGGACAGGUGGACUUCAUUUACUAAAAGCUACAAAGAAAGGAAACUCUUUUGGCGAAGAAACAAAUGGUAUCGCUCAAGGCAAAAAGGACUUUGGCAGGAUGAAAAGUCAUUCAAGGGCCUCAAUCAUUGACCUGUCGCUGCUGAUUCUGAACGUUUUGAUCUUUAGUUGAUGCUAUAAAGAAAUUAUGCAACCGAUUUCUUCGUUAGGUGGGGAAAACUUAGGAGCAAAUUUGGCUUCGGCAAGAGAGGUAUAUAGCUCUAUUUUUGUCGGUUUCUGAACGACCAUAUUAGGUAGGCAGAUUCCUUCCGGAACGUGGGAAGAAGGUUUAUCAUGUAGACAACGCAACAAAUUUGACACGGUUCCAUUAAAUAAUAAGAUUCUGCCGAUUUGGUUUGUGCACAUUUGCUUUAUUGAAAGUUGAGGUUGAGAUAAAACAAAUAGCAUAGAGACUAACCUAACCGAAUAAAAAAUGGAUGUGCCAGCUUGUUUGGUUUCAACAACCGAGUUGAUCCCGCAAGUCCCGCUGAUUUUUCUGGAUACACGGCAAGUUGGUGAUAGUGAUGAGGGGCCGCUCUGGUUGAAGUAAUCUGAUGUAUUUGUUGAGAUCAACAACAUUCUUGAAGGAAGAAGAAUCAAGAGCCUCCAGUGCCCAUAACUUCGUCCCGUAUUCUCCCUUCACAUCCCCAACCUUAAGAUAUCAUGAGUUUGCCAAACCUGUGCCGGCCAAUAUUCCUUCCACCAAACAGACGGAGUAUUUUCCUUGUAUUAAUCGGAUAAGUUUUAGGAUGUGGUUGAGUUUUCCUAAUAAAUUUAGGAAUUCUUAUGCAUUAUCAUUUCUUUUUUUUUUCCUGGGUUUUCUUGCAUGCGUAUUACUACUAUGGUGCUUUUUUGGAGCCAUACCAAAUACCAUUCAAUUUUGAUGAAUAGAUGUGCUUCGUACAAAAUAUUUAUGAUUCGAAUGCACUCCAUACAAAGAUCAUGAUUAAACAACAUUGUCAAAUUGCUUAGGUCGACAUCCACCGUUACUCAGAUCAUGCAAGAGGAACAAGCAUCUUAUAUUGUUGAUAUACAAGUACUCUUAUAACCAAUACCUUGUAAUUAACUUGAUAGAUUCGAUGUUACUUUUUGUAAUCAAGAAAGUUGCAAGCCACCCUGAAACAUUUAGCUAAUAUAAUUAGAUAUACACUACUUAAAACUUAUUUUUCUAUAAGCAAAAGUAACUCUUUUCGAUGUGAUAACUUGUUCGGAACUAUUUAGCUUUCCCCCCCAUUUAUCAUUUAGUUUUUUAUGGUAAACUUAAAUACAUCCAGAAGUAGGAGCAAGUGUCAAGGAAUUCUCCAGGACAUAAAUAAUUCUUUUCACCGUGUUAGGAAGUUUUUAUACUGAAGAUAGUUCUUAAAUGUACCCCUUUGUUUUUAAUAAUUAUUAUAGAAACCUGUUGUCGACCCUCCUCCGCACCCAACGCCCUUCCUUUGAAGCAAAAGUAUCUCUUACUCGACCAUUAAGCGUCUUCUUUCUUCUUCAUCCCAUCUACUGACCUUGUGAUCCUUUUGGUUAAGUAAAUAUGAAACUUUACAAUAAAACAUCCCUUUUGCAACAACGGAUUGUCACAUGAAAAAAGUCAGUCAUCUGCAACUUCAAAUUUGCGGGAAGGCUGGCUCAAGGAGCAUAGCAGCUGAAGGCCUCCCAGCAGGCCAGCUUCGAAAGCAGCAGUGCAGAAAUCCCUUCCCUCAGCGGAUGUCUCAGGUAUUGGUGGAGAACUUCGCAUCACCUUAAAUAUAGCUUGAGCCUACAUUAAUAAUUAAACCUUAAACAGAAACCAAAGACACAGAUCACAUACCAAAUAGUAAUACACAAAGUCCCAGACUUCCAACAGAAAACAGUGACACAGAUUUGGUUGGAAGCGUAUAUCCUUGGAAGGACUGACAUAAUGAAAAGCAAUGCAGCGUUCUUACCUGUUCAUACUCACUUCUAGGAGGUUUCACAGUUAUCAUUUCAAUAAUAGUACAUCCCAAACUCCAGAUACCGGCAGUAUGAUUGAGACCCGUGCUGUUAUCAUUCACCAUCAAGGAUUGUAUGAGCUGUAGGAUAUAGUAUUUCGUCAUUCCGCCACAACAAAAAAAGAAUGUAGCAUUAACGUUCACAAAAGCAAAGUACCUCUGUAGCCAUCCAAUUCAGACUUCCCUUCAAAGAGCAUUAAGCUGCUUGUCCAGUUAGCUAAGAACUGCUAUGACAUUAGUAAAGCCAAAGACUAUUUGGUGAGUUCAUGUAACCCUGGAUAUAAAUUGCAACAUCUUCAUAGACAUAGAUAUACAUCAGGUCAACAAAAAAGAACUAAAUCAACCGCUUUUGACUUAUGUUAGCUCAUCACUGAGAAAAGGACCAUGGAGCAAUCAACAAAAUGAACAAAUGCUUCAGAACUCAAAAAGAGAGCAAAAAAAUCUUGGUUGCUGUCCAGAUUUCCAUCUAUGGACUAAUAAACUUUUAUUUACCCCAUGUUAGGAAGGAGGCGACUCUUACUCUGACUAAAUUCGAUCCUUCACUUGGAAGGCAGAGAAGUAGCAAAAACAACACGAGAAGAACCUUUCACCAGAGGUAUCUCACUCCAUCUGCUAUGCUCUUAGGAACUUUUCAGAAACCAGUAGAAAAAGAAAGAACUCUCAUUUGGUUUCGGCAUCUAUUUACAGCUAGAGAUCUUUUCCUAUUUAUGCAAAAUAGUAACAUUACCCGAAACGAUGGCGAAAAAAGUGAAGAAAAUUAUUCAAUAACAUUUCAUCCAUCUAUAAUAGACUUUUGCACGGAUGAAAUGCCACAAUCCAAUAAUGAGAAUUACGCAUUAAGAGAGCAUAGAUGAAGAAUAACAAGCUUGCAUGUUUUCUUUUCUUAGUUUCUUUUUGUGCUCACCUAAUCAAUCAGUCAUCCUCACUUCACAUUCACUAGUAAAUGCACCCGCAGAUCAGCGAGGAAUUUCUAUAUGCACUCAGUACUCUGGCAGUGAAGAGGUGGAAACUCACAUGUUUAGCAAUCCCAAAGUCAGCAAGUCUGACUAUCCCAGAUGCAUCCACAAACAAAUUAGCUUCCUUUAAAUCCUUGAGCAGGCCAAAGAGUUUUCACAGGUCUGUAGGCACAAAGAAGAAGGUCUCAUCAUCCUUAUCCAAUAUGCAAGUCAUCUAAUGAUGCUUGAUCAAUGGUUUAGAAUUACCCAUGUAUGGAAUUGUUAACACACAGGUAAGCCAAUCCAGUCACAAUAUGGCAGGUAAAAUUGCGGACAAUCAAUUCUGUUAGGGCCAUAAGAUGCUCAUGGAUUUACUUGUCUAUGGAACCAUGAUGUGCAUACUCUAGAUAUAUGUUAAGCUAAUCCUCAACCUGAGUAUGUAUGAAUAUGUUGAAAUUUUGGCGAGUCAAAUUAUGAAUGCCCAUUGAGUUGAGACAUGUAGAUGCAAUGGAAAGGUGUCUCACAAUUUCACUGCCAUAAUACCGCAGAAUGUUUGGAAGUCUCAGCUGGCUAAGUACUUCAAUUUCCUAUGUAACAGGUUGAAAAGAAAAAAAAAACAAACAAAAGGAGGUAGCAAAGAUAUCAAUUACCUGGAACCGAUAAAAGAAACUUUCCACGGCAUAUUAAGAUCAGAUGAGAGGAUAGAUUGGAUGCCAGAGCUACAAAAAAUUACCUGCUUUAACUGCCUCAUGCACUCAGCCAAAUUUGGAUCGAUAGUAAAUAACUCGAACUCCUUCAAUAUACACAGAACUCUGGUUUCUGUGUCACGGAACAUGUCAAAGUUUAGCUAAUUGGAUGUCUAAAAAAAUGCAACGUGUAGAAGUUUCCCAGAGCUAGCUUACUGGUUGCUUGCAAUGUAAACACUUCCGAAAGUGCCAUGUCCAAUAAGCUGGCCUUUUUGCCAUUGACUUGCUAGUGGUAACUGUUAUGUUCUUUCAGCAACUUGAGCUGAUGCUGCAGGAUUCUCCAUCUAUCCACGACCUUGAGGCGUCAAGACAAGGUGGAUUAACGAGCAAUUCUUACUUCUUCUUCUUUUUACACUUAACUCAAAGUGGGGUUGAGGUGAAUUUUCACAACAUAGGACGAAAAGAAAACUUCCUAGCCUAUGUUUCUAGAUAUGAUACAAAUACUAAGCAGAUCCACUAUUCUAUACCCGAUAGUUUAAUGUUGAAACAAUUUAAUCUGGGUCAUGUUGCUCUGAUCCAAAAGAGUGAAGCGACAUAUGCAGCACGACAUUUUCGAUCAACAAGUUAGAGUAAUAUCAUAUUUGAAAUCCUUUCUAAACACAAACAGAUUAAAGGUAGUGCUGCCCAAAAUUCUCUCUUUUCUUAAGUGUGGACAACCGAUUCUGUUAGGGUCCCAAGACGCUUCUGGAUAUACUUGCCUAUUGAACCAUGAUGUGCAUAUUCUAGAUAUACAUAAAGCUGAUCCUCAACCUGAACAUGUAUGAAUAAAUUGUCCUUUCGGUUAUAAGACAAGAUAGGAAACAAACUCUGCUAGUCCCUUGGCUUCCCAAAUCUUCAGAUUUGUUUGUUUUUUGACUAACUUGAAAUAUCGACUAGAUUGAUUCAUUUUCAGUAGUCGAUAAAACAUGCGACCGCAUUCAAAAUACACAAAGCAUGGCCACAUGAAAAAAGUCAAUUCAUAUGGCAACCAGAGUUGAGUUUGCAAGAAAGCAUGGUCGAGCAGCAGGCUUUCUUCAAGAGAAGAGUCACCGGAGAUCCUCUCCCUGGGCGAACAGUUCUGCAAAAGGCCACUAUUAGAGCUGCAUGACUAUAUAGACAGAAAAGCUACAUCUUUGUAAGGACUUUUAAGAAGUGAAGCAAUUUUAUAUCAAUUAAACUCAUUAACCUAUAGCAUUUGGAGUAUACUGCAUCCCCACGAAAUGAGGAUGAUUGAAGUCUUUCCCUUUUUGGAGAUAAGGUUGAAGAAUAGCCUGAGCAUUUGGAUGAUCCCACAUCAACGUCUUCCACGUUUCCUCAUCUUCCACCCAAAUAUACGGAAGCUCCUCAAUUUCACACAAUCGCAGUUGCAAAGGAAUCCCCUUCAGUUCUGGGCAUUCGCACACUCUCAAAUCUUCCAUGGAAUCGCAGCUUAUUGGGACUUUGCAUAUGCUCUUCAGUUGGGGUAGAUUGUAUAGUAGCAAGUACUCCAGCUUUGGGAGAGAAAUAAGAGGUUGGAAGGAUGAAGGGGUGUUGUUUACAGGAGUCAUUGUGCUUCCUUCUUGGCCUUGUCGCGCUCCGCUUAUCAUCUCCACCAUUCCUUUGCAGUGAGUGACAGAGAUACGUUGAAGAUUUCGAAGAUGGAGUAGCCACUCAUGCGGAAAUAGCUUUCUCAUGUUAUCGCAGCAAUUUACAUCAAGAGAUUCGAGAGAAAUCUCUUCGACUGGCAAGUAUUGGGGAGGACCUCCGAUUAUCUCCUCCAUCUUCUCACAUACGGAUACUUCGAUUCUUCUCAGAGCAGGGAAGUGGGGCAUCCACUCAGAUUCCACCACUCUCUUCAUUUUAUGACACCCCUUAAUCAAAAUCUUUUCCAGACAAGGGAAAAAUGGGAGCAGAUGUGGUGGUGGGGAAGUGACUGCUGCUAUUAUCCCCACCAUUUUCUUACAAAAAUCUAUUUUAAUCUUCCGUAGAUGUGGAAGAUGUGGUGGUGGGAAGUGACUGCUGCUAUUAUCCCCACCAUUUCCUCACAAAGAACGUAUUUUAAUCUUCCGUAGAUGUGGAAGGUUGGAUUUAUACCCAUGCCCAAAGAGAUACUUCAGAUUCGGAGAGUUAGAUAUUUCCAAAACCCUAAGGCUCAGGAAGAGGGGAAGGAUAGGGGUUAGGGUAGGGGAGUCGUGGAUGUCGAUUACUUCUUCUUCUUGCCCUCCAUAGAACACCCCCGAGUUUUUCCAUCCUACUAUUGCUAGCUUCUCAAGGUAUUCAUGCGAACACAUGCUAGACAAAUUUGUUAUACCGUCGCAUUUUAUCAUACUCAUUUCCCGCACAUCUCGGGGAAUCAACAUAAAAAUGCCGGUGCAUUCGCCUCCCGUGCUUGCAAUGGCAUGAUCCCAGUCCCAAAUGACGACUUGCCUCUCCCUAUUCCCAAAUUUCAUAAAUCGAGUAUCAUCACUUACUUCCGCAAAAAAUCUUUUAUUUUUUGAAAAACUUUUUUCAUACGCGUGGAGGCAGUAAUGGCGGGGGUUAUUACUCUGCUCAAUAGCCCUCACACACUUGUUGAAAUCAUCCACAUUUUUAAGGUAGCAACUAAAUGUCUCCAAUGCCCCCAAUUUUGUAAUGUCUUCUUUAUUUAUUGCCCCAACUUUAAACCAUUGCAAGUUUAGUAAAUGGUCCAGUGUUCCUUUGGACAAUCGCUCAAUACGCAUUUCAGUAAGGUCAAGGUAUCUCAAAUUUACCAACUUUUCUAGACCCUCAAGCACUUCAAGCCUAAAACACUUUUUAGCGUCCAACUUUCUUAAAGAUGUGAGCUUCCCUAGAUAAGGAAUACAGCACAAUUUACUACACUCUCUGAGCAAUAGUGCUCUCAAGUUUACCAAGUCUGAGAUGGAAUUUGGAAGUUCCGUCAUAUGAUUUUCACUCAAAUUUAGAACCUUUAGCCCCAAUAAAUUUUUGAAGAAAGAAUUGGGGAUGGCCAAAUUCCUCAACAAGCAUCCAUUCAGUAGUAAAGUUGAUAAUUUAGGACAAUUUGGUGACAUGUUCAACGGAAAUUCUUUAAAGCAAUUCUUCAUCAGAGAAACUUUCUCCAAAGAAUUCAUCCAAUAUUCCUCAGAUGGAAUGUUCCUCAAUUGGUUUCCUGCUUUUACAAUGGAAGUCGUAUUCAUGACAUGCAACGCCAUGUCUCUAAUCAAAUCAUGCAUUUUCAUAUGGUGCCCAUUAUUUUCAAAUACGAAAGCAAGCCCAUGAUCUUCCAAUAGGCAAGCAUUUACUAGUUGGUUCAAUAUGGUGAGGCCUCUAUCAUAUUGUUCCUUCCUCGUAUUCAAUUCACCAAUCAAUCCUUGGUCGAUAAAGAAUUCUACCAAUUUGAACUCACUGAUCAAUUCAUCUUCUGGAUAAAGUGCACAAGAUAAGAAACACCGUUGGACAUUGGGAUUACCAAGGCGAUCAUAACUGAAUUUCAAAUUCAUUAACACCUUCUUCUCCAUAUCUGGUUGUCCCAUACUCGAUUCUUUCAAUUUCACCAGGGAAUCCCUCCAGUCAAACACAUCGGUCACUCCUCGCAUGGUUCUUGCCACUGUGAUGACUCCCAUCGGCAAGCCUGCACAUUCUUCAACAAUGGACUUCAUAAUUGUUUCAAUUUCCAUAUUAAGUGGCACUUCGGGUCCAAGAUCCUCCAAAAACAAACUCUCGGCUUCUUUUUGAGAUAGAGGCUGGAUUUUUAUCUUUUCUUGACAUUGCAUCCGGCGGCACACAUCAAAGGAUCGAGUGGUUAUCACUAUCUUAAAUCCAUCUGCUCUAAUAGGGAUUCCCACCUCUUCAAGGUCAAGAUUUUCCCACAUAUCAUCAAGAAUCAAUACACAAUUCUUCUUUCUUUCUAAAUGCUCUGACAGCAUCACUGCUCGUUUCUUCUCAUGCUCAUCCUCCGUAAUGCAAACUUUUAAUGCCUUCCCAAUAUCACUCUGCAACUUAUAAAUGCUGAAAUCUUUGGACACAGUGACAAAAAUCACACAAUCGAAGGUUGCAUCCUCAAGAAGUCUAUUAUGUAUGUGCAUCAUAAUAGUUGUCUUCCCGACACCACCCAUUCCAUAAAUACCCAAUUUGCAUACAUGGUUCUCUAUGAGACGGUCCCAAAUCGACUCGAUGUUCCUAUGAAUCGCUUCACCUAUUAGCUUUCGUUCCCAAAAUUUGACUCCUUUGGCAUCUCUCUCCUCUAUGAGUAGUGUUUGUGGAAGCGAUUCUCCUAUGAGUUCUUCCACUUCUCUCGUCAAUGUCUCCACCUGUUCCUUUGGUGGCAAAGUUUCCGUAUGGGCUUGGCCAAUUAUUUGGAAUUUAUUUCUUGCUCUUUCUGUCUCUUUCAGCCAUCUCUCAACCAGUAUCCUCGGCUUCUUCCGAACUGAGGAACCAGCACACUCUAUCUCCAUCUGCUCCUUUAUGACAGCUUCUUUGCCGUUGAGUUCUUCCACUUGUCUUUUCAGGUUUCUUAUCUGUUUAUCGUUGGCAUAGAUGCUCCCUACGUCCAUGACUGGAGAACCCCAGUUCAUAUCUAAUUUAUAAAAAAACAUAUGUUAAAUUUCGAUAAAAUAAUUUGGGGAUAUUUAAGAAUCUAGUGGAACCAUAGUAACAAUGAAGAUUAAUCCAAACACACCUUGUGAUGACGAUGGGCCUGUUGAAUUUAUUGCUGCCCCCGGAACUUGCGAAUCAACCAUUAUUGCCUCAAUAAUUCCAGAGUCAAUUGUAUGCUGUGAUGCAAUUGAGGGAUCUAUGUCCAUUGGAGUUUGCAAUUGAGAGUGCCGAUUGCAAUCCUGCAAGCAAUUUGAAUUACCUCCAGCAGGUAGUUGAUCAUACUGGAAUGAUGAUGCCCCUGUUGGAGUCUGCUGGUCAUUCAUUGAAGCCAUCAUGGAACUUUCACCUGUGUGUUGUUCAUCGAAGUUAGGAUAUGGUUGAUUGGAACACAGAAGAAUGCUUACUGUAGUUAGUUUACUGGAUCAGUGGAUCCAGAGGACACGUGGAACACAUUGGAUGUAUUGUUAUUAAGGAAUAGAUUAUUGACUCUCUUCACAUUUGAAAAGUUAUGUGGGAAAAGCAUGUUCAUCGGAGAUAUUUUAAAGUCAUCACUUUGGUUAAAAAAACCCGACGUGUUUGCGUUGAAAAAUAUAAUAGAUAUAUUUUCUCCCCGCCCAGACCAAUGUAUAGAAACUUCACGUGAACAUACCAUGGCUAUUUUGUGCCGGCGACUGCAUUGGUAAAGUCUCUUGUAAUUCCCCCUCUGGCAUAAGGAAUAGGUGUUUCACUAAUUCCAAGCUUUGUGGUGACCACAAAACAUCUGGAGGUAGCGUGUCACGUGACUCUGGUUCUGUGGGAAAUUGACAGUUGGCUCCUCUGCUCUCUUCUUCAGCCACCUCAGCUUGAGUCGGCAUGUCACGUGACUUUGGCUCCACGGAGGAUUGACCGUGGGCUUCUCUGCUCUGCUCUUGAGCCACCUCUCUGCUCUCUUCUUCAGCCACCUCAUCGAGUAACGACUGCAUUAGCGUUCUUACGUGACCUGGCACUUCUGUGCAAACGGAAUUCCCUUCAUUUGGGACUUUAAGCAAGUGACCUUUCACUCCUGUAAGGUCUCCAAAGAAUUCAUCCCUGCAGUAAUGACAACGCCAUUUGUUGUCCUCCAGUCUAUCGAUGAAUUUCCAGGCUAUAUCCUCUUUGUUACGAUCCUGCAAGCAAAUAGGGCGCAUCCCAUCAUAUAUUAUCCCCAUUUUUUAUAAAUCUUCUUAGCACGCAUAGCAUUAUUCUCUGGCAAAUAAUGUAGUUACCACAAGCGCUAAAGACACCUGAUUCUGUAACAAUUCCAUUAGCAUGCUUAUGUGCUCCGGCACUUUUUUGCAAGGAGCAAUGCCUUUGUUUGGAUGUUUAAGAAAGUGACUUUUCACUCUUGUAACUUUUCCAGCGUAUUCAGUCUCGCAGUAAGGACAACACCAUUUCUCGCCCUCCAGUCUAGUCACGAAUUUCCAGGCUAUGUCUUUAACUCGCGGCAUCUUGUCGUUUUGAUUAUCAACCUGCAGGCAAAGAGAGCACGCCCGAUUAUAUAACCUACCAAUCCUGUGUAUAUUUUCCUAAUGCACAUAGCAUUAUUCUUAAGCAAAUAAUAGCAUCCACAAGUACUAAAGCGGGAAAGCCAAACUGCAGAUUAAUAUUCAACGGACCCAAGAAUAAUCUGCUUUUUUUGAGACAAGAAAUACCCGAUCAACUCAAAAGACAACUCGACAAUUGCGGAUUACCUUCUCAAGAAGGUAAUGUGGGGAAUCAAAAUAUCCUUGGAUUUUGACCAAAUCGUUGCCGCAAAGCAAAAUCCAAAAUAGAUCCGGAUAUUAACUUUUAAAACAAAAAUCCCAAAUUCAUGAGAAAUAGAGCUAAAAAAAUCUUGUCUAGUGUUCGGAAAUGGAGAUUUCUAACGUAGCUCGACCCUUUCAACGGGCUGCAAUCCACUGUUGUCGAUCUUCCCCUCUCCCUUCUCGCCUCUUCUCACUCUAUUUCUUGGUCUCUCUUCGAGAAGUUUAUUGCAUCUCACAGUUAAGUCCACCCACCUACAUUCAGGUCAUUUAACCCUUUAUUUCGCAUAGAAUCCACCAGAUCUACUUGUCGAGUGCGCAUAUAUUUGAUCCAGGUUAAUAAGGAUGUUCAGUUGGAGAGUCUUUAUUUGAUUCUUACAAAAUGGAAAAUGGCAAAGAUGAGGACGAAGCAACAUACCGGUUAGGACAGAAAAAGAAGAUUCAGAUGCAUGCAAGUAGCAAAGAUGCACAAAAAGAAGUAGAACUAAGAAGCUGUUCUUGAGAAUCUGAAGCACCAGUCAACAUCCGAGAUCGAGCAAAGACUCUUCCUCUCGUUGAAGGCAGAAACCCAAUUCCUAGAGAAACAAGGGCACUCGCCUGCUGUUGGAAAUUGGAAUGAACAGAUUUUGGUGAAGAACCGAGAGGAACUCUGCCACAAGAGAAAACAGCAGAGUCGCUAAGAACGCACGAAGGAAACGUCCCGGUCGUUUACAAUUUCCUCGUGUUUUUCUAUGUAUGAGAGGAAGGGAGAGACCUGAACUUGUUCUAAAUCUUGAAUUCUCAUCAACGACACUGUUGAAAGUGACAGGCAUGCUUUAUUUUACCGCUAGAAAAAGCACGUAAAUCACUGCUCAAUACAGAAGACAUAAUUGCACUUUAUAUCAUCAUCCAACAACAGAGGUAACAACCAUAGUAAUAUCACAUCAAACUAUUGUUGGUAAUAUCACAUCAAACUAGUGUUGGUCUCCAUUGGACUACGGUUGGUCUCCACUUCAGUUAUCGUAGCACUUAUAUGGAGAUAAAUUUAUCAAAUAUAUUCAAAUCAUGAACAUACCAAUUCACAAGGCCUAAUCACCAGGGCGUUAAUCGUGUUCACUGUGGAUCAAUUUUCACUUUGCCACCGUCAAAUGCAUUGAAUCGAUGCCUCGAGAAAUCCCCAAUUUAUCGCGCUUCCACCUUUUCACCAACUCAAAAUCAUCCCUCAUGCAUUCCCCAGUCCGACGGGCCCCACCCCCUCCCCCGGGCCACCUGUCCCCCGCGGGCAUCGUAGUGUCGUACGGCCAAUCAAUAUGAUCACGUGGCAAGGCAUACGGCAACCGUACGGACGGAGGGGGGAGAUGUGGGGCCUUCUCCUUGUUGGUCCAAAAAGCCAUUUCAAAUAAAGUCGUGUUAGCAUCUCCAGGAACAUGAAUAGAAAACUCGGGUUCUACCGGGAGGCCUCCCGAAGUAAUGGCACAUUAGAUAGGUAUGAUCUAAGUGGUACUGACAUUAAUACAUCUACAACACGAUAUAUAGAUAUGUCAUUUCUAAAAAAAAAUAAAUUUUGAUACAUUAUAUAUUAAAUAUAUAUUUUUAUAUAUACAUAAUAAAUUAUCAUUUUUACAAUUAUUUCAAUCAAAUUAAUUUAAUUCAAAUUCAUAAAUAAAUAAAUAAUAAAAAAUCUUAUAAUGAAUUUAUACUAAAAAUAUUAAUUAACCAUUUAUUAAAAUCAUUUAUUAUUUUUAUUUGACAAAUUCAAUUCCAUUCUAAUAACCCAUAAAACUCGAAGAAAAACAAUAAGCAAUUUGCAUUCUAAACUUUUGUUUUAGACGUGUCGAAAAAGAAGAGAAAAAACUUGGAAAUGAAAGACUAUGUUUUCUUCUUUUUUAAUUAUUAUUAUUAUUAUUAUUGUUGUUGUUGUUGUUGUUGUUGUUGUUGUUAUUGUUGUUUUUUACAUAUAUACAUUUUGACCCCUUAUUUAUUAAAAAAAAUUAAAUUGACAUCAAGUAUUGCAAUCAUGUGUUGAAAACUUGUUUGUCAAAAUUCUGACUCGAGUGUCAGAGAGUAUUAAGAAAGUUAACUAGGUGUCGAAUUUUUAACGCAUAUUGAUCGAGUGUCGAAAAGUGUUCAAAAGUAUUAGAGAGUAUCGUAUACGUGUCAGAAUGUCUAACACGACACAAAAGCUCUAAAAGAGUAUUAGUGCUACCUAGGGUAUCGUCACAUGCUUUUACUCUCUUUUUUUAUAUUUUUUUUUUCGUUUUCAUUCUAUGCCAUAACCUAUUACUAGAAUAAAUAAAAAUGUUUUUUUUUCUCUUUAAUAUUUAAUUGCUUUUACUCCACCCUAGCAUGACUUUGACUUUUCUAUCUACUUUUCCUCCCUAGGUACUACGAAAUAAUAUAUUUUUAAUAUUUUAUUAAAUAGUUGGCAAUCCUAAUUAAACCCCAUAGGUGAAAAUUAGGAACAUCGGAAUAUAUUAUUUGCCUGGUCUUAUUAUUUCAAUAUAUUAAACUAAAUAUAGAAAAAUUGUUAGCCAAAUAACCUAGUAAUUUAAUGGAUCAUUGGCAGAUGCAUAGUUGAUGCUAAAACCUCACUACACAUUUAUCGUGAAUGAGUAACGUGUGUAUUUCGAGUUAUUUUUAUAAGUGAAUUCUUCUAUUUGUCAACUCUUAAUCAUGAAUGUGCAAACUAUUUUCCAUUUUGAUAAUAGAUCUAAUAAAAAUUUAAUUUAAUGUAAUGAUGGGAGUUGACAGGUGGCCUAUUAUAUUGCUGCCUCAUGCUUUCACUAUUUAUCUCUUUUUUUCUUUUUCAUUUCUAAACAGUAAUCUAUUACCCAACAAAUUGUCUAUUUAUAUGGAUGUGCCUCCACCUCGCGCAACUUUCACUUUUUCUUGAGAUUUCAAGUGGCCUCUUUUGGAAGCCACAAUUAGACCCCUUUCCCCUCUCAGUUUUAUUUUAACAACGGUGUCGGGUAAUUGUCUCCAGAGUCGUUGUCAUCAAAAGGAGUGCACGGUGAUACUCAAGCAAACGCGUUCAACUUCGAGGCAAUUUCAGCUUCAACAUCGAGGAAACUUACACGAACGUGCACCCAAGAAACUUUUGAGCCCACUUAUCUUUAUUUGUGCUCCCUGAAAUAGUACUAAGUACAUAAAGAUUUUUAAAAUCAGUGCACCGAAUGAGGUGGAAAUUUAUUAUGGAACGUUAAACUAUGGCUCAUUUAAGUGUCAAAUUCUUUAGACUUCCAAGGAAGAUGAAAAAUUAAAAACAAAAUUUACCUAAGAAGGCUACCACACUAUUUUCCUUGUCAUACUCUAUCCAUCUUAAUAUACAUAAAUGUCGUUCUCUUAUGUAUAGCAUUGCUCUUUUUUGCCUCUAGAAAUGAGUUGCAUUGUGUUAAUUAGUAAAAUCUUGGUGAGCACUGUAACUUAUUUACUUUGCAUAACUCCUGACUUGGAUUUAGAAUUUCACCUUUACUAAUUAAUUCACAAGACCAAUUUCAUAUAAAGUUUGGAUCUUUAAACCAAAAAUAAAAAGAAAUUCAAUGGAGGGAUGAUUUAAAGCGAAAUAAUUACUUACUAAUCUGCAAAAUUAAUUACUGUCGACACAUAAAUUUUCAUCCAAAGAUCUCAUUCGCAUUUUCAUGAAAUUUAACGAUUAGAUUCACCGAUAAUUUGAUCACUAAUAAAAAUACAUUCACAAUCCCACAUUCUCUAUCUCUCUCGCAUUCUUUCACAUUUAAAAUUGUGGACCUGAUUGGGAACUUUUGUGAACCAACCGCUACAUGAUCCGAUCCUAAAUUUUUUGCGGUGAAUUUAAAUGGGAAUUCUUAUGAAAGUCCUUUUCGCUCCCCCUUCUGGCUGACCGAAAUGGUCGGCCACUUUCUACACGGCAUUCCUGUGUGUGUGAAUGAAGGAAAUUUUGGGUCAAAAAAAGUGGCUCAGAGGUGGACACAGCAGAGAAAAGCCUGCAUCCACGUGAUCCACUCAUAAUGGAGCAUAUCUUCAGCAGAGAUUUAGUGUAAAAAGUAAGGACAUAAAAAGCAGGGAAAAGCCUGGCUGAAGGGAGGCUUUAGUCAAGCAUUCACACGGUCACAACUAGGUCAUUACGGAUGCGCAUGACAAAAUUUCUGUUUUUCGAUUUCUUUAUUUCUUUGUUUUCCGGAACAGAUUUGGAACAGAAAUCCGUUUGGUAACGCAAUUUAAUUUUUCUAUUUCUAAAACAGAUUUCUAUUUCAGAAAUAGAGAAAUUGAAGAAAUCAGAAGCUGAAAUUUUUAACUUCUCAGUUUCUGAAAUAGAAAUCAGAAACUGAAAUCAAACCAUAUAAAAGAACAUUGCGCUUUCUUGCUAACUUAAUUCACUCAUAACCGCAACUUCGCAAAUUAUUGAUAAUUUUCUUUUUCUUAUUUUGCUCGUGUUUUUUUUUUUGCAUUUAUUUUUCAAAUUUUUUUUGAUAACUUCCUCUUUAGGAUGAAAGACAAUCAAAUAGGUCCCCAAUUUUCAAAAACGACCAAAGUUCUUAAAUGCUUACUUAAAAACAAUAGGGCUAUUUUCUCCUAGGAAAGGCAUACGCAUGGUCAAUUGAAGAAAAAGUUCUUACGUAAUAGAUGAAUAAAAAACGUGGCUAGAAAUUUAAACUUAUUUUUUUACGGAUUCAAAAUUCUUGCAAAAUCAAAAUAAUUAGAUUAUUACACAAUCUUGAAUUUUAAUUUGAAGGCAAGAGAUUCAAGAGAAUCUCUCUCUUUGCUAUGUAAAGGCCAUAAAAGGUUGAUUGAGCAACAAUAAGGAAAUUAUGGAUGAGCAACUGAACUGAUUCAAUUCAAGAAUCAAAAUAAACUGACCUUCCCCCGAUUGGUUCCUAACCAUAAACGUUACUUUAAGGUAGAAUUCGCAUUAAUUUUAUUUUGUUGAUAAUCUUGUAUAAUACUAGUUUUUGAUAAAAUGAAAGGUUGUAUAGGUGCCAUUGAUGGCACCCAUAUUCAUGCUUCUGCAAUACUUGUCUGAACCUACACAGGAUGAACUUACAAACGAUACAUUGACUGAGGAGGGAAACCAAAUAAAUACUCUUAGGAAAAUAAUUGCUAAUAAAAUGGCAAUGGAUAAUAAUAUGCCGAAAAUUCCAUGAAAUUGUAUUUUCAACUUUUGUAAUGUAUUAGUAUUAUUUCGACUAUUAUUUUGUAUUUUAGGAUUUUCUAUGUUGUUAUAUAAUCAAUUUCUAUUCCUAGAAAUAUGAAUUUUGUUCUGUUAUCAAACGGAUUUCUGUUUCAGAAAUAAAAAUUUUGAGUCGUUAUCAAACGGGUUUCUUUGCUUAGAAACUUGUCCAAGGAAUAGAAAUUAAGAAAUUGAUUUCUAGCCAGAAAUCAAUUUCUGUUUCAGAAAUUUUGUCAUGCGCAGCCUACGUAUAGAGCUGGUGGGUGAGGAAAGAAAACAAAUCGAGAUACUAACUAGAAACACAUUACAUAUUUUUGUUAAUAAUUAAAAAUUAUUAAAAUUUCUGUUUUCCGCAAUGUUGAGUGAGACUCUAAUGUGAUUAUUCUAUAUUCUAAUGAGCAUUUUGAUUUAGUUUGAUUUUAUUUAUUCUAUCUAGUUAGAUUAUAUUUUGAUUUUUAUAUGGCUGAUAUAACAAUAAGUUAAAUUCUGUAAUAAAAUUUUAGUGAUUAUAUGAAAAGUAAUCUAAUUGAAUUAGUAAAAAAAAAGUAGAGAAAAAGUUUCAUUUGAUGAAUUAAAAAACGAAAUGGAGACUUGUAUUGUUGAAUUUAUAUUAAGAUUAAUUCAUAUUAGAGCAGUGCAAGAAAGAAAUCAUGAACAAAAACAAAUAGAAAAAAAUCGAAUAAGGUAUGGCCCAUUUAUAGUGAGCACAUCAAAAUCAAAUCCCUAUACUAUAUCGAGAUGGCGUUCAAAGUUGUUGUGUCGUGAUUGCCUUAGAGAGUAAUUAUUGAACUAACAUCAUUAAGAUGAUUCCAUUGCUGAUCACUUGGGUUUCCUUGUUGAGAGUGGUUCCAUUCUUAGAGCAGCGGUAUUGAAGUUUCUUUUUAGCGAGGCUUACUUAUGACCAAGUCCUAGAAAAUCAACGAGUUAUUGCAUGAGUUUUUCUUUUUCAUUUUCCUGCCACGUUGGUGCAGCCCCUGUUCAAACGAGAACGGUCAGUCCAUUGAUGACUGAUUUUAGCGAACUUGAUAGGUCGACGAUGGUGCUUAAUAAUGCUACACUUUGGAAAACUAAACACUGAUUAGUGGUCUCCAUUAAGGUUUUGGGGCAGAGACCCAAAAAAAAAAAAGCAAGAAAAGAAGAGAGAGUUGUGCGAAAGAAAAGGGGAGAGCCAGGGGACGAAAGAGAAAAGGCGCAUUAUGGUGAGGAUGCGGUUGAAAAAUGAAGAGAAAAAAAACAAAAGGAAACGAAAAUGAAGAGAUAAUCCGAAACAGCUGAGAGUAAAAAAAUAAUAAUAAUAAGAAAAAUUACUGUGGACACCUAAAUUUCUCCAUCAUCUUAAUAUAUAUAAAGGUUCAGUUUUCUUGUGUAUAGUAAUUCUCUUUUUGCUUCUAUAAAUGAAUUGCAAGGAAAACCCCUCGGACUCCUUAUUUACUUUGCACAAAUCUUGACUCAAUUUUAGAAUUUUACCUACACUAAUUAAUUCAUGAGACCAAUUUCAUAUGCAGUAUGCAUCAUUAGACUGAAAAGAAACAAAUUCAACAAAGAGACGAUUUAAAGAGAAAUAGUAACUUACCAACUUUUAAGAAAAAAUACUGUCGACAUCUAAAUCUUUGCUCAAAAAUCAAAAGUCGUAUAUGCAUUUUCAUAAAAAUCAGCUAUCAUAUUUAGGGGUGAGCGGUUCCAGGUUCCGGUUCGGUUCCGUCUGGAAUCUGAAACCUACCCUCGGGUACAGGUUCCUCAAAAUGAGGAACCUGGAACCUACCCGUCAGAACCGAGAACUUGGAACCUACCCUGUCACAGGUUCCAGGGUCGGUUCCAGGUUCCAACAGGUUCCGCGUUCCUUUUUUUUGUUUUUAUUUUUAUUUAUAGAUUUGAACUAUAACGUAUGCGCAUAUUACCAAAAAAAAAAAAAUUAUAACGUACGCGCACGUUACCAAAAAAAAAAAAUAACGUACACGCACAUUAUCAAAAAAAAUUAUAACGUACGAGCACGUUAUAAAAAAAAAUAUAACGUGCGCGCACGUUAUAAAAAAAAAAUAUAGCGUGCGCGCACGUUAUCAAAAAAAACUAUAACGUGCGCACACGUUAUAAAAAAAAAACUAUAACGUGGGUGCACGUUACCAAAAAAAAAUAUAACGUAUGCGCGUGUUACCAAAAAAAACUAUAACGUACGCGUAUACUAUACAGUAACUUCUCACAUCUUAGGAAACAUACCAAUGCCAACAGUUUUUUUUUUUUUUUCUAUUAUUCAUUUUUAGAGUUGAAUUAUAAUAUACGCACUCUAAAAAUGAAUAAAAAAAAUUAUAACAUACGUGCAUAUUAUCGGACUCUUCAGCACUGUCGCAAUAAUCCUCUAACAUCAAAAUCAUGCCAUAAAUAUACUUCCCGAGCUAUGAAAACAAUAAAACAAAACAUAGACUCUUUGACAACGAUGUUUUUCCAUGCAUUAAACUUAUCAAUGGUGAGAUCACAACAACCAUUUAAAGGCUCAUAAACUCUUUGACAAUAUAGUUAAAGCAGCACAAAGUCAAUAAAAAAACCUUGCUUGAAUUCUCUACCGCUAAAUCCAUUGCCGUUGCGAUACCACCAACUCUAUUUAUCAACAAUAAUCUCCGCAUUAAGGCCAACCAUAUCUGAAAAAAGAAAAAGAAGAGGUUAAAUAAAAUAUCCACUUAUCAAAUAUACAAAAAGAAUUAUAAUAUAUAAAGAUAUAAACAUUACUUACCUAAUUCAAAUUGUUCUGCGUUCUCAAUACACUCUUCAUCACCAAGCGGUACACGAGCGGCCCUCAACCAAUCUUGAGUGCAAAUCAAAGCUUCCACUACUUUAGGAGUUAAAGAACUUCGAAAGCCAUCAAGCACACGACCCGAUGUACUAAAAGUUGACUCUGAAGCAACGGUUGUUACAGGAAUGGACAAAAUAUCUCGAGCCAUCAAAGAAAGGAUCUUAUAUUUUGAACCAUUAGCCUUCCACCAAAUCAAAAUGUCAAGACCGAGAUCAUUUUCAUUUUUUUCUUGAAGAUACUCAUCAAGCUCGGACUUGUUAUCAUCGCGCCCUUAUUCAUUCGAGUAUAAAAACAUUUUCUUCCAAUCUUGAGCUUCAUGCAUCUUUAGUUCUUCAAUACCACUCGUAUCGGGUUGGGAGGUGGAACUACUACUACUUGCACCCAAAUUAUGGCCACCAAAAUCUUGAUAAUUUGAAAUAAGAGAAGAUUGCUCAUAAAAUUCAUACAAAUGCUCCAAUGUAUUCUUCACCUUGCAAUGCAUCUCUUCAAUCUUCAAUUCAUCAUCAUAAAUUUGUCCAUACAAGAAUCUCACAUAAUUUAACUUGGCUCUAGGAUCUAACACAACCGCAAUCAACACCAUAAUAUUCACUUUAUCCAAGCUUCUAUAAUAUUUGUCAAAUUUUUCUUUCAUUUUCAAACCCAUAGUUUGAAACUUAGGAUCCGAAGCAUUGACCGCAUCUUUCAAAUAUCUAUACAAAAUAGCUAUCCCUUCAAAAUAAUCAUUUGAAGUAACAUAUGAAGUCCCAGACAUCUUCUUGGUGGCAUCAUAGAAUGCUUUCAGAAAAUUCGAAAGAAUAAUAGCAUUUUCCCAAUCAUCAUCCCUAGGAGUUUCAUGAUCUAGUUCACUUACAAAAGAUGAAUAGUGAUCUUACAUCCUUUCGAAAGCUUUUCUGAACUUUAUGGCAGUGUUCAACAUGAGGUAAGUGGAGUUCCAUCUAGUGGCAACAUCAAAAACUACCGAACCCUUAUAAGUGAUAUUUUCUCUUUCAAUGCAAGAUUUAAAUCCUUGGGCUCUUGUGGGAGAACUCCUUACAUACCUAACCACAUUUCGGAUACGUGCAAUGGAGUCACGUACCGUAGUCAAGCCAUCUCUCACAAUCAAAUUUAAUAUAUGAGCUGUACAUCUCAUAUGCAAAACACUAACAUCUAAUAUCAACGACCUUUGUUUGGAAAGUUUAUCCCUCAAAUAGCCAAUUGCAACAUCAUUCGAGCUAGCAUUAUCCACGGUAAUUGUGGACACCUUUUUUCUAUUCCCCACUCCUCAAUGCAUGUCUCCACCAUUUUCCCAAUCUCCCUACCCCUGUGACUAUGCAUCACCACAAAAUUGAUGAUUCUUUUAUGCAACUUCCAAUUUUCAUCAAUAAAAUGUGCAGUGAGACACAAAUAAUUCAGAUUUUGAUUGGAACUCCAUUUAUCAGUCGUGAGUGCGAUCCUAGAAUUAAUCUUUCCAAAAUAAUUCUUCAAAGAAGUUCUUUCACAUAAAAACAACUUCAUACAAUCUUUUGCCACUAUGAAACGUGAUAUAUGUUUGAAGAGAGGUUGUAUAUCACUAACAUAUUCACGAAAUCCAACACGCUCAACCAAGGAAAAAGGUUGCUCAUCAAUGAUGAUAAACCGAGCAAGCAUGUGCCUAGCUCAUUCUUGAUUAAAUGACCAUGUCGAUAAGACGCUACCAGUACUAGAAUCUCCUCCUGCCUUACUAGCCGUGUUGACAUUACGUGGUACAAAAAAUUUCUNNNNNNNNNNNNNNNNNNNNNNNNNNNNNNNNNNNNNNNNNNNNNNNNNNNNNNNNNNNNNNNNNNNNNNNNNNNNNNNNNNNNNNNNNNNNNNNNNNNNGGUGGCAGAUUAAUAUAAAACAACGGAUACAAAAAAACAAGACAACGACGACAGAAUGCAAGACACGAAAAAACAUAUGCACAAUCACAAUUCUAAUAAGGAAUGCAAUACAAUUCUAAAGAGAAUUAUCUGUGCGCUGCUACAUCUUGUUGCAUGGACACUAACGACAGUUUGGAGUCUGUGUGAUUUAGACCUGCUCAGAAAAUGUAUGCUCAAACGUGCACAUCCCCUGUAUUAGAGAACAACCACUCAUCGAAAUUAGAAAGACAUUUAGCCACAUGUAUUCAGCACUAGUUCUCUCCAACACUAGAACGGUCAUGCAAGGUUUUCUUUGCCGUGUCAAUGUGUAAGAUCAAUUUUUAAAUCUAGGUCUGCUUACUCCAUAAUCUUGAAGACUGUUAUUAUAAGUUUGACAUAAAAAUGUUGAGUCAUGCUGGUAGUGCUUGAUGGGUCAUGUUAUUUGCUUGAUUAAACUGAAUAUCUAAUUCCGUUGAUGUAUGUUUCAUCUGCUUGGGUGCUUCAGGCAUGCCAGGUCUGUCUUACCCAUUCUGCCGAGACAGUCUCAAGAGAGUCGACUCUGGUGACCUGCGGAUAUAUAUGACUGGCGUCGAGAUCAUCGACCUGAAUUCCAUCGCCAGAGAGAACAUGAUUGUGCAUAUGUUUAUUCAUCACAUUGCUAGUUGCUACCCGUUUAGAAUUGUAUUGCAUUCUCUUUUCCAGAAGAACCCACAACGCAAAAACGGAGUUUCAGCUUCCAAUAAGGAAAAAAGCUUGCAUUACAAGGCGCAAACCCAGCCCCGCAGAGGUAGAACCCAGAAAUUCCGCAAGCACCCGAAGCGUUUCGGCAAUCAGAUAAACACCCACUUGCAAUCGAUUACGAAACAAUCGGUCCCACCAAGCAGUGCGCGCGAGCCGGAACUGAAGCGCAAUCACGAACGCAUGCUCAGUUGCACACAGAGAGAGAGAGAGAGAGAGAGAGAGAGAGAGAGAGAGAGAGAGAGAGAGAGAGAGAGAGAGAGAGAGAGAGGGAACCUAGUGCCCAACGGGAAUGGUGAAGCAGUGGCUUCUGGUUUGUUGCAGCAGCAGGGGCGUCGGGGCUUCUGGCGCGAGUGGCGUGGGUCACGAGCAGGGACGUUGGGCAACGGCCGGUCACGAGCAGGGACUUCUGGCAGUUCGCGAAUGCGGGCGUCGAGGGCUCGAGCGAAGUCGGGGGACUGGCGUCCCAGCGGCGUUCGGGCGACGGUGGCCUGCGCUGAGCAGAGCGACGGGUGUCGAGCGGCGUUCGGCGAUGGUGGCGGGCGCUGAUGAGUGAGCAGGGACGUCAGUCGGGUCUUCAGGGCAACGACUACUCAGUGUCGCGAAUGCGGGCGUCGAGCGACGUCGGGGACUGGCGUCCAGUCAAACCAGUGGCAUCCGACGGCGGUGGCCUUGAGGGCGAGCGCGUCCAGCUGAAUCGGAGGACUGAGUGAGGAAGAUACAGAGGACAGGAGGUUGGAGGCUUGGAGUUGGAGCGCCGAGCAGGGGGGGUUCCUUUUGGAACCCUAACCGGGUUCCGCGACCGGUUCCGGUUCCGCGCCGGUUCCCAGAAAAAUGGAACCGGGAACCGGAACCGGUCCUUUAAGAACCGGGAACCGGACCAAGGUUCCGGUUCCGGUUCUCCGGUUCCUGGUUCUACCCGCUACCCGUGCUCGCCCCUAAUCAUAUUCACCAAUAAUUUGUACAUUUGUAAUCCUCCAUUUUCGAUCUCUGUGGCAUUCUUUAGCAUUUAAAAUUGUGGACCCUGCGUAUUCUUGUGAGUCGCCCAGUUACACGAUUGGACCUGACUCUGAAUUUUCCGCGGUGAAUUUAAACGGGUGAAUUUAAACGGAAUUCGAAGUCCUCACGACUUACUGCUCCCUCCGGGGGACUGCAAUGGUCGUCUUGAGGCCCCUUUCCACACGGCAUUCCUACGCGUGAAUAAAAGCCGGAAAUCGGGGAAUUCCGGGUCAAAAAAGGAGGUCAAAAGUGGACACGGCGGAGAAAAUCCAGCACCCACUCAUAAUGUUAUAUUGAGCAAAGAUUUAGAGUAAAAAGUAAUAAGAACAUAGGAAAAUCCGGGCCGAAGGGAGGAGGCUUUAGUCAAGCAUUCACACGGUCGCACCCCGUUCGUCACGUAUAGAGCUAGUGGCCUAUUGGGUCAGAAAUGAAAACAAAUUAGGUAACUUUUAAGCAAAGAUUUAGCGGUAUGUUUGCAUAGAGCUAGUGCUCGGUCUAAGCGGUAUCUCCAACUUUGCAAAAUUUCAAGAAGUUUCUUUCUCGAUUGCACUUUAUAUCACUCAUAUCUUAAAUUUUCAGUAUGCAUAAGGCAAAAGAAAUCACUUUAUGCAUAGAAAAAAUAAUAAUACAAAGAAAACAUGUUUAUUCUAUAUUUAUGACCAUACUGCAUAUGGCUAUAAUGUGACUUUUGCAUUCUAGGCUAUUAGAUAGCAUGACGAUCUAACACAUGUUCUUAAGGUAAUGAGAGCGCACGCAAUCAUAUAGUAUAUGUGUUCUUAGGGCGGUAGAGCAUUACUUCCAAGCAAAUAAUAACAUCCACAACUAUUAAACCAGUUCAACUAUGAGAAAGUCAAUCUAUAGAUUGAUAUUCAAGACCCACGAAGUUAGUGAAAUGAUAUAGAAAGUUUGAUGUUUUUUGGAGACAAGAGAAAUCCAAUCUAACUCAAAGAUGGCUUGGAAAUUGCGAAGUACCUUCUUGAGAAAAUAAUUAAUUUUAGAGAAUGAUACCGUGCUAUACAAGGGCUUCUUUUCUCUAAGGAGGAUCUAUUACUUUUUAUUUAUCACCCGAGUAUGCGUAAUGUAUGCAUGAACAAAUGGUAUUUAAAAAAUUAAUUUAAUUCAUUUUGUUACAAGAUAUUUGAAUUAUUAAUUAUGAAAAGAAACUAUUGAUAAAAAUAAACAAUAAGAACUCUGUCAAUAUCCGUCAGUAAAAUUCUUAAGNNNNNNNNNNNNNNNNNNNNNNNNNNNNNNNNNNNNNNNNNNNNNNNNNNNNNNNNNNNNNNNNNNNNNNNNNNNNNNNNNNNNNNNNNNNNNNNNNNNNAAGCACAAGUGGAGAGAUACACUAGAUCUAGAUAGAGGAAGUUAAUAAAGGGAAAUUAAAUUAUACUAUAUAGAACAAAGAGGAAAUGAUCUGUUAUCUAAGUAGGAGAACAAACCUUGGAAGGGGAAUUUCAAGCAGCCCUUAAACGUUAAGCGUAGAUUCAGAGUUGCAUCAAGAGUAUAGGUUAAUUGUUGCCCAUGUUUUUGUCAUCAAAAGUAGUUGACAUUGUUACUCACAAAGACGCAUUCGCCUUUGAGCCAAUUAUAGUUUCCACCCUUGCAACGAUAUUAAUUAUAUCGACAUUUUGUGUGCUAAAUAACACGAAAUUGUUAAAUCCGGUUCACUUACUAAAGUCAAUUGGAGUCUUUUGCAUUAUUUAGUAUAUCAAUAUACCCAUGCAGUAACUAAGUAUCGCGCGUACAUGAGACAUGAGAGACUCCUACCUAAGCGAACAAAUAAGGGAAGGGAAAUUAUACAGAUAUAUGGCCCAUUGAAAUUUUGUAAAAUGAACAGCGUGAGGUUUUUUUUUUUUUUUUUUUCUUUUGGUUUGGACGAUGAGAUAUUUUUUACAAGAUUCAUCAACUAUUUGCAUUUCAUAGACACAAGAUGCGAAAUUAUUUCAGGAAAAGACAAAGAACCAUUAAGGCAAAAUCCGGCAAAAUAGCAUCAUCACUUGGGAGCAAAAUCAACAAUCAGCGUGGAUUCUCCUCUUGGAAGUCACAAAUCUUGGAUCAUUAUCAUUUACGUUUGUAGACCAUAAUUAUUUUUCUUGACUCACCGGAAGUUGGUGAUAGUGAUGAGGGCCACUCUGGUUGGACAAAUCUCAUGUAUUUGUUGAGAUCAACAACAUUGUUGAAGGAAGAAUCAAGAGCCUCCGAUACCCAUAACUUUGAUAAUUCUCCCUUCGCUUCCCCAAUCCUAAGACAUUGCAGGUGUGCCAAACCUGCCAAUGUUACCUUCACCAAAACCGGUGGAUUAUUUGUUUGUAUUAAUUGUAUAAAUUUUAGGAUUUGAAUAUAUUUUCAUAAUAAGUGUAGGAAUACUAUUACACUUUUACUUCUUUUCUUUUUCCUUUUUUGGCGGGUUUUCUUGCUUUGUAUUUUGCUGAUGUGGUGCUUUUUUGGAGCCACAUCAAUGCCAUUCAAUUUUGAUGAAUAAAUGCACUUCAUAAAAAAAUGUCUACGAUUGAAAUGCUCUUUUCAUUUUUACUAAUGGGCCUUGAUAAUCAAUAGUGAACUCAAGUUCUUAUUUAUUCAAUGAGGUGCUCACUUAUAGUUGCUCCAAUUGGGUUUUAGAGUGAUUUAUUUGAUAUAGGCAAAAUUACUAAAAAAAUCUCAAACAUAUUGCAAUUAUACCGAUUCGAUUAUAAACUUUUUUUUUUUUUGAUAAUUGAGCCCUAAACCUUUUCUAUUUGUAUCAGUUUAGUCCAUCCAAUCAAUUUUGGUAGGAAAUUGCCGAUAUGGAUGUCGACCAUCUUAUGUGGUACGGCCAACGUUGAUGUAGACAUUUUUAAAUAAAUUUUUAUAAUUUUUAUAAUCUUUUUUAUAUUUUCUUUUCUUUCCUUUUUCUGGUGAGGAGCCACGCACCCUCACACAAUGCCAGCGGGGGUGUCUUAGCCCUUGCUUGUGGAUGGCCCUAAGUCUAGGGAAAAGAAAAUAAAAGAACUAAAAGGAAAAAAGGAAAAAAUUAAAAAAGAUUAAAAAAUUAAAAAAUUAUUUAAAAUUGCCAUUGUCAUGCCACAUAAGACAACUGGCAUCUAAAUUAGUUAUUUCCAUCAAAAUUGGCUAAAUGAUUGAAUUGACACAAAUGUAAAAAGCUUUAGAAUUGAAUUAACAUAAUGGCUAUAGAUUUAUAACUUUUUCGGUAAUUCCCCCAUUUGGCACUUAUAUAUCUAAAUGAUUUAUAAAAUAACUUGGCAGAGUUUUAUUGAGUUUCAAGCAACUCUAUUGACUAAAAGAAACAUUUAGAAUCUAUUGUAUCAUUUUGUAUAGUAAUUUAUGACAUCAUUUUUUUUUUAUUUCUAGCGUUACUUGAAAAUUUAUUCCACCGUGCUCCAAAAAAAAAAAAAAAUUACUCUUUUAUUUUUUUUUGUCGAACAUUUCGUGUCAUGCUAAUGCAAACACUAUAUUGAUGUUCGGUUUGUUAAGGAAGAGAACAAACGAAUAAAGUGAUGGAGAAAAACACAAAUCCAUGGGAACAAACAAUAUAACCACAAAAUAGUUUACCUCCUACAAGGUAUAGAUACUCUUUCAGCUAUAGAUACUAACCUAAAUAAUUUUGAUUAGUAAAACUUAUGUCGUGUCGGGACGUUUCCGGAUUCGUUUGGGAUCGUUUAAUGGGCAAAUGGGCACUAAAUAGUAAAUCCUCGAUAUCUAGCUAGCUUCAAGGGCUGGACAACAAGCCAUGAGGUCUUAUUUGGACAUUUCAAGAGUUCCGGGCGGCCCCAAGGUGGUCUUAUAACAGUAUUGUCGUUAUCCCUAAGUCGGUCUUGCAUGUUUAUGUCAUAUCGUCGGCAAAUUUGCAUUAUCGUUGUUGGUUCAUGAAUGCUUGGGUGUGUUUAAUUAAAUACUGGUGUUAGGCUUGAAAGAUUCACUUUAGGAUUUGCACCACCUUGAAAAAUUUCUUGUGUAAAUGUGUUGUGUCACGCGCAUAUCAAUUUGAAAUUUUUAAUGAUUAAAAAAAAUUAAUUUGAGAUGAAUUUAUCACAUAUGUAGUAAUUUGGAUUUUUUGUGGUAUUAACCCUAUGGAUUUCCAUGUUAUACCAUGUCACCAUAUGUCAUCCACAUCAUCAAAUUCAAUGGUAAAAUUUAAGGGUGUUACAAGGGUACCAAUUUAAGGUUUUUUGUGACAAAAAGUUUAUUUGGGGUAAACUUCUCACUAGUAAAUCAUAUAAGAUUUUUCAUGAUAUUAAUUCAUUUUUCCAAUGACUUGAAAGUAAUGAACUAGAUCGAGUUUCUAUCUACCUACUAUAUUUUAUUUUCCUUGCCAACGGGAAUGUUCAGUCAUACCAUUAUUUAUAAUGCCAUGAAAGAAAAUAAUUAUCGCAAGGAGAUCAGAGUAUAUGCUGCGGUGGUUGGGUCAUGUAAUCUAUAGGAACUAAUUCCAAUAUUUUGAAGCAUGGAAUCUAACCACAUUAAAAUCAUCCUAGAACAUGUAAAAAGAAUUGUUUAAUAAAAAUUGCCGCAACUGAAUAUCUUAAUAUUAGGGCCGAGCAAAAUAGCCGAGUGCCCUGUAAUCCCGCAUCAGACCAACACGAUCUUUUUCUAGCUUCCUCAGGGGUCAAGGCCAUUCGGGCCUGUAAAAACGAAAGAAUUAUAUUAACGAAUGCCCUAGAGAACCAGUUAAUAUCAUUUUAAGGAAAGUUUGCGGUUUUCAAUUCAUCACUUUUUCUUAUUAUAAAUAAUUAAUGUAUGAAAGUUGGAGUACUUCCUUAUCAGGCUAAAGUCUAGUCUAUGCUUGAGGAAGUGUCAGAACAUUUUAAUAUUAAACAACACAUUCACAUAAUAAUUUCAACUUCUAAAAUGAUUGGUAUUGGUCCUAAAAAUCUCACAUUUUCUUAAGAUAUAAGAGAAAUGCAUAAAUUGUGCUCUCAACUUCACUAUAAGACGAAUUAUCUAUAAAAUCGAUCUCCUUUUCAUAUGUGGAUGCUUUGUUCAUCUUUUUUUUUUUUUUUUUUUUUGGGAAUAUUUUGCUGUGUCAGGUAAAAAGCAAGAAAGAAGAAAAGGAAAAAAAAAUUAGAAUUAGAUUAAAACCAACCCAAAGAAGUUGGAAAAGCAAAAGAAGAAUUUAGAAGAGAGGCCACAUAUUUCCCUUUCUGUUCAAUCCCCAUUUAUUUUAAGUAAUAUCAAAAGCAUCAAUAGUUUCUAGAGGGGCUAAGAUAUGGAAGAUCGCAUGGAUACAGGGGAGUCAAGCGAACUGUCAAAUUUAUACUGAUCACAUGCACAUAGCAUCAUCCAAUUGAGAACAUACAACAUAGGCAAAAUGCUCUUGGUUAUGUUAUUCGGAAGAGCUUCUCAAACCAUUGGCUUCUUUCUUGUGUUUAUGGUGUCUUAACUUUAUUGUCACCACAGGGAUGUUUGAUGUGGCGAAGUCCUGUGAAGGUGGCACGGUUAAAGUCCUAAAAGUCCAGCAAAGAAUUGUACUUCAUUUCCGUAUCUUUGGCACAAUUUGAAACAGUAGUCCUUGAGUUGGUACUAGCAAGGGAUCCCCAACGUAAUGAUCAUCUGAACAUAACUCCCACGAGUACAGAGUGACCAGAGAAUGGAUUGCAACGAGGGUUUCAAUCCUUACAAAUUCAUUUCCUGGGCAUAUGUGAGGCCCUCCUCCAAAAGGAAUAAAGCUGUAGGGUGGUAUUGACUUCUGCUUUUCAAAUCUACUAGGAUCAAACUUUGAUGGCUUCGGGAAUAUGCUCUCACCCAUAUGUGUCACGUUCGAUGCCCAGAAGACCUAAAUCAUGAAUCAAAUACCAAAUUUAUGCUAACAGACUGGUUUCACAGAUAGAGAAUAUAUAACAGAUAGUGCAAGCAAGCAUUUGAAGAGAUUGGAAAAGUUAUUUGCAUCCUUACCUGCCAGCCUCUAGGAAUGAGGUACCCACCAUACUCAAUAUCCCUUGAAGCUAACCUGAAGCCACCAAAAACAGGCGGAACCAUCCUUAAAGUUUCCAUCGCUACUCUCCGUGUGUACUUCAUCCUGGCAAGGUCUUCCUAAGUUAAAGGUUCUCCUGUAGUCUUGCUUUUUGCUAUCUCUUCUUCUUCUGCAAAAGCAAAACGAGCUUAUUAUUCUUUCGCAAUAAGGGGGGAGUAACAUGCUUCUGAGCUUUGUUAUUUAAGUUGACAUCUAGCCUUGGAAACUCAGACAAAUUCAUGUAUCGAGCUUUAUUACAUUUGUCAAGCCAUCCGGGAUCCAUCAGCAAGAUAGAGAUCGUCCAUGGUCCUUAUGCAGCUUGAGUCAUAGUUCGAGAGUGAACUAGGUUUGAACAAGUUCUUUGUUUUGUUUCGAUUUUCCUUCCUUUUUGUGCUGCAGGAAUCUCUAUGCAAAUUUGACAAAUUUAAAAAGAUGCUAGGAUUAGAGGAUGUUUACCUUGAAAAACUGCUUUACAAACAUCGGGAUUCUUACAUAGAAGACGCAGCAUAAAAGCUAUAAGUAUGGAUGAGGUAUCAUGUCCAGCAACCAUGACAAGCACGAUAUUAUGCAGAAUUUCCUUGUCAGUCACAACUUGUUCAUUUUCUUCAUUGUGCUUACUCAACAAGCACGUGAUUAAGUCUUGAUGAGGGGCUGCAGUUUGCUGCUCUAGUUUCACCUUCUUCUCUUGUACAAGUUCCUUCAACAUAUCUUGGAUCCUGGAGCUUGCAUGGAGGCUCCAAUCGUAGCGCAUGAAUGGCAGCUUUACUGGAAUUGACCACAUUCCCUAUCAUUUCUUGAAAUUUUUGCAAGAAUUUCCUCUUUCUGCUCUUUCCUCCAUACCAAAGGGAAGAGCGCUUAUGAUGUUGAAUGUAACAGUUUUCCAUCAGGGGCAAUGCCUAUAGGAAGAUCAAAACAUUAGUGUUAUUUACUCACUUUUCAUUUAUCGAAGAGAUUAUGCUCACUCCCAGUAUAUGCAUUCAUUCUCCCAGGCAAUACACACGGAGUGUCACACCCCAAAAGCUACAAAGAAUGGGGGUGACACGGCCGUCCUUCUUUACAAAGGACGCAGCCUCAAACACAACCAACAAACUGAUAUUAAUUUAUAUAUAUAAAUAUCAGAUAAACCUUCAAAUUGGUUGCAACAUCAGAGUUUCUAUAAUCCAUCAAAAAGAGAAAAGAUAUACUUCAAAACUUAGACAAUUCCACUAGUAAGGAUCAUUUGCACCACUUCCUUAAACCAUACCAAAAACAAAAUAGAACUCCCCAAAAGUUUCCCACGAUGGCGCACUCGCUCUAUUCGCCACUAGCUGAGGGACCUGAAAAGAUUAAAGGAGGAAUGGGAUGAGCAACCACAGCUCAGUGAGUAGUACAUAUCUUCUAAGCAGAUCGAACAACCACUAUGCAUGUAUACAAAACAAUACCAAACUUCGUAAGCCAACUCAAUAUAUAAAAUAAGUAUUGAAUCUUAUAAGAGUUAUUUCUUAUCAUCAAGAUUUAUAGUAAUAUGGAAAACUCAUUUGAAUCGCCAUCAAAAUUCAAGUAUCAAUGGUCGAAUCCAUUGAAUAAUCUCCAUCAAAAACACAUAUCAAUGGUCUAUCCAUUGAUCAAUCUUUUGCUCAAUAACUAACCAUGGUCACGACAUAACGCCCUGUGACAAGGCGACCAAGAUUCCCCCCUUGGCAAGGUCUCCACUUACAAAGCCAGUGGCUAGGCCCAGAAGGAUAUCCUAAACUUGGUAUGCAUACCCCAAAAACCCCUCACUGGGUUCAUAGUCAUAUUGAGCAUAAAUAACCAUUCUCCAAUACCAGAAAUCCAAUCCAAAAAUCAAUAUCUUAAACCAAACGAAUAAUAUUUUGCAACAUAGCCCAUCAUCCAUUUCAUAUCCGUUUCUCAAUUCAUCAUAAACCUUUUUAUAAAUCAGUCGCAAAGCAAUUUCAUAUAUGUUCCUCCACAAACCUUGUAUAAUGUGCUUUUCAAAGAUUCACAAUCAAUCAAAGGGUAGCAAUUGCUCGAUCUGGCUUUUAUGCAAUAAAAAUGCUCUUCUCAAUUCAAUAUAUAUACAUAUAUAUAUAUAUAUAUAUAUAUAUAUACAUACUUCAAGACAUGAUUUUUAUAAAACCAAAGAAGAUAUAGUACCACUCACCUUAUCGUCUACGACCAAACGACAAACGAUACUUGUAUCGUCGAACUCAAAGCCCUAUCAAAUAACCGAAGAAUAAUGUUAAAAUCUAAUAAAAUUCUAUCUCGACUACAAAAUGACUAAGUUACACCUUAACUCUAACAAAAGGACUUCUGCGUGCUAACAAAUCGCAUAACCAAAGCGAUUGUUUAAGCCAUUCGCAACAUGAAGUUUAAGUGCAAAACUUGAUCGAGACUUAACUUUCUCUUCCGAACCCUGAUCCGAAUGUACUUAUAUUCAACAGAGAGCCCUUGACACAUAUUAAAAGAAUCCCAAAUUGGUCAUCCCAAAAUCAAGCCGAAGAAAAUGACAAAAUACGGGCCCAAAGCUGCUGGACGCGUACCGUUCACUGUGCGCGGGAAAUUUUGAAAUUCUGUUUUGGAUAAACCAUAAGCUCAAAUCACGAUCCGUAAAAUCCCACGGCUCCACAACACCCUAAAUUACCAUUCUUGCAAAAAUACGCGGCUCAACGACUCCAAAAAUUAGACUUCGCCGCUCAGUUUUCCAAAAAUUUCGAAUUUAAGUCCUAAAUCCAAAAAUUACUUCAAUCGGACAAAUAAGGGGCUUGAUCUCUUACCGGGUUAUGGAAUCGAGUUGGCUUGGUAAGGCAUCCGAGGCGUGCAUGUGCCAAAACUUAUUUCCUUUCUUCCCUUUUCUCUUCUUCUUCUUCUCCUUCUUUUUCUUAUCUUUUUGGUCGAGGAAACUCUAAGUUUCUGUUUAACCGAACCCUCUCCCCUCUACUUUUGCUUUAAUGACUUUUCGGUUUCUUUUUCAGUUUCUUCUUUUGGGCAAUUUAAAACUUCUUUUUUUCCGUUUAUUCUUUUGGGGCCCACUAUCCUAAUGUUACAUUCUACCCACCUUAAAAAAAUUUCGUCCUCGAAAUUUACAUGUACUUCAAUCAUGAAACAAGUGAGGGUAUUUGUGUCUUGCCUCCUCCUCGAGUUCCCAAGUAGCCUCCCUCUCGGUAUGGUUUUGCCAUUGUAUUUUUACAUAAGGAAUGGUUCGUCGCCGCAACACUUGAUCCUUUUUAUCGACAAUGCGAAUAGGCUGCUCCUCAUAUGUCAAGUUCUCCGGUAAUCUCAAUGGAGUAAAGUCUAGCACAUGUUCAGGAUUUGGCACAUAUUUCCGCAACAAAGAGACAUGGAACACAUUAUGGACACCUGAUAGUGUCGGUGGCAAAGCCAAUUUAUAAGCGACUUCACCAAUUUUCUCUAAAAUCAAGAAUGGUCCCACGUACCUUGGACUUAACUUCCCACGUGUGUCAAAUCUCAUUACACCCUUCGUAGGAGAAACUUUUAAGAAUACGUGAUCCCCCACCUUAAAUUCUAACUUGCGUCUUUUCAAAUCCGCAUAACUUUUCUGACGACUUUGAGCAGUUUUGAGAUGUUCCCGAACCAACCUAACUUUCUCUUCUGACUGUUGAAUGAACUCAGGGCCAGUUAGUCUUUUCUCACCAACGUCGUCCCAACAAAUAGGACUUCUGCAUUUUCGGCCAUAUAAAGCUUCAAAGGGUGCCAUCUUAAUGCUAGAGUGAUAACUGUUGUUAUAAGAAAAUUCUGCCAAAUGUAGGUGUUCAUCCCAAGAACCGCUGAAGUCAAUGAUGCAUGAUCUCAACAUAUCCUCUAAUGUUUGGAUCGUUCUUUCUGACUGUCCAUCUGUUUGUGGAUGGAAAGCUGUACUCAAGUUGAGUUUAGUGCCCAAUGCUCCUUGUAAACUCUUCCAAAAAUUAGACACAAACCUAGGAUCCCUAUCAGAAACAAUGCUUACUGGAACUCCAUGAAGCUUCACUAUCUCAUUAACAUAUCGCUUUGCCAUAUCUUCCAUUGAAAGGCCAAAUCGAUAUGACAAAAAGUGAGCAGACUUAGUCAAUCGAUCAACAAUCACCCAUACAGCAUUCUUACCACUUGGCGUCUUUGGUAGACCAACUACAAAGUCCAUGGCAAUAUGCUCCCACUUCCAUUUAGGUAUCUCUAGAGGUUGCAACUGUCCACCUGGUUUCUGAUGCUCAAUUUUCACUUGCUGGCAAACUAAACAUUGAUCGACAAAUUUUACAAUAUCCUUUUUCAUGUUGAUCCACCAAAAGUUUUCUCUCAAGUCCCUAUACAUUUUAGUGCUUCCCGGAUGAAUUGAAAAUCUAGUACUGUGAGCUUCUUGCAGGAUCUCCCUUUUUAGCUUUGAGUCCUCAGGAACACAUAGUCGACCACGAAACCUCAAGGAUCCAUCUACAUGUAAACUAAAAUCCACUUGUCUUCCAGCUUCCAUACCUUCUCUAAUUUUUUGUAAUUGUGGAUCUUCAUUCUGUUUCGCCUUAAUUCUAUCAAUCAACAUAGGUUGUACUUGAAGAUUAGCUAAUUGAGCACCAAGCCGCUGCACCAACACCUCCAAGUCUAACUUUCUCAUAUCUUCAAGAAUAGGUUCUUGAGAAGUGAGCAAAGCUGCUAUAUUUCCAAAUGAUUUACGACUCAAAGCAUUUGCUACUACAUUAGCUGUACCCGGAUGGUAAUUAAUGGACAAGUCAUAAUCCUUCAAAAGUUCUAGCCAUCUUCUUUGCCUCAUGUUUAGUUCUUUCUGAGUAAAGAUAUACUUCAGACUCUUGUGAUCGGUAAAGACUUCACAUUUUUCACCAUACAAAUAGUGCCGCCAUAUCUUCAAGGCAAACACAACCGCCGCUAACUCCAAAUCAUGAGUGGGGUAAUUUUUCUCAUGUAAUUUCAAUUGUCUAGAAGCGUAGGCAACAACUUUGCUAUCUUGCAUAAGAACACAACCCAAACCUUCUUUGGAUGCAUCGCAGUAAAUUACGAAGCUGCCACUUCCGGAAGGUAGAGUUAGAAUAGGAGCCGACACCAGCCGUCUUUUCAACUCUUGAAAACUGCGUUCACAUUGGUCUGACCAUUCAAAUUUAACUUUCUUCUGAGUUAGACGGGUAAGUGGACCAGCAAUCUUUGAAAACCCCUCUACAAAUCGCCUAUAAUAGCCGGCUAGCCCAAGAAAACUUCUCACUUCUGUAACAUUUGUUGGACGAUUCCACUUAACAACUGCUUCAACCUUCUUUGGGUCCACUAAUAUGCCAUCUUUCGAGAUCACAUGACCCAAGAAUUCUAUGUGAUCAAGCCAGAAGUCACACUUACUAAAUUUGGCAUACAACUUCUUUUCAUGCAAAGUUUGCAAGACAAACCUCAAGUGUUGUUCGUGUUCCUCUAAACUCUUCGAAUAUACUAGGAUGUCAUCAAUGAACACCGCAAUAAAUUUGUCUAGAUAUUCCCUGAACACCCUGUUCAUCAAGUCCAUGAAGGCAACAGGUGCAUUUGUUAAUCCAAAAGGCAUGACGAGAAAUUCAUAAUGGCCAUACCUUGUUCUGAAAGCAGUUUUAGGUACAUCAUCUAUCUUUAUCUUCAAUUGAUGAUACCCAGAACGAAGGUCAAUCUUGGAAAAUACCUGAGCUCCCUGAAGUUGAUCAAAUAAAUCCUCAAUCCGGGGCAAAGGAUAUUUGUUUUUGACCGUUACCUUGUUAAGCUCUCGAUAAUCUAUGCAAAGCCGCAUACUACCAUCCUUCUUUUUCACAAAUAGAACAGGAGCUCCCCAAGGUGAAACACUAGGUCUGAUGAAACCCUUAUCCAAAAGCUCUUGUAGCUGCGUUUUCAAUUCUUUCAAUUCAGUGGGUGCCAUCCGAUAUGGUGCCUUAGAGAUUGGUGCUGUACCGGGCAUCAAUUCAAUACCAAACUCAAUUUCUCUAUCAAGAGGCAAGCCUGGUAAAUCCUCAGGAAAUACACGUGGAAACUCUCUAACAACAGGAACAUCUUCCAACUUUACUAUGACCUUACUUGUGUCUUUUACACAAGCCAAAUAACCAUAGCAACCUUUUCUCAAAAGUUUCCUUGCUUGCAAAGCCGAGAUCAACCUUGGAGAAGUGUUUUGACAACUUCCCGAAAAAGAGAAUUCGGGUUGAUUCGAAAGUCUAAAUAUCACUUUCUUUGAAAAACAGUCAACAAUAGCAUGAUAGGUAGACAACCAAUCCAUCCCUAUAAUAACAUCGAAAUCUCGAAUAUUUAACUCCACUAGAUCCACAGGCAUUUCAACAUUGUUAAUCCGAAUCACACAUCUCUUGAACACAUGAUGACCAACUAAGAAAUUGCCAGUGGGAGUAUCAACACACAAUCCACAUUCAAGAGGGUCAGGCAACACAUUAAGCUUCUUUGCAAAUUCAGUUGAAAUGAAGGAGUGUGUAGCACCAGGGUCAAAUAAUGCAUAAGCACAAUGCGAGGCAAUAGAAAUAUUACCUGCAACAACUGCGUUAGAUGCUGCCGCAUCCUCCUUCGUCAUUGCAAAAACUUUCCCACAUGUACUUUGCCUUUGUUGGUUCUCUUGGGGCCUACUAACGAAAGGGGUAUUCCUCCUCCUGAAACAUUGGUGUGCCAGGUGUCCUUGUCGCCCACAUAGAUUACAUGAUCUAUUGCCAAUAGGAGGAUUCCUUCGUGUAGGACAAUCUCACAGCAUGUGUCCCGCUUUCCCACAUGAGAAGCAUACUCCAAUUUUCCGAUAACACUCACCGUGAUGAUAAUUUCCACAUGUAUUACAAGGGCCUUGGUUACUUGGAUUUUUGAACUGUCCUGGCCGGCUGAAACCUCUUCGCCUUCCACUACCAUCAGUAUGGCUACCUUGCACAUUUGUGGGCUUAAACCUUUUGGGUUGAGGUGCUCCUUGUGUGCCGUGCUUUAGAAUGCUUUGUUCCACCUUGAUUGCUCGUUCUAGCACAUCCUUAUAAGUUGUUAAUACAAAAGGUGCAAGUGCGGAAUUAAUCUCAGGUCGGAGCCCUCCUAGGAAAUGGUCGGCCUUAUCUUCUUCAUUUGCUACCAAGUGCUCUGCAAAUCUACUCAACUGAUUAAAGCGGACUGAAUACUCCAAAACAGUGGAGUCACCUUGAGAUACAUGUACAAAGUCACCCUUCAUCUUUGCCUGGAAUGACUUUGGGAAGAAUUGAGCAUUGAACGUCUUUUUAAAGUCCUCCCAGGAUAUAAUAACAUCCCUACCUCCAAGACUUGGCUUCAUUCCAUCCCACCAAAACUCUGCUUCACCUUCCAGGUAUUGGGUGGCAAAUUUAACUUUCCGAUCCUCUGGAACCUCUUCAGCUUCAAAGAUCCCAUCAAUCUUUUUAAUCCAACGCUCAUCCGCGAGAGGAUCAGCUUUCCCAUCAAAAGUGGGUGGUUUCGCCUUUCUAAAAUGGGCAAAAGUGCCUGAACCAGUUGCUCCAUCUCUAGUUAAUUCCUUUGCUUGGCGAUACCAAUGGAUCAUUGCUUGUUCAAAUUCAGUUGAACGGGUUGGCUCUUGAUCCUUUUCUCUAACUUCGUGCAAGUCAGGACUCCUAUCAUAGUGGUCCUCAAGUCUCCUUCUCAAAGACGCACCUCGAGAAGCUUGAGGCAUGUCUCUAGCCUCAGGGGUAGCGACUCGCUUGCCUUUGCGACCCCUAUGAAGCGAGGCAAGUGUCUCAGAGUCGGUACUCAUGAUCACCUGAACCAAGAAUGAAACUACAUCUUAGAAUCUAAAAGACUAACGCAAAAAUAAAAUCUAUCACACAACCUCACAACNNNNNNNNNNNNNNNNNNNNNNNNNNNNNNNNNNNNNNNNNNNNNNNNNNNNNNNNNNNNNNNNNNNNNNNNNNNNNNNNNNNNNNNNNNNNNNNNNNNNNNNNNNNNNNNNNNNNNNNNNNNNNNNNNNNNNNNNNNNNNNNNNNNNNNNNNNNNNNNNNNNNNNNNNNNNNNNNNNNNNNNNNUGCAACAUCAGAGUUUCUAUAAUCCAUCAAAAAGAGAAAAGAUAUACUUCAAAACUUAGACAAUUCCACUAGUAAGGAUCAUUUGCACCACUUCCUUAAACCAUACCAAAAACAAAAUAGAACUCCCCAAAAGUUUCCCACGAUGGCGCACUCGCUCUAUUCGCCACUAGCUGAGGGACCUGAAAAGAUUAAAGGAGGAAUGGGAUGAGCAACCACAGCUCAGUGAGUAGUACAUAUCUUCUAAGCAGAUCGAACAACCACUAUGCAUGUAUACAAAACAAUACCAAACUUCGUAAGCCAACUCAAUAUAUAAAAUAAGUAUUGAAUCUUAUAAGAGUUAUUUCUUAUCAUCAAGAUUUAUAGUAAUAUGGAAAACUCAUUUGAAUCGCCAUCAAAAUUCAAGUAUCAAUGGUCGAAUCCAUUGAAUAAUCUCCAUCAAAAACACAUAUCAAUGGUCUAUCCAUUGAUCAAUCUUUUGCUCAAUAACUAACCAUGGUCACGACAUAACGCCCUGUGACAAGGCGACCAAGAUUCCCCCCUUGGCAAGGUCUCCACUUACAAAGCCAGUGGCUAGGCCCAGAAGGAUAUCCUAAACUUGGUAUGCAUACCCCAAAAACCCCUCACUGGGUUCAUAGUCAUAUUGAGCAUAAAUAACCAUUCUCCAAUACCAGAAAUCCAAUCCAAAAAUCAAUAUCUUAAACCAAACGAAUAAUAUUUUGCAACAUAGCCCAUCAUCCAUUUCAUAUCCGUUUCUCAAUUCAUCAUAAACCUUUUUAUAAAUCAGUCGCAAAGCAAUUUCAUAUAUGUUCCUCCACAAACCUUGUAUAAUGUGCUUUUCAAAUAUUCACAAUCAAUCAAAGGGUAGCAAGUGCUCGAUCUGGUUUUUAUGCAAUAAAAAUGAUCUUCUCAAUUCAAUAUAUAUACAUAUAUAUAUAUAUAUAUAUAUAUAUAUAUACAUACUUCAAGACAUGAUUUUUAUAAAACCAAAGAAGAUAUAGUACCACUCACCUUAUCGUCUACGACCAAACGACAAACGAUACUUGUAUCGUCGAACUCAAAGCCCUAUCAAAUAACCGAAGAAUAAUGUUAAAAUCUAAUAAAAUUCUAUCUCGACUACAAAAUGACUAAGUUACACUUAACUCUAACAAAAGGACUUCUGCGUGCUAACAAAUCGCAUAACCAAAGCGAUUGUUUAAGCCAUUCGCAACAUGAAGUUUAAGUGCAAAACUUGAUCGAGACUUAACUUUCUCUUCCGAACCCUGAUCCGAACGUACUUAUAUUCAACAGAGAGCCCUUGACACAUAUUACAAGAAUCCCAAAUUGGUCAUCCCAAAAUCAAGCCGAAGAAAAUGACAAAAUACGGGCCCAAAGCUGCUGGACGCGUACCGUUCACUGUGCGCGGGAAACUUUGAAAUUCUGUUUUGGAUAAACCAUAAGCUCAAAUCACGAUCCGUAAAAUCCCACGGCUACACAACACCCUAAAUUACCAUUCUUGCAAAAAUACGCGGCUCAACGACUCCAAAAAUUAGACUUCGCCGCUCAGUUUUCCAAAAAUUUCGAAUUUAAGUCCUAAAUCCAAAAAUUACUUCAAUCGGACAAAUAAGGGGCUUGAUCUCUUACCGGGUUAUGGAAUCGAGUUGGCUUGGUAAGGCAUCCGAGGCGUGCAUGUGCCAAAACUUAUUUCCUUUCUUCCCUUUUCUCUUCUUCUUCUUCUCCUUCUUUUUCUUAUCUUUUUGGUCGAGGAAACUCUAAGUUUCUGUUUAACCGAACCCUCUCCCCUCUACUUUUGCUUUAAUGACUUUUCGGUUUCUUUUUCAGUUUCUUCUUUUGGGCAAUUUAAAACUUCUUUUUUUCCGUUUAUUCUUUUGGGGCCCACUAUCCUAAUGUUACACGGAGGCCAUACGAGUGUGAACCAGUCUUAUGUGAGUAUGAGUGCAUACAUAAUGUGUACCUUAAAAUUUAAUAUUUUUUCAACAUAUCUCGAACAGAUCAAAGAAACAGAGAGAGUGUAUAGAAGUUCAACAUACCGUAACUUUUUCCAUGCCCUGCCAGUGCGACUCGAUGGGCUUUCUGACUUCCCCAUCUAUUUUCCCCACGUACUGCUUCAGGGACUCUGGUAUCAAGAACAACAUAAGAGUCUCUCACGUGUUUUUGAUCUUGGCCACUGAGUUCCACCAGAUUGCGGUCUAAUGGAAUCGCGUGGAUGGAUGAUGGUUGCUUGUUGGCGAGCAUGCUGCUGUCUCCGUAGAAUACAAACUUGUUUGUUGCUUGUCUGUAAAUGAACACUGUCGGUUUACCGAAGAAAGUGAGCUUCGAGAUUGGUCCAUACUUCCUCACUCUUUCUUGGAUCCGUUUUUCUCCCGUGUUCGUCCUCAUGGCUCGGAGCAUGGCAAUGCUUGGGCCUAUGUGAGAUUCCCAGUGGAUCCCGGAGGUAACUUUCUUGAUGAUCUCUCUUCUCCUGCUUACAGAAGAGACUGUAGUAGAAAGAGAAGAUCAAAUGUUCAUUGUUGCAGCAUGGGUUUNNNNNNNNNNNNNNNNNNNNNNNNNNNNNNNNNNNNNNNNNNNNNNNNNNNNNNNNNNNNNNNNNNNNNNNNNNNNNNNNNNNNNNNNNNNNNNNNNNNNNNNNNNNNNNNNNNNNNNNNNNNNNNNNNNNNNNNNNNNNNNNNNNNNNNNNNNNNNNNNNNNNNNNNNNNNNNNNNNNNNNNNNNNNNNNNNNNNNNNNNNNNNNNNNNNNNNNNNNNNNNNNNNNNNNNNNNNNNNNNNNNNNNNNNNNNNNNNNNNNNNNNNNNNNNNNNNNNNNNNNNNNNNNNNNNNNNNNNNNNNNNNNNNNNNNNNNNNNNNNNNNNNNNNNNNNNNNNNNNNNNNNNNNNNNNNNNNNNNNNNNNNNNNNNNNNNNNNNNNNNNNNNNNNNNNNNNNNNNNNNNNNNNNNNNNNNNNNNNNNNNNNNNNNNNNNNNNNNNNNNNNNNNNNNNNNNNNNNNNNNNNNNNNNNNNNNNNNNNNNNNNNNNNNNNNNNNNNNNNNNNNNNNNNNNNNNNNNNNNNNNNNNNNNNNNNNNNNNNNNNNNNNNNNNNNNNNNNNNNNNNNNNNNNNNNNNNNNNNNNNNNNNNNNNNNNNNNNNNNNNNNNNNNNNNNNNNNNNNNNNNNNNNNNNNNNNNNNNNNNNNNNNNNNNNNNNNNNNNNNNNNNNNNNNNNNNNNNNNNNNNNNNNNNNNNNNNNNNNNNNNNNNNNNNNNNNNNNNNNNNNNNNNNNNNNNNNNNNNNNNNNNNNNNNNNNNNNNNNNNNNNNNNNNNNNNNNNNNNNNNNNNNNNNNNNNNNNNNNNNNNNNNNNNNNNNNNNNNNNNNNNNNNNNNNNNNNNNNNNNNNNNNNNNNNNNNNNNNNNNNNNNNNNNNNNNNNNNNNNNNNNNNNNNNNNNNNNNNNNNNNNNNNNNNNNNNNNNNNNNNNNNNNNNNNNNNNNNNNNNNNNNNNNNNNNNNNNNNNNNNNNNNNNNNNNNNNNNNNNNNNNNNNNNNNNNNNNNNNNNNNNNNNNNNNNNNNNNNNNNNNNNNNNNNNNNNNNNNNNNNNNNNNNNNNNNNNNNNNNNNNNNNNNNNNNNNNNNNNNNNNNNNNNNNNNNNNNNNNNNNNNNNNNNNNNNNNNNNNNNNNNNNNNNNNNNNNNNNNNNNNNNNNNNNNNNNNNNNNNNNNNNNNNNNNNNNNNNNNNNNNNNNNNNNNNNNNNNNNNNNNNNNNNNNNNNNNNNNNNNNNNNNNNNNNNNNNNNNNNNNNNNNNNNNNNNNNNNNNNNNNNNNNNNNNNNNNNNNNNNNNNNNNNNNNNNNNNNNNNNNNNNNNNNNNNNNNNNNNNNNNNNNNNNNNNNNNNNNNNNNNNNNNNNNNNNNNNNNNNNNNNNNNNNNNNNNNNNNNNNNNNNNNNNNNNNNNNNNNNNNNNNNNNNNNNNNNNNNNNNNNNNNNNNNNNNNNNNNNNNNNNNNNNNNNNNNNNNNNNNNNNNNNNNNNNNNNNNNNNNNNNNNNNNNNNNNNNNNNNNNNNNNNNNNNNNNNNNNNNNNNNNNNNNNNNNNNNNNNNNNNNNNNNNNNNNNNNNNNNNNNNNNNNNNNNNNNNNNNNNNNNNNNNNNNNNNNNNNNNNNNNNNNNNNNNNNNNNNNNNNNNNNNNNNNNNNNNNNNNNNNNNNNNNNNNNNNNNNNNNNNNNNNNNNNNNNNNNNNNNNNNNNNNNNNNNNNNNNNNNNNNNNNNNNNNNNNNNNNNNNNNNNNNNNNNNNNNNNNNNNNNNNNNNNNNNNNNNNNNNNNNNNNNNNNNNNNNNNNNNNNNNNNNNNNNNNNNNNNNNNNNNNNNNNNNNNNNNNNNNNNNNNNNNNNNNNNNNNNNNNNNNNNNNNNNNNNNNNNNNNNNNNNNNNNNNNNNNNNNNNNNNNNNNNNNNNNNNNNNNNNNNNNNNNNNNNNNNNNNNNNNNNNNNNNNNNNNNNNNNNNNNNNNNNNNNNNNNNNNNNNNNNNNNNNNNNNNNNNNNNNNNNNNNNNNNNNNNNNNNNNNNNNNNNNNNNNNNNNNNNNNNNNNNNNNNNNNNNNNNNNNNNNNNNNNNNNNNNNNNNNNNNNNNNNNNNNNNNNNNNNNNNNNNNNNNNNNNNNNNNNNNNNNNNNNNNNNNNNNNNNNNNNNNNNNNNNNNNNNNNNNNNNNNNNNNNNNNNNNNNNNNNNNNNNNNNNNNNNNNNNNNNNNNNNNNNNNNNNNNNNNNNNNNNNNNNNNNNNNNNNNNNNNNNNNNNNNNNNNNNNNNNNNNNNNNNNNNNNNNNNNNNNNNNNNNNNNNNNNNNNNNNNNNNNNNNNNNNNNNNNNNNNNNNNNNNNNNNNNNNNNNNNNNNNNNNNNNNNNNNNNNNNNNNNNNNNNNNNNNNNNNNNNNNNNNNNNNNNNNNNNNNNNNNNNNNNNNNNNNNNNNNNNNNNNNNNNNNNNNNNNNNNNNNNNNNNNNNNNNNNNNNNNNNNNNNNNNNNNNNNNNNNNNNNNNNNNNNNNNNNNNNNNNNNNNNNNNNNNNNNNNNNNNNNNNNNNNNNNNNNNNNNNNNNNNNNNNNNNNNNNNNNNNNNNNNNNNNNNNNNNNNNNNNNUAAUGAUGAACGAUGUUAGUGUUUGCUCUGGGACUUUAUGCCAUGUACCUUCUACAUUUUAAACCCGCGCUUCCUCGACCAAUUUGUCUUAAUUCCUGCCAGCAUUCUCAAUUCUCGUCUUGUUAUAUUUUGGCGGAGGUGGAUAUGCAACCUUGAAUCUGUUUGCUGUAAAAGACUCAUUUCCUGUUUCCAAGUCUACAACAGCAAAUGAGUCGGUCUCAUGAAAACGGUGAUGAGUGGGAAAGCGAGAGUUAUAUUUAGCUCUAUCUUUGUCAGUUCCUGAACUUUUAUUUUCGGUGGUAGAUUCUUUCUGGAACGAGUGGAUCAAUUUUGACACAAAUCCUACUAAGAAAAAAGAUGCUGCCCCUUUAUACAGGGUCACCAGGUGCCUUACUGAAGAUUGCAAAUGAGAUCAAACAAAUAGCAUUAGAUUCUGCCAAUUUUAACAACGGGAGUUGAGCCCGGAUGUGUAUUACUUUGUACUUGUUUCAGUCACCAAAUUAAUUCAACAGAAGAGUAACAAAAUCUAGUUUCAAAAAUUGUAUUUGUAUUUCUCAAAAAAUUCCAAGGAAAAAAACCCAUCAACGAAAAAUCCAGCAAAAUCGCAUCAUCCCACAUGAUAAAACAAGAAAGAGGGCAAGAGAAGAAGAACAAUGCAAAGAAAAUGUGAUGGGAGUGGAGGUGGGAUUCUAGGAAAAUGCACUGAAAAUUAUUCCAACAGAAGUCUUGAUUUUUUUAACCAGAAAGGAAAGGAAAGCUAAUCCUUAGGUUAAUAAGUGAAGAAAUCUUAUUACUGGCAAAAGCUGGAACAGUGAGUAGUUCCUAUGCGGUUGGGAUAUUCCAAAUGAUGCAAAAUUCUUACCUUACUGCACCAUAACUAUAAUUCCAUCCUAGUGUCUGCUUCUUUACACCAAAUGUGGCCUUACGUCAUGUUUGGUUGCAUUUGGACCUCUGUUUGGUUGCAUAGUUUUUGAGUUGAUGGACUGGAAUGGCAUUCUAACAAUCGGGAUAAACUUAUCUUUGUCUAAGUAUCACCUAUAUUGCUAGAAAUGCAUUUAAUAUUUUUUCUUCAAUAAACUAUACAUAUUCCACGCACUUGCACUAUCUAACAGCAUACUUGGUCGUGUAAACUCCCCCACGAAGAAGGGAAGGUUGGUACUUCUAUUUCCUACUCAUAAUGGGCUUGGCAUUGAUGAACUUAGAGGCGGCUGAGUUCGAAGUGAUGAACAUUGAUUGUGCUGGGAUGGAAGGUGGAUGAAAGCAAAGAGAAAGUUACAGUGAGGAUCCAUGGGUGAAAUUGUUGCCUCAUUUGAAGGAAAAUUUUUAGAUGAACACGGAUCAUGUGAGCGCGGCUUAGAUCCACCGUUAGAUGAGGUGGGAUCUAUGUGAUCUAAGGGUACAUGUGAGCAUGAUCCCGAUGCAGGCAAUAAUUGCUUCAUUUGAAGUUGGAGUUGGGAGCAACAACCAUCUAUGGAGAAGUUUGAAGUCAACCUUGACAAAUAAUGUUUCAGGCAUUGGCAGAGUACUGAGCAUUACCUUUAACAUAGCCGCACCCAGCAUUAAAUAAUAACCCUUGGACAGAAACUAAAGACACAGCAUAUUACCAAAGGUAAUAAGCAUGACCCACACUUCCCACAGAAAGCAAUGGAAUGUGUUGAUUCUUAAGGAAUUCAAAACCUUGAUAAUAGUCAACUUUACAAUAAGGUAAAUCAACAAGGGCUACUGAGUAUGCAAUUCUCCACAUGUAAGCAAAGAGGUCGUGAUCCAAGCUGUUCAAUCAAGUAGGAGACACCCCACAAGACACGUACCUCACAAGAGAUGUGCUAAACUUUUUUAAUGAUUAGUCUGCACUAUUAGAUGACCAAAAGCAAAUACAAAGUGCAUUAUGGAAAAUGAAAAGCCUUUUGAAGGGGAAAUGAUUGUUCGAAUCGCGUCUAAAAGUAAAAGGGUAUUGCUGAAAAAUGCAUAGCAGAGACUGUGAUGACAGAUGAAUGGCAGAAAACAGAAGUACCUUGGACAUCAGGCAGAAGUCAAGCAGAAUGAGAUCACAACGAAGACAAAAGAAUCCAACAUAUGCAGAGCUGCAUUGUUUUUGUUCCAAGAGAAGACUCAACUUCAGUAUAAUGUGCCUGCUGCAGAAUUCAAAGUAACUAAUUAGUAUUACUAUUGGAAAAGGAAAGGAGGGAAAAAGAAAAGAUGAAGAUGGACUAGCAUAACGACUUACAUUAUGCUGGAAUUAACUGAAGAAUUAAAAAACGACAAAGGGUCGAAGCAGAGACUUGACAUGAGGAGGACCCCACUCCAGCGACUCCCAACUUGCCUCAUCAUCUACUACUAUCUCCCUAAGAGAAGGGAAGCUGUUAUUUAGUAUGGGCAGAUGCAAAGGAAUCCUCUUCAGCUUCGGACAAUCCAAUAAUCCAAUAUUUUGGAUGGAAUCACAAUUUAUUGUCCCAUCAUAUAUGCCCUCCAGUUCUGGUAGUGUAAUUAGAUUCAAGAAGUUUAACUUUGGCAAGGAGGAAUGGAUGGAACUGAUGUUUAUACAGCUGACUUCAUCUCCUAGUUGUCGCUGCUGUCCUUCACAGCCAAUUAUCUCCUCCAUCCUUUUGCAGUCAUGCACUAGAAUGCCUUGGAUAUUAGGGAGGUGGAGCAGCAAUUCAUGAGUAAGAAGCUUCUGCAUGUUGGGGCAUCGCUCUAUCCAAAUAUACGUAAGAAGAGAAAGGGCACCAGGUGGCAUAGCUUGGGGAGCCCUUCCAAUUAUCUCCUCCAUUUUCUCACAAUGCUGUACUGUAAACUCUCUCAGGUUAGGAAGGUGAGGCAGCAACUCAGAUUCCACCACGCUCUUCAUGUUGGCACAACGCUCUAUCACAAUCUUUUCUAGGUUAGGGAAGGCAGGGAGUGGCGUUGCAAAUAUUGCUCCUGCUGCAGUUAUCCCUUGUAAUUCCUCACAGUUUUUUAUCACAAUCUGUUGUAGAUGCGGAAGCGUAACUUUAGAAUGAUUCCCAAAGAGAUACUUCAGUUUGGGACAUCUCUCGACAGUCAGCAUCUUAAGACUAGGGAAUAGGAGAGGGAAGUCAUGAUUGUCGAUUACUUCAUCCACUCCUCCACAAAGCAUCUGUAAGUUUACCCAUUCUUCCAUUAUUAGCACCUUGAGGCUUUCAAGUGGACCGAUGUUGGACAAAUUUGUCAUGCCUCCACAUUUUCUCCCCACCAAUCUCUGCACGUCUGGCGCAAUCAAAAUAGAAUCCUCAUUGCUUUCCCCUCCUGCCCUGACAAUAUCAUAAUUGCAACAACAAUGUACAUUUUCCUCUCCGAAGUCCCAAAUCUUGGAUCAUCAUAUACACUCACAAACCACAAUGAUUUUUCUUGAUUCACCACAAGUUGGUAAUAGUGAUGAGGGCCACUCUGUUGGAGAAAUCUCAUGUAUUUAUUGAAAUCAACGACGUUCUGGAAAGAAGAAUCAAGAGUCUCCAAUGCCCAUAACUUUGUCACGUCUUCUCCCUUCACUUCCACAAUCUUUAGAUAUUGCAAGUUUGCCAAACCUGCCAAAUUCCCUUCCACUAAUAUUUCUAUACCUGAUUUGGAUAAGUCGAGGUAUCUCAAGUUUACCAACAUUUCCAAGCCCUCCACUGCUUUCAAAUAUCUACAUCCAUGAACAUCCAACUUCCUCAAUGAACUCAGCUUUCCUAAAUAAGGAAUACGACACAAUUCCCGACACUCCCUCAACAACAAUGCCCUUAAGUUUACCAAAUCUAAGAUGGAAUUGGGAAGCUCUCUGAUCCCACAUCCACUCAGGUUUAGAACCUUCAACCCCUCCAAUCACUUGAAGAAAGAGUUAGGGAUUAGUACAUUCCCCCAUAAGCUACCAUUUAAUAGCAAAGUCGCCAGUUUAGGACAGUUUGGUGACAUGUUCGAUGGAAUAACCCUAAUGUAAUUCUCCAUGAAAGAAACUUCUCUACACCAUCCAUCCAGCAUUCCUCACUCAGAAGCCUUGUCAAACCCUUGCCCGCUUUAAUCAUGGAAGUCGCACUCAUGACAUGCAAAGCCAUAUCUCUGAUCAAAUCAUGCAUCUUGACCAUACCCCGAUCAUUUUCCAACAAGCAAACAUUUUCAAGUUUGUUCAGUAUGGUAAGACCUCUAUCAUAAAAUUUCUCCCUCUUAUCCAAUCCACCAAUCAAUCCUUCAUCAAUAAAAAAUUCUAUCAGCUCAAACUUAUGAAUUAGUCGGUCUUCUGGAUAAAGUGCGCAGCAUAAGAAACAUUGUUGGACUUCAUGAUUACUCAGGCGACUGUAACUUAAUUUUAAAUUUGUUAAGACCUUCUUUUCCAUAUCCAUUUGCCCCAUGUUAGAUUCUUUCAAUCUCUCUAAGAUAUCCUUCCUUUCAAACAGAUCACUUACUCCUCUCAUGGUUCUUGCCAUCGUGAUGAUUCCUAGUGGUAGACCAGCACAUUCUUCUACAAUUAGCUUCAUAACGGCUUCAAUUUUCAAACUAAGAGCUUCAGGUCCAAGUUCCUUCAAAAAUAGGCUUUGUGCCUCAUUAGGAGACAAAGGUUCGAUUUUUAUCUUCUCCUGACAAUGCAUCUGGCGGCAUACUUCAAAGGACUGAGUUGUUACCACCAACUUAAGUCCAUCAGCUUCGACAGGGAUACCCACCUCAUCAAGAUCAAAAUGUUCCCAUACAUCGUCAAGGAUAAGUACAGACUUCCCUCUUUUACUUAAUUGAUGAAACAACAUUGCCGCUCGUUUCAUCAUAUCCUCUUCUUUUAGACCACCUAAUUUUAGCGCCUUCCAAAUGUCACCUUGCAGCUUAUGUAUGCUGAGAUCUUGUGACACAGCAAUCCAUAAUACAUUAAUAUGAUUUCCUUUUUUUAGGAGCCUAUUAUGUAUGUGCACCAUAAUGGUUGUUUUCCUGACACCCCCCAUACCAUAAAUACCUAAUCGUGAUAUGUGAUCCUCUGUUAGGCACCGCAAGAUCUUCUUAGUAUUUGUCUCAAAUACCUUACCUGCCUGCAACUUUCGUUCUAAUAAUAUAUUGACUUUGGCAUCUCCCACCUCAAACAGUCCUUCUGGAAAUUUGCCUUUUAUGUUAAGGUCUUCUGCUUCUUUCAUCAACAAAUCCACCUGUUGUUGUGGUGGCAAAUUUUCUAUGCUCACUGGUUCAAGACUUUGGAAAUUUUUCCUCAGCUUUUCCACGUUCAUCUACCAAUUCACAACUUCUAUUCUCCGCUUCUUCAGAGAUAGAGAUGCAGCAAAUUCUAACUCAUUCUUUAUGUCAGCUUCUCUAUUGUAGAGUCGUUCUACCUUUCUUUUCAAAUCUCCAUUAUUUUCAAAGUUGCCAGUGUUUGGAUGACUCGUGAUUGGCAUACCUGUAUAAAUAGCUAAUUGUGAAUCAAGAAUUCUAUGUGUUAGAUCCUAAUGUAACCAUUCAUCCUUCUCCCUAACUAAGUAAGAUCAGAAUACAUAAGGAUCAAUUUAGAUGAAUAAACAUGUACCUUGCGAUGAUGAUGGACUACUCACAUCUGUGUCCAUUGGAGCUUGUGGGAUACAUGUAAUCAAGAACUGGUUAUUCUGUGAUGAUGAUGAGGAGACACUUGGGUGAUGCUCUGUGUUCAUUGUCUCCAGAUUAAGAGGUUGAUCUGGAAGACUUUGACAUGGAGGGUGCCUGGAAGCUGGUUGAAAAAGUAAAGCAGAUUAAUUCAUCAUUAACAAUCCUGAUCAAUCAACCAUUGAAUUUUCAAAACAAGCCACGAGCCUAAGUAGAGUCAAAAUCUAGACUUAAUCCCAUAAAACAUCUACACUGAAACUAACAUUUACAUCUGUUUGAUAUUCUCAUAUAACAGUCAUCAUUAAAAAAUGAGAGGAAGUACAUAUAUGAAACAUUCAAGGAUAUGCCUGUAAUUAGGAAAAUGCAGGAGAUGUUAAAUAAGGAGACAAUUAGUAGAAAAGAGAAGUGAAGGAUCACUUCAAGGCAUACAUUGUAAUGACAAUGGGCCUUCUGUGUUAGUUCCGCCCCCUGGAACUUGGGAAUCUAUGUCCAGUUUCUCAAAAGAGUGAGGACCAGUGGAAGGCUGUGAUGCACGUGGCGAAGAUAUGUCCAUUAAAGCUUGUAAGGGAAAGGAACUAGUCUCAUUUUCGCAUUCUUCAUCACCUAGCAGAAGUGGCUGUUGACUAAAAUGCUCAAUGGCAUUGGUUACACUUGUGGCAUUGGACAGCGGAACUACUUUGGCAAUAGGGAUUUGAUUGCAGUCUUGCAAACAAUUUGAAGUGCCUACAUGAAGGGAUUGAUCAUUUUGUGAUGAUGAUGGACCCGUUCGAUUCUGCAGGUUGUUGACACCUAAUUUUUGCCCAAAAAUAUUUCAUUCCGACAUAUAGAUUAUCUAGGUGUUUAAUAUCGUGUUUUAAAUGAAAGAUGUUUUCCCUAUAAAAAAAAAAAAUAAUUUAAAAAAAAAGAAAAAAAAGAGAAGAAAUCGCAAAAAAAAAAAAAAAAAGAGAGAGCAAGUUGGGGCCAACGAUCUAAAUGUGACUAGCCAAGCCUAGGAGGUCAGAUUGGAAUUCAAAUGACAAUUUGGGGCCAAAAUGCAAUUUCCAAAAGUCGAGGGACCAAUUCGCAAAUUUUGCAAAAUUUGUGCCCGAGCCCUUAAAUCAUCAUCUUGGUCAUCAAUUAAGUUGAAAUUGAAUUUGGGCCAAGUAGAAUCAAUCAAAUUGAGCCAAAAAGACCACAUUUGUAUUGAAUUGGGUAUUUUCGAAUAAGAAAAUGGCCAACUUUGAGGGACUUUUUGGCAAAAUUGGGUGGGCACAAUUGCGAAAAAUGGUCAAGACCUUAAACUACUAUACAUGAUCUUUCUAAUUGAUCAAAAAACGCAGCCAAAUUAGUGGAUUAAAGCACUCAAAUUAGCAGCCAAAACUCAGUCCACGAGUUGGUCUUAAUCCGGAGUUGCUGAGUAAGCAAUUUGGUGGCCCCACCAUAUCCUCCUCAGCUGCCUAACCAGCCCGAUCUUUGCACGUGAUGGAAGACCGUAUAUAGUAGUGCAAGUGGACGAAAAUUGGCCAGGGAUAAGCUUCUGACAGCACCGGAAAUUCGCAGCAAAGUCCGCACACUCAACAGCUGCAGAACUUAAAAAAUUGGCUAAGUCAGAAGAGUAGGUGAAGUAGCCCUGUUGACAGGCUUGGUAGGUGGACAAAAGGCUGACCAAAAAUCCCUUAAUUCGGGGGAUAAGAUCACUAAAGCAAGGUAUUUGAAGGGAUGAGAGAGAGGAGAUGAGAGGGAGAGGAGAGAGCUCGGAAUCGCCCCCCAAAGAGGCCUUCAGAAGCAACUCCAGGAAAGCAAACCCAGAAAUUCCAGAUCAACCUCCAGAGAGAAAAGGGAAAUUUUCGCAAACUUGCAACCAAAAUUAGCCAAAAUCUUAAACUAGAGAGUGAAACUUCACUCAAAGAUCUUUCCAUCCAUAGGUCGCACGUCCAAAAUGAAGAUCAGGAAGGCCUCCUAAAGCCCCCCGAAACAGUGCCCUCCUGGCGGGCCAAAGAAAGUCCGAAAAUUUUUCUAAGUGUUGAGCCCGGUUGAUCACGAGUGAGAGAAAUCGAGUGUUUUUGAGAAAUUUGAGAGACAAAUGAGGAAAACCAUGAGUUCAAACCAAAACUAGAAUACAUAUAGUUUGGAUUGGUGUCAAGUUUUUCAACAAAAGACAUUUGAAGUCUAAUUUUGGAGGUGAGCUAAAACCUUCGUUGUCAGUUCAUUUUUUUUGCAGAUCUCAUUUCCAGUUGAAGAAGCCAAUUUCCAUAGGCCCCCGAGGAUAAUUUGUCGGUUUCAUCGGCCAAUAACCACUUGAAAAGGAUACUAGGAAGUAAGGUAAGCAUCUUAGAUAAAUUUAUUUUCGAGUUUGAGCAUGUUUUGAUCAUGAAAAUCAAGAGGAAAACCAGCCCGGAAAACUGAUUUAUGAGGCUGAAAUUUUUUUAAGUGUUUGAAAUCUCUUCAAGAGUUUUGCAUGUGUGCUUCUUGGAGAGGUUGUUUUGAUGUUUUUCAGUGAGUCAUUCUCUAUGAUGUUUGUUGCAUUUGAAAGCCCAUGUUACCUAAUUUCACGUGGAUAAAGUAGCAUUUCCCUUAGAUCUCGUAUGUGAUGAGUGUUGGGGGUUGAAUAUGGGCAUGUAACAUGUUUGCUUGACUUGGGUUCAAACCCAGAUUUGCAAAAUCAGCUCAUUUGAGGACGAUUUUAGCUUGGUUCUAGUGUGUUUUUAGCUAUGAUUUCUAUCUAAUCUUGUUCUUUGCAUGUGGUAGUAUAAUCUUGAUACUUUAGUUCCACAUGAGAUUGCUUAUGAGUGAAGAUUGAAGGUUGCAAACAUGGCUCGAGGAGGCUAUUGGGGCUAGUUUAAUGCACACCAAGUGUUCGAUAAAAUGUCCAAACUAAGCUUCGAUCUUGAAACGGUCGAUUUGAGCUUGAUUAUUGUGAUAUUUGUGUGCUGUGUUACUCCAUGUUAGCAUAGAUCGGCUUAAAGAAUUUAUUUUUUUUAAAUAAUUAAAAAAAAGAGAAAAAAUAUUAAAUUUUCAAAAAUAUCAAAAAAUGUUAGAUAGCAUCAAAUUAGGAUAGAAAUGACAUAUAUAAAAUUUUCCUAUUUUUAAAAGGUCAUUUUCCUAAUUUAAUGCUAUUUUUUUGGUAUUUUAUAACCAUUUUUGUAAAUAAUCCAUUUUGCGUAGAUUAAAACUAUUUAAAGUAAUUUCAUGCACAUAGAGCAAUUUCAUGCAUAUUUGAAUUCUCAUUUUGCUCAUGGGGGUCCUGUCCCGGGAUGUGAUAACAAGGCCAUGUAAUAUUAUUUGCCCGACUUGUAUCGGGUUUACCUUUUCCGCGUUUAUUUUCAAGUCAUUUCAAUUUCUUGGCUGUUUACUUACGCGCCGCCUUUCAUUAAUUUGAGUGUAAAUUUCUCUUCUAAAUUAUGUUAGGAUUAGUCUAGACAUUAAAAAAAAAAACUAGAAAAACAUUUGCAUGUAUACUUAGUGGUUCCAUAAAGAUUAUAAUUUGGUAAUCAGAUUGUGUGGCCNNNNNNNNNNNNNNNNNNNNNNNNNNNNNNNNNNNNNNNNNNNNNNNNNNNNNNNNNNNNNNNNNNNNNNNNNNNNNNNNNNNNNNNNNNNNNNNNNNNNUUUAGAUAAACAACCUUCCAAGUUAGUGGUACCGCAAGGGCGCUAAUAGAAACAUUGGCGUAAACAAGUCCCCCUUCCUAGAAAUCUCUGGUUGCGUAGGAAUUGAGACACCACUCCCGUGUCUUGAUUGGUUUCUAGCCGGCCCCAAUAAGCUAGUGGCGACUCCUAGAAAUAUUUAGGUUGUUAAUAAUUGAAAUAUGAAAUCCAACGUCGCGCGAGGUAUGGGCUUGGGAGAGCCCGCGCCUAAUUUAGGGCCAUUGGUCUACUACUUUAGGCAAAUACCCCUAAACCUUCUUCAUUUUCCCCCAUACGAAAAAAAGAGGUCGUGACACAGGUCACUCAUUUGCAUUUCCUCAGCAUAACGAGAUGGAAUGGAAUACUGUGGCUGAUAGGGCUUAUCAAGAGGAUAAGAUGCCCACUCUACUGAAUAUAUUUGCAGACAUGAAGCACUUUCACCUCUCCAUUGCUCAUCAAAGCCAGAAUGUGUUUGAUUGGGAUGCCGGGGAGUGCCAAUUGUACUUGUGUCACUGAGACGGGGACAAGGCACAGCAACACCAGGUCUAGUUGGCUGAUGCAACCCAUUUGUCACGCUGUUAUUAAGGGAUUGAUGACUUUGCAAUGGUGAUGGCCCUCUACUAUUCUGUUGUUCAUACCUUGGCUCGAGAUCAAUUAACUGAUCAAAAAGCUCUGGUAGUUGACUCGGAUCAAGAAAGAUCGAAGCCGCUGGAUCAGUUGAAGGUUGCUGGAGUGAUGAAGUUUUUUCGUUUCCAUGUUCAUCAUUCAAGCGUUGAAUUGGCCCAUUGGGUUGUGGCGCCAUUUCUGUAUCACCUGCAAGCAUGUCAGCGAGACACAAGGACUCUUGACACUGACAAUCUACUGAAGCUGCACCAUCAACACUUCCAUUCUGCCAAGGGCAAGAUGGUUGCUCUGGGACGUUUUGAUUCAAGCUCUGCAUGUCAUGGGGACUUGAAGAAUGGUCACUACCAAGGACUACAAUUUGGCCCAUACCAUCACUUCUUCGUCCCAUUACCUCAAUAGAUGCGCCCCCCCUGUUGGUUGCAUCCGCCACACUUUUACCUUUCAUUGCUUUCAAAGCUUGGGAUCUCACAUGAUCAUCAACUCUCUCGCAUGGUUUUAUACCGUAGCCCGGAACCCCCGUGAGGUGUGCCCUGAUCCUUGUAGCACUUCCACCAGAAUCCUUGCCACAAAACUUACACUUCUACUUUUUCGCCACAACCUCCACAUGCCUCCGAAAUGGAUCAACCUCUCUAGGCAUCUCUUAUUCUGAGCUACAAAAGAGGGGACAACUUCGAACUAACUAGAAAAGAAUGAAGUCAGACAAGAUCUACAUGUAUAAAAAGAAACCAUACUAAGCCCUUUCCCAAUCACCCAGUAAGCAUCCAACCCAAAAAAAAUAAAUCACCCAGUACGAAGAACCACAUGAGGAUCCCACAGAGUGAGUAAAUAGCAUAUAUAGAAAAGAACCGACAAAAUUGGAAAUUUUAAAGUAGCAAACACAGAUGAAAAUGAAGGACCAAAGCUGCUCUGGCAAUCUGAAACUCGGAAAGGGAUUAGCAUCAGGAAUUCAAGAAGGUUAUGAGUCUAAGUUUUCAGGAGUUAGGGAUUCGUCAGGUUUUGGGGGUACUCGGACAAGAUCAAGAGUCGGGCAUUUUAUGAAAUGGAAAAACAGAGUCAACAGCAGUCAGCGGGACGAAAUUUCUUACAUACAGUGAGGAAAGAACUUUUUGCAUUAUCGGACCGAACAGCACGAAAGAUUACACGUGGUAAGUGACACUGGGAAAUCAUUAAAAAAAAUUAAUAUCACAAAAAUUUUCAAAUUAAUGCACAUAUGAUAAAUUUAUUCGAAGUUAAUUUUUUAAACCCCAAAUCGGUACUAACCAAAAAAAAAAAAACUCAAAACUGGUAAUACUCCCGAGAACAUGUAUUUCUGUUCUUUUAUUCUCGAGAGCAGAAAUAGAAUAAAAAUGCAUUUGGUAAGUUUUUUGUUCUCAGGAACAAAUUUAUUCUCGGUAAUAAAUUUGGAAAAGAAAUAAGAAAUUAAAAAAUAUAUUUUUUAUUUCUAGAAACAACUCCAAAAAAAAAUUUCUAACGUUUGUCGAUACACUGUUCACAUUUGCUCUCUAGGUGGGCGAUUUUGCACUAUUCCUACAUUUCUGGUGUGGAGCUGAUUCCCAAAGCUUUAACCGGUGGUUGAGGCUGAUUUUUGGAAGAGAUGAUUGUUUGACAGCCCCCUACAAACCCUCAAGAGUGUUUGCCCUGGUAUGUACUCUCUAUGCUGCGAUGCUCCUGUUAGGCUAGGGUUUUGCGGGUCUUUUAUGGGUUUCUGCUUGUCCCAGAUUCUUUGAUGCGAUGGCUGGCAAAGUCAUGUUGGCCAACAACAUUGGGGAUAGUCCUAUUGGUCGAAGCCCUUCCCCUCCCAUCCAAGCCCAUCCGCCUUUAGCUGGUGGGGAAAAGGUAGACUCGCGAGGAACAAGUCCGUCUCCAUCUCUCUCGAAGGAAGACCAGUGGGGGACCCUUAAGCCCCUGCAUGCCCCCGCUGGGCCUCGAGGUCAAAGCCAUGCUAGGUGAAACUCCAAAUGCCCUCAACCAAGAGAUUAGCAAAGAAAGGACUCGAAAACCCCUCUCACCAGUUCCUGGGCUAGUGUUACAAAAGUGGUAGUGAAGGGUUAUGACCUGGAGUACAUUCCCCCAUCCUCUGUGAAUAAUAAGCCUAUUAUUGAAUCGUCUGCUGAUAUUAGGAAGCUACGGAUCCUAAGUGGCAUGAAUGCCUUGUGGGGUAUUUUAUUGGGAGGAAGCUACCUUUCAAACUAACCAAAACAACCCUCAAGAAUGCUUGGGGUCCGAAACUGGUGAAUGUGAUGGCGGAUGACCAGGGAUUCUAUUAUUUUCAUGUUCCCAAUGGUGAUUUCUGUAGGAAGGUCUUGGAAGGAGGGCCACUUAUGGUUGCAAGAGUACCCUUAAUCUUGCAACAAUGGAAACCUAUGCUAGAACUCAAGAAAGAUAGUCACUUUGCUAUCCCAAUGUGGAUUAGGCUGAGGAAUUUUCCUUUUGCUUUCUGGUCUUCAUAGGGGAUUAGUGCUGUUGCUAAUGCGGUGAGCAAACCGCUUUACGUCAACUUACGUACCGAACAAAUGAAGAUGCUCGCUUUUGCCAAGGUAUGUGUAGAAAUCUCAACUAAGUAACCAAAGUGUGAGGCUGUUGAAGUUGUCCUUAAUGGUGACUCUUGCACAGUGGUUGUGGAGUAUGAGUGGAGGCCAAUUGCUUGCCCAAGCUAUGGCACCUUCGGCCACAAGUGUGCAGCGCCUCCCACCCAAUCAAUAGCUGAAGUAGUUGCCCAGCAGGUUCCGGUUGGUGAUUCCCCUACUCCUCAAGACCCUCCCUUGGCCCCUGCUCAAGUUACAGUUGAAGCUCCUGGAUUUGUGGAUGCUGAGCGGAGUCAAGUUGUGCCUGAAGCUUCUACGGGUGUUGAAUGUAAUCAAAUUGUUGGUAAAAGGUAAAAACAACCCCUACUUCCCAAGGAGGGGUCAUCCUCUGCCCGGUAGUCCCAUGCGAAACUAGCUAGAUCCUUAAAUUGAAGGACGCCUCUCCAAGGGGUGGAAAGAAGGCCACUUCCUCCCGGGCAAUCUAGUUUCAACAGGAGGAGCAGGCACCAUUGGAAGACCUCUCCACUACUCCUGCUAUUGCAUCUAGAGUAAGGCCAGCGGGCGCUACUGCUUAUUCAGCUCCGUCUUCUUAUAUGGAUGAGUUGGAUGACUUUGUUAGCCAGGUCAGUAGCUUGAAAGAGGAUUUGUUGGACUUCCUUUGCCCUCCUGAUCCAAAAGCCACUUCUACAAGUAGGAUUGUUAAGCCCAAGUAGGAGAUGAUCCAGACUCCCUGCCCAGUUUCGCCUCCUGCUGAUCCGCCAAGGCCGACGUAUUCUCAACAGCGGUCGAGCAAUAAGAGGUAGGCCUGUCCUUCAUAUAUAUACUUAUAUAUGUGGCAUAUGUUUUUUGGUUUUUGGAACAUUAGGGGCCUUGUUGACCCCAUUAGGCAGGCGGAGGUUCGUAACUUAGUCUCUUUGAAUCAGUUGUGUUUGGUUGGUUUAUUAGAAACAAAAGUUUCACAUUCUCGCUUCACCUCCCUGUCUAAGCGACUACUGAGGGAUUGGAGAUGGGCUACAAAUUACGAGUACUCCCCUAGAGGGAGGAUUUGGGUUGGGUGGAAUCCCCUCCUUGUUAAUUUUGAAGUCUCCUCGAUGAGUGACCAAGUGAUCCAUGGGAACUUAAGGUCUUUGGACUCAGAUGUGGUUUGUUGUGUUUCAGUUAUCUACGGCCAACACACCUUCCUGACACGGAGACCUCUUUGGAAGGACAUUACUCUUAAGAGCACUGCUUUGCAGAAUUCGACUUGGCUAGUGGCGAGUGACUUUAACACUAUAAAAGACCCGCGGACAUAUUAGGUUGGUCAGACACUUGGAUUCUGUAUUUUGAUGAAUUCGGUCAAUGCUUAGAUCAAUUAGAGUUAGAUGAUUUGAGGUACGUUGGCUUUCGGUUCACUUGGACAACCUCUUUUGGAGCUUCUCGGAAGUCUAGGAAGAUUGACAGGGUUCUCAUGAAUUCCAAAUGGAGCCAAGACUUCUCCUAUUCGGAAGCUUCCUUCCUUGCUCCAGAUAUUUAUGAUCAUUCCCCUAUGGUAGUCAAAGUCUUGAACCUUGCUCUUUGGAGGAAGCCAUUUAAGUUCUUUGAUUAUUGGAUGAACCAUCCGAAUUUCAACACAAUCGUUAACCAAGUUUGAGAGGAGCCGGAGGAAUGUGUACCCAUGUACAGACUUGUGUGUAAACUAAAGUCCCUUAAAGCCUGCCUUAAGCAACUCAAUAGAGAGUCUUUCUUUAACAUUUCUGCCAAGACAACAAAGGCGAGGGAAUCAUUAAGGAUUACCUAGGUGGGCCUCUAGCAGGACCUGUCCAAUGUUGAACUUGCAGAUUUGGAGAAAACUCAUCGUUGGACCUUCUCGGACCUUCGGUGUCAAGAAGAGUCUUUCUAUAAGCAAAAGUCCAGGAUUAUGUGACUUAAGGAUGGAAACCGAAAUACUAAGUUUUUCCAUCAUUAUGUCAACAAAAGACAGAUGAGAAAUAGAGUUCUCUCAGUCAUGGAUACCUCUGGAAAUCAAAUUACCGACCCAGUCGUGGUUCAGCAGCAUUUCACCAACCAUUUCCAAGACCUCUUGACGCCAUGGGUUGUUCUUGGAGGGCCAUCGAUUUGGGAGAUAUAGGAUGCUAUUCAGACUCCCUUAAAUGACAACCAUGUUAGUUUUCUUGCUCGUCCCGUCUCCAAGUUGGAGAUUCGAAAUAUUAUUUUUUCUUUAGCUCAGGGUAAAGCCCUUGGCCCUGAUGGUUUUAUUGUUGAAUUCUUUAAGCACAACUGUGAUACGAUAGGAUAGUUGGUUAUGGCUGCGGUGAAGGACUUCUUUAGCACGGGUAGGCUCUUGAGGGAGAUUAACAAUACCAUUUUGGUAUUGGUGCCAAAAGUCCCUAAUGCGACUACUGUGGAUGAUUACAGGCCCAUUGUCUGUUGUAAUAUCAUUUACAAAUGCAUUACUAAAGUCUUGGCCAAUAGGGUGGCUGUAGUUCUUCAGGAUGUGACUAACCCCUUUCAAAGUGCUUUUAUUAAGAGUAGGCGAAUCAGGGAUAAUAUUCUCUUAGCUUAGGAACUGUUUGCUAGUUGACACCUCGACCCUUACUCACCUAAGUGUGUAGUUAAGGUGGACUUCUGAAAAGCCUAUGACAUGGUGGACUGGGAUUUCCUUAAGCUUGUCCUCCUAGCUUUUGGUUUUUUGGAGCAUGUGACUCAGCUCAUCAUGACUUGUGUGUGAACACCUAAAUUUUCUAUUGCCUUAAAUGGGGAGUUACAUGAUUUCUUUGCCAGUGGUUGAGGUCUAAGGCAAAGGGACCCCAUAUCUCCCUAUUUGUUUACCUUGGUUAUGGAAGUAUUAUUUGGAAUUCUUUUUGGUCAUUCGAUGAAGCUAGACUUCAAGUUUUAUUGGAGAUGCAAAGCAACGAAUCUAUCCCACUUUUUCUUUGUAGACGACGUCUUCUUAUUAUGUGAAGCUGAUAUGCCUUCAGUGGCUCUCCUUAAGGAAGGCUUGGACACCUUCUCGGCUUAGAGUGGUUUGUACCCAAAUUCAAGCAAAAGUGAGAUUUUUCUUGCAGGAGGUUUGCUAUCUACAAGGAAUCAAAUUCUUAGUGCCCUGGGUUUCCAUGAAGGGAGCUUGCUGGUCCGCUAUUUGGGGGUGCCCAUCAUCACUUCGAGGCUUGGUAAGGCGGAUUGCUGCGCUCUCAUCAACUACAUUACAGCAAGAGUACAAUCUGAGACCCAUCGCUUUCUGUCAUAGGCCGGCCAUCUUCAAUUGAUCAGGUCGGUCCUUUGUGCGAUUUAAGCCUAUUGGGCUAGUGUAUUCAUAUUACCCAUAACCGUUUUGGACUUGAUCGAACAAAUCCUGAGGCAAUUUCUAUGGAAAGGCCCAGACUUGGGCAGGGGUGGAGCGAAAGUUUCCUGGGAUGAUGUUUGUCUCCCUAAGGAAGAGGAAGAUCUUAGUAUCCGGAGACUUCGUGAUUGUAAUAGGGCAGCCAUGCUCAAACACAUAUGGCUCAUGUUCUCCGACAAGGAGUCGUUGUGGUGUAAGUGGAUCCGUUCGACCUUUUUAAAAAGGAAGAACUUUUGGGUCACUAAGAAACCUACCUAUUGCUCGUAGGCCUAGAAGAAAAUCCUACAAUUCAAGAGGGAAUUUCGUAAUUCAUUCUUUUGGAGGAUAGGGGACGGCCUUUCAGUGCCUUUCUAGUUUGACAAUUGACACCCUAGAGAUCCUUUGAACCUAAUUUUCUCGAACUCUCUCAUCUAUAGCUCUGGGUUACCCAGGCAUGUGACAGUGGCUGAUCUUUUCUCCACUUCUGGCCAUGUUAUCAACACUGUCUUCAAUUCGUGGGAGCACCCUCUCCUAGUCCUUUCGCAGAACUCGCACCACUUUUGCUGGGUGGAGAGUUCUUCUAGGCUGUUCACGGUAGCCUCGGUGUGGGAGACCAUUAGGUGGAAGAAGGCUCGAGUUCUUUGGCAUGCGUUCAUUUGGAACAACUUGAUUACACCACGGUACCAACUUAAUCUUUGGCUUAUGGCCAAGCGUAGACUUCCAACCCAAGCUUUAUUAUUAUCUUAUCGUAGAAUUGAUAGUGGUGCGUGUGCUUUCUGCAAUGCCAUGCUGGACUCCAUCAAUCACUUAUUUUUGGAAUGUCAUGUCACUGCUGGCAUUGCUUUCUUUUGGGCCACUGGAUGCAACCUUCCAUGGCGCAACAGGUCAUGGGAGGAGAAUCUAUGUUGGGUCGUAACCUUGCUAUCGGACAAAGAUUUUCAUAAAUGCAUAGCUCGGUUUUCUUUUGGUGCUCUUUGCCAUAUUAUCUAGAAAAACAGGAAUAACAUUCUUUUCAGGGAGCAGUCUCUUACGACUCCGGCCGUGAAGAACCAUUUGAUCAAGGUAGUCAGAGACAAAGCUGUCACCUUCAGGAAUGUUGAGGAUACUACGCAAAAUAGGAGGCUCCAGCGCAGCUGGGGUAUUGAUCUGAUUAUCUUCUCUUCGAGGGAGAUUGAUCCGCCACCUCUUCAACCUAAUUGAUCUCAGUUUUGUGGUUGGCGAGUCAUCCGCUGCCGUGCUGGUUAUGGCUUUGCCUAUUUUUGGCUACUGCUUUGGCUCCCCUGUUUCGGGUGCUGGCUGGCUUUUGUUGAUGCUCUAGGGUUGCUGCGAUUCUCCUUGGUGGCUCCUCCCUUUUGACGGUGGGCUGGUUGGUGCUUUAGUGCUAGCGAUUGCGGUGUUGCUGCGGUUGCUUGCUCGUGGGUCUUCUCUUGCCUUGUUGUUGCCUUAGCUACCGGUCUGUUUGUUGUUUGUUUGUGCCUACUGUUUAGGCUUUUCUUGCUUCUGUUUGGCUCUCUGCCGCUUUGUUUGCGGUCUUCCUUGUUUUCUUUCGACUUCCUUCCACUCGUUCUGCCUUGUUGUCAUUAUGAGUGUAAGUUUUUGGCACCGAACCCUCUUAUAUAGUUUGGUUAAAGCUCAAUUUAUUCUUACCUUUACCCAAAAAAAAAAAAAAAACAACAACUCCCCAAAAACAAACUUUUUAACUUUUUUUUUCUUUUUCUUUUCUUCCUUUUCUUUUUUUGCUUUCUCUUCCUCUUUUCUUCCCCUAGCCCCAUUUUUGGCGCCCCCCAAAUCAUAGGUUUAGAUAAAGGCCCAACAACUUCAUUAGAGUCUCGCCGGCCCUCGAAAAGGUCACCCUAAGCCUCGCCCAGCCACAACAAGGCUCGACCUUGCCGGUGGCCAGGCAAAGCUUGGCAUUCCCGGAUCUAGGUGAGCCUCGCCUGGCCGUGGGCCAUGUUGAGCCUCACCGAUGGUCGAGGUUGCCUCACCCAGUCACGGCAAGGCUCUCUAGAGGUUGCUGGGUUGAGGAAGGAGAAGAAAAAUAAAAUAAAAAAAGAAAAAAUGUCAUAAAAUUAUUAAUAAAUUAAAAUAAAUUAUAAAUCACGAAAAUAUAUGGGGUCAUACUAAACAUAUUUUUCUCAUGAGAAAAAAAAAUUGUAUAGUUACCAAACACGUUCCAAUGCUAACCAAUUAUUCCCGAGCAUAAAAACAUAAAAAAAAAGUGUUUCUAAAAAAAAGUGUUCCCCAAAAUAGAAACGUUACCAAAUGUAUCAUUUGAUCUGCAUUGUUUAAAGGCGCUUUGUUUCUGCAGUAGCUUUGAAUGCGGGGUCCCACCCUAAAGACUACCAUUUUGACAUCCCUAGCAAACUGAGGAAGAACAUGAUUAUGAAAAACUCCCAUCCUAUCCCCCAAAUAUGGUAGAUGGCACCAUUCCAUGUUAGUUUCAAUAUGAUUUUAGUCAAAGACCUUCCUCCGGCAAUUCCAAGAACCAACUUUGCACAAAUCUUUAUCAUUCCCACAAACUCCAACCAACUCCAUUAGAGAUCUCCAUCCAUGAGAAGGCACCAUCAGAAAGCAAAGGUUUCCUAGACUUAGGAAGAAGAGCAUAAGACACAUAUGUCAUCAAUGGAGGACCCCCUUUUUAUCAUGACAAAGGUUUCCAGCUCAUUCAAAUAGCAAGCCAAGCUACAAAGCUGAAUUUAGGCAAAUUUGGAUUAAACAAGAUGACUUGAUGCCAAGAGAUCUUGUGCUUUCUUUCCCUUACCUACUUCUCCAAGCAUCAGUCUGAGUGAAGCAUCUAGAGGAAUUUCCUUUGAAAAUUGUUCUACCCUCAAGAGUAGAGCAGGGAAAAGAUCGUUCCACAUAUGACUGCUUGAAUAUGCACCAACAAAUAUGAUCUUGCUAGAGGCCAAACCCACUCAUCUCCAUAUAUGACACCGACAACUAGAGAGGUCAGAGCCAGUGCAACAUUAUAAAUAAGUUUUUUAGGAUAAACAUCCAAACAACACCCCAUGAGGAUGCCAAGGAUCAUUCUGUAAGAAACUAUGAUGUUCAUUACCAUUUACCAAUAAUUUAUCUGACAUGUGGCUUAUGGAUGGAACAUGCCUCGAGAAGCUUUCUCUGAAUACAAGUGUUGUCAUUCUUGGGGUAAACAGACCCAAAAAGAAAUAUGUCCUUUAGCUUUUCUUUGUUAAUGAAAUUAAGUUCCUCCAUAAUUCAUGACUAGUGACAGCAUUAACUUGCUAACGUGGUAUGAACCGGAUACAAGACCAGCCCCUUCUCUUUCUCUCUGCCUUCAACAUUUCUUUCAUUUCUUUUGACAUAGGCACUAUAAAUUCUUAAACUUAUCAUGAAAAUAAAAUCGAGUUAUAAACUAAUUUUACUAGGAAGAUCAAGUUAUUAGAUGCAUUCAAUUUAAGUGAAGGAAAAUGCAAAUAUGACCUUUAAAAAAAAAAUUGAGAACGCAUGGUACCGACGUGACAUCUCAAAGAAAAUGAUUUUUUUUUUUUAAAAAAGGCAAAGACCACCCAAAAAAAAAACAAAAUAAUAGGAAAAUGGAACCAAAGAGAGGAGUUGUGGCCCCUCUGUCAUGCCCCAAUCCUCGGGUACGCACACAUCCUUCUACUUGGUCGAUUUUAUAAUGCGAUAUUCCAGGACUAAGUAUCGCCGACCCUUUCAUUUAUUAAGCACAUACGGAAGCAGUUAUAAAUCCCCAAACAAUAAAACAAUGGGAUGAAAAAGUAAGGCCAUAUUUUUCAUAUUGAAAUCCAUAACUAAACCUUUAUACAACCACACCUCGAAGUACUUCACAAAACUUUUCAUAACUUUCUAGUCUCACACUAUUCACAUUUAGACAGGAUUCACAAAGAGGAUGAGAUCAUAGCCCUCAUUCGGGUCGUACUCGGAUCAUCAUCGGGGUUCUCCUCCAGGUACUCCUCUUCGGUUUCUUUCUCCUCAGGCUCCUCAUCAAAGUCUUGAAAUGUUGUCCCACAACCGGGAUGAUACUACGUCUCAGCAAGUUCUACCCCACUAAGACUCAAUUAGGAAACCAAUAUGCUAAUCGGGCUGCCUAUACACCGCACGGGUUAGAGGGCUUACUUUAGCCUCAGAUUCCACUUGCAUAUUAGCACAAUUCAAUAGGCACCCUAGCAAUCACAUCACAGAUCGAUAUCUGAUCAAUCGACUUAAUCGAUUACAUGUCAAUUGGACCAUUCAAGGUCACUUCCACUCAAUCAGUCAAUUCACGACAACGGAUUAAAUCAUUGAUCAAUCGACCUAGUCGAUUACAUGUCAAUCGGAUCAUUUCCAGGUCAAAUCAUUUCUCAAUAUAAAACCUCCCAUUUGCACUCUCAGUCAUAGAGCUACAGUAAUGCUCUCAGGCGUCAUUUUUGCCAAGAUGACAUAUAUACUGGACAUCACUCGUGCAUUUUUUAAGGCGCCGUUUUCACCAGUGAUAUUCUUAAUCACCGAACCACGUAUGUCCGUAAUGAGGCAUGCAGUAGACAGCAAUUGUGCGUUUUUUAAGGCGUCGUUUUCACUAGUGAUUUUCUUAUCACCGAACCACGUAUGUCUAUACUGAUGCAGGUAAUAGACAGCACUCGUGCAUUCUUUAAGGCUCCAUUUUUACCAGUGAUUUCAUUAUUACCCAACCACGUAUGUCUAUACCUCGUAUCUGAUUGAUCUCAGCCAAAAUUAUUCUCAGUUCAGCCUCACGAUUUUCUCUACUUUACAACUCAUCAAAACAUUGUAAAUGCUAAAUAACCACACUUGGUCAUCCACCAAUCAAUCAUUCAAUUUCACUCAAUUUCAAUCAAUUAAGGAAUAAUUCAUCAAAUUGCACAAUUAAUCCGAUUCAGCACAACGUAGAGCUUAAAUAAAUAAAUGGACUGCGCCACGACAAUCAGCACGAAAUUUCGGUCGUCGGCUAUCCUUGCCUAAUUUUCAAAAAAUAAAUAAUUAAAUAAAUAAUUUCGAAAAGUAAUAAAUAAAUACUAAAAAUUCAAUUUAGGACCAUAAUGCCUAAUUGAAGCCCGAUAAGGGUCGGGAAAAAUCCUGAGAUGCAUCAAUAAAUAUUAGAAACUCUCUACUUGCUAAUGACUAGGUCUAACCACCUAACAUGCAUCAUUAAGUCACUAAUUUAAUUGUCCUAAACUAAUCUAACCACCUAAUUGCACUUAAUUAAAUCUAAUCAAUCCUUAGGCAUAAUUAGCAAACUAAGAAAGUAUUAGUGAGCAAAACUCACUUGAUUAAAAGCAGGGAUCGGGACACCAUGACGGCAGCCGAAAUCGGACUUUUGACAACACCGGCGGCUUGGACCGGGCCUUGAACUUGGCCCAACAAAUCUCAACCCAACUGAGAUUUAUUCUUGCUUUUGGGCUGGACCCAAAUUGAGCUGGGCCUGCUGAAGAUGGGCUUCAAGUUGUGGACUGGACUUCAAUUGCUUUGCUGCAAAUUGGGCCUCAAAAUUUCAGUUGAUGGGCUGCUGGAUUGGGCUUGACCAAAUAACUCACUUCGACUGGACUGGGCUUAAAGACUUGCUGCUAAAGGUUGGGCCGUGAAAUGCAUGAGUUGCUGAGGGUUUUGCUGGGCCGAAGAUCUGAAGAUGCUGGGCUGAAGAGGCCGAACUUUGGGCUGUUUCACACGGGCUGGAUGGACGCUGGCGCACGGAGGAAGCUGCUGCGUGUGAGCUGCUGCACGGAGGAAAAUGGAGGGCGAUGCACGCGGCUUUGUUGGUCUUCGGUUGCUUCGUGCGCGGCAGCUGGAAGACUCGGUGGUCUUCAAAUUGCUGAAGACGAGGGAGCAAGGGCAUUGAUGCCGCGAGGAAACGUGGCAGCUUCGGUCUCCAAUGGGCUCCGAUGGACGCACGAAGAAGCUGCCGGAAUUUCACUCGGUGGUCAACAAAGUGGUAGGAAAUCUGUUGCUGUUGACCUAAGAACCAAAUAUCAGUGGAGAAGGGGCGGCUGUUUAUUGGCUAAAUUCGGUGGAACAUGGGUUGGAUCCGUGAAGUAGUUGGCGCGAAACGAUGGGGAUGGCAGAAGCGGCAGUUCGGUGAAUGUUGCAGCUUGAGGUGUCGCAUGGAUGGCAGGCGGCUUCGAGUGGUGCUGGCGGGGAGGAAGAGAGAAGCUGGCGUGCACGAGGGAAAAUUGAAGUCACUGGCUUUCCGUGGGAAUCUUCGCGUGAAGAAGACUGAGGAUGGAGCGCACGUAAAGGAGAAGCCAGCUAAGAGGGAGCAAAAGUCUUAAAUCUUAGCCAAUACAUUAAAUGUUUUGGCCCCACAAGCCCACAAUGCAAUCUCUUUAUCCCCCAUCACUUUCAAGCUUAUUAACUCACAAAUAAACUAAUUUAAAGUCCAAAAUUGCAGCCCUCAUCCUAUCAUGCGAAUUUCACAAUUUAAGCUUCAAAUCUUCAUCAAGUUUUCCAAAUUUGAUGUCCAUUGUCAUAGAAAAAAAUGGCCAUACUAUUUUCUGCAAGUGUCCAUCGCCAAAUGGCUCAGCUUGGAAGUCAAAACUCGCUUAAAUUCGGUCCGUACGAAUUUCCGUUAAUUUCUGCGACGUCCGAAUCGAUUUUCCGUAAAAAUCUCGAAAUUUCCGAAAAAUCUUCUGAGAUUGAGUCAAUGUUCCUAAAAUAGCUCAUAACACCACAGAACUUUCAAUCUCUAAAAUCGAGUUUGAAUUCACGGUUAAUUUACAUUCGACGCGUUUUUAGCGUGACCUAGACUACGGGUAACUUUCAGAACUUUUCAGUGCAAAUGACCCGUGGUUGAUUUUCUUCGAGCCACAAUGAACCCACUCGACUCAAUGACGACUCUCGAUUGUCAUGAAAAUCUCGAGGAUUCAAAUACGGACACAGGGUACCAAAACGAUAAGAAAAUCAGUCUAGUGUUGGUCGACAAGAAUUUUUCAAUUUAGUGGUGUCACCCACGAUUAGCUACACAUCUCCGUCGAACCAACCUAUCUCUGAUCUCGAAUCAAAUUAUAUCUGUACCAUAAUGACCUCUAAAGACGAACACAGUCAAGUAGCCAAUUCUCAGUCGAAUGCUCAAGUCUAUUUGCUUUAAAAUUCUUAGUGGUUUCCCCAAAUAGUCUUGUUAUCUCUAGAAUGAUCAGUUCUGAGAACAGGCCUAUAGACACGUCAAUGAAAUGUCUGAUUUAUUCAAUUGAAAACAUGACUGAAAAUCUGGGAUGUCACACCCUCUCUCUUCAGGGGAGUGUCGAAGUGGCUGCUCAAGGGUUGUCGGUGCUCAUCAACACCUCGGCGUUGGCCCUCUCUCUCUCUUUGGUAAAAUAAUAAUUGAAGAAAAGGAAUAUAAGGUAAUUAGGGUACUAGGCUGACAAGUCAGUUUUAGGACAUUGUGUGAAGUACAGGCUGACCCAGUAGGAACCCUUACAAGUUCCACUAUCUUACCCAAGUGUGGGAGGCUAUUAUACCUACCCACCCAGUAGUAGUGUGACAUUUGGAAUUUCCGUAUUUAUAAUUGUAUAAUAUUCGGAAAUUCGUGUUAUGAUAAUGAUACUUAGAUUUUGAGCUAAGUAUUAUUUUCCUUAAUGUUCGAACAAGUACAUAGAGACUUUAAUCAUAUUCAUAACUUUUGUGGGAUGCAGCUAGUAAUUUUCGUGAACGUAAAUCAUUUCAAGUUCGACGUAUGAAUCAAAUUAUGUGCGUGCUAAUAAUAGAAUGGUAUUAAUUAAAUUACUAUAGUUUUACUAAUUAAUGGUUGUUAUUAAUCGUGUAAGUUUUAGUUAUUUGAUAAUAAUAUUGUUGAAAAUUUUUUGUUAAUAAUGCUAGAAGAAGGAGUACGUUAUGCUUGCUACAUUUUUCAUUGAAAAAAUUUAUUAGUUAAAAUUAGAAGUGUCACAUGUUCUUGAACAAAACUUUGCAUGGCCAUGUGUCUUACAAAGUAAGAUUUUGUGGCUAAAUUCCUCCUACAUCUAAAUUAAGUGAUAAUUAUUCAAAGAUGAUUCAUUUUUUUUCAUGCAUUCCUCUUGGCCACGUGCAAUGGCCUUGCUUUGCAUCAUUGCUGCAUCAAUCUGAAGAUUUACAUGCAAAUUUACAUCUAGCAUUGCAAGAAAUCAAAUUAUUAUUAUCAAUUUUGACAAAACUCAUUUUACCUUGCCAAAGACCCAUUUUUCGUCCCUUUUAAAACUCAAACAGAAGCUGCAUGUGUUAGUUUUGCUUUUCAAUCCAAGAAUUUAGAGAGCAAAGUUUCGUACUCAAGGGCAAUUAAGGUGAUAAAAACACUCGGUGAUUCGUGAUUUGCGUUUACUCAAAGCAAGUGAAAUUUCUAGUGUUAAGUUAGCUUAAAUCUACUUAGUUACUUCUAUCUUGGUUGGUUGGAUGAGAGGUGAAUUAUUGAUGUGAGUAUGGUGGUUAUUAAAUGGUUUGAUAAUUUCUUGCAAGUUCGUUUUGGUUUGUUUUGGUUCGUUUUGUGUGAUUUUGGGUAGUCAAAACGCGUUCAUUUUACUAUAUUUUUUUAAAUAAUUCAUUGCAUAUUGGCUCUGCUUCUUUCUACCUCAUUCUGGGUAGUUAGAAUCUGGUCAUUAUGCUGUAUUUGUCAUGAUAAUCCAUUGCAUAUCCAUUUUGCCUCAUGCUAGGUAGUUAGACUUUGGCGAUUCUACCAUCUUUGUCAUGAUGACUUAUUUCAUGCUCAUUCUACUUCUUUCGGCCUCAUUCUGGGUGAUUAGAAUCUAACAAUUCUACCAUUGUUGUCUUGAUGACUUAUUGCAUGCUCAUUUUGCUUCUUUCUACCUCAUUCUAGGUAGUUAGAAUUUGGCCAUUCUGCCAUAUUUGUCUUGGUAACCCAUUGUAUGUUCGUUUUACUUAUUUUUGCUUCAUUUUGAAUAUUUAGAAUUUGGCAAUUUUGCCAUCUUUGUCUUGAUGAUUUAUUUCAUGUUUAUUGUGCUUCAUUUUAAGUAGCUAGAAUUCGAUUGUUAAGCCAUAGCUAUCUUGAUGACCCAUUGCAUAUUUGUUCUGCUUCAUUCUAUUGGAAUUCUACUAGUCAAAAUCUAUUUGUUUCAUUUGUUUCUGCUGGAAUUUCCUAAGACAGAAUAUGUCCAUUUGUGAGUUUGCUCGAAUUUGUUCAUUGGUGAGUUUAUUCGCUUGCUGAAUAUGCUAACUUGUGAAUCUGUUUGUUGAAUAGUCUAUUUAUUAGUUCAAGUAGACUUUGUUGAAUAUGAAUCUACUUCUCAUUGGAUUCGUUCAUUGCUAAAUAUGUUCAUUUGAGAGUCGGUUCAUUAUUAGAGCUACUCUUUUGGUCUAUAAGCUUUUAUCAAGCCAAAACUUAACUUUUUAAUUUUCUAGACUUUACGAUCAGAGGGUACUCAUUCAUCGAGACUUAGAACACAUCAAUUUGAUUUACUAGAUUUUGAUAUCCACAACCUACUCAAUGUUUAGAAUCAAAAUAUAUCCAUUUGAUUUACUAGAUUUUAAUGUCCAAAACCUACUCAAUGUUCAGACUUAGAACAUAUCUAUUUGAUUUACCAAAUUUUGAUGUACAGAACCUGCUCAAUGUUUAGACUCAGAACAUAUCCAUUUGAUUUAUUAGAUUUUGAUGUCCAAAACUUACUUGAUGUCCAGACCUAGAAUGUACUCAUUUAAAUGUCCAGACUUUAAUAAACAAAAUAUGUCUAUGUGUUAUUUCACAUGUGGUUAUUUGAUAAACGCAUUAAAUUGAGUUGCGAUAUGUGUAUCAUACUUGAGAGUACGCAUAUAUCAUGGCUUGAAUGAGAUUAAUGUGAUUUUGUCACCCGUAUAGCAGUGAGUGACGAUGUCCCAUGUGUCGGGAUGCCCCAGGGAGUGUUUCGAGAUGCCUCGAGAAUCGAGAUGCCCCAUGGGUUGAGAUGCCCUGUGGUGGAAGUUUGCAAGAUGCCUCGGAGUUGAGAUGCCCCAUGUGUUUGGAUGCCCUGAAAGUGUUCAGGAGGAUGAAGUAUUAAUGAAUAAUAUGUAUUAUUAUGUGUAGAACCAAAUCAUUGUGUGAAACAUGGUGUGCACAUGCAUAAGUCUAGAUGAACGUUCUGUUAGUUAAUAAUUUCUGUGGUAGAUGAACAUGAAAGGUAAAGACUGUUUAUAUUUGUAUCUUACUUAUCAGAUAAUUAUGCCUUCAUUUUGUGUAUACCAGGUGAAGUGAUAAGAUUAUUUUUCUAACUUAAAACUAGAUGUUUCAUUUAAUGGGUUUCGACUCAUCCCUUUUAUUUUUCAGACGUGUAGAAUGGACACCCCUUAACCCUUGCACUAUGGAGUCCCUAUGUAUAAUAAAACUUUUUUUAUGAAAGUGUGCUUGAAUCAGAGUCUAGAAAAAAAUAUACCAAGUGUAGUUCUACGAUAUGGGUUGAUAUAGGAGGCUUUGCGGAGUGGGUUCCUCUCUAAUUUGUUGCUUGGUACCGGAAUCUUGAUGGAGAGUUAAUCUAUUUAUUGAGUAGCUUUGAUGUGGACGUUGGAGAUGCAGCAGAGGGAGAAGUUAUCAAUCCGUGACUCGGUCUGAAACGUUUAUAUAGGCAGACUUUUGAAAGUAUAGUAUAGUCUAGUGAUAGGUCUCCCUAUCCCUACUCAUACUUCCGUUUUUUGCUUGAAAUGUAAUGAAGUUGUGAACUCAAUGUGAUAUAAAUAAAUGAAGCAGAAGUAUGUUUGUUAUAAUUGUGAAGCUCUAAUCAUUAAAAGAAUAUUUGUAAAUGUUUGUUUUCGUUUCCAUACAUUAAAAGAAAGCAAUAAUAUAAUAACAUGUGUCAGGUGACGUCUCGGGAUGUCACAAGUCGCCCCCUCCGAAGAAGAGAUAGCCCUCUAUUCUUGGGCAAACAUUUUUCUUCCUGAAUUUUACAUGUUAGAGUUCAAACAAAGUGAUUUAAGGACAUACUCAAGUACGUGCCUCCUCCCCCCCUCUCUAUCUGGUAAAAUAAUAAUUAAAGAAAAGGGAAAUAAGAGAUAAAUGGAGGGUAAAGUUGGAAAUAUAAAUUAGAAGCAUCACUUGCAUAAUGCAUUAGGUUGACAAAAGCCGGUUUUUAUUUGCUUUAUUAUCCAAUUCUUUGGUCACGCAUAUUGCUAUCUCGUUGGCGUCUCCUAUAAUUAUUGAAUUAAACAUACAUUCAAGAUUUUAAAUUACAGCUAAUGCCGCUAUCUAAAUUAGUUCCACUCUAAAGAUACAUGUUCUUAAUAAAUAGACUAUUGCUAACUAAAGCAUACUCAUUUUAUCCGAGUAACCCCAUUGAGUGCAUUAAAAAAGUUUCAUUGAACAAAUAAAUUUGCUUUGUUUGAGAAUAUAGACAAAUUUUGAGAGAUUAUAGCAUAGUUAUUGCACAAAUAUAUUGAAUUCAUUUCUUUUAAGUAUGAGUAAAUUGAAUUGAAUAAAAAUUAUAUUACUUUAUUAUUACAGAAAAUAAUACUUGAACUUGAAAAUAAAAUAUACAAAGAUUUUACAAGAUUGCAACUUUUUACUAAAAAAGAGCAUUUAUAUUUUUUUAGUUUAUUAACUAUUUCAUCUAUGAAAUUACUUUUAGAUAUAGCUUCCAUAAUUGCUUGCUAAAAAGUGCUUUUUCUAUGUAUGUUUAAAUUGCUUAAGAAACAUAGUAUGGGAACGUCUUUUCCGUCUCAUAUCAAUCUUAGGUCCCCUUAAAUUAUGAUAUUCUUCUAAAAAGCUAUAGAUAUAAUUACCAGAGGGAUAAGAACACUUCAAGUGCCAAAAGUUGGCACAAAGGGACACUUAAGUGCUAAAAGUUACGAAAGUGGCACUUAAGUGCCACUUUGUAAGAAAAGUGGGAUACCUGAGUGCCACCUCCGGCGAAGGCAACCGGAAAUCAUAUAUGGCAAUUAAAUAUGAUUAUUUCUCGUCGAGGUGGCUCGUUGGAGAGUUGAGUUAGCUUUAAUUCACCCAAAAUGACGUCGUCUCCUCAAGUUGGCCAAAAUAGAGUCCUUAAAUCAGCCAAAACGACAUCAUCUCCCCCAUUGCCCCAAAUCUAAAACCCUAAAUCAAGCAAAUUGCCAUUGAAGCGUUAGAGCCAUAAUCCUGAACCAUAACUCGAUUUGCCCCAAAUUCUACGGUCGGAUAUUAGGAAUGGAGAGCAGGACUUUCAGUAGCGACUCAAAUUUCUCUCGUCAAAGCGAAGGAGAAGGCGAGCGUUUCUGUUUUUGUGGUUACCAAGUCCAAGAAGAACAUCAUGGACUCAAAGGAAUCAUGGGAGAAGAUUCUAAGGAUGUGCUCGAUACAGAGAAGAGUCGAAGUGCAAAUAUUUCGAAUGGGUUGAUGCGAAAUUCUCUCAUCGAGCCAUAGAGGUGAUAUUGGACCUACUUGAUGGAUGUCAUCAACCUUCAUCUACACCUGUGGACGACUUGGACGAGGUUGACUCAAUGCAAGCUUAGGCAUCUUCUGCUAACCAUUUGAAGAAUGAAGUUUUAAAGAUGAAUAUUGAACGGAAGUGUUACCGAGCGUUUAUUGUGUUGCUAUUUUUUUGUCUAUCCUACUUUAUGAUGAAAUAUAAAGUAUUGGAAAAUGAGAAGAAGUUUCUCCAACUGCCAUAGUUGUAAAUGAGGUCAAGGAAAGGGAAUGAAUGAAUGCAUGAAUGAGAUGUUGUUUGAAUGAAUGAGAUGCUAUUUGUACUAUAUUUUUGCUUAUUCUCGAAUAUAAAUCGGUGAUGAUGGAAUGUAUAUUGGGUGGAUGUGUUGUGGUGACUUCUUUUCUUCAACUGAAUGUAAACCAGUAGUAAUGAAUCGAAUGGAGUUGGCAUAAGUUGAACAUUUGUAUAUAUAAACCAGCAGCUUCUCUGGUUUGCUGCAAAUCACCAUUUACAUAGGACAGACAUGAGUGAUUACUCGAGUCCUAUAAGUUAGUGCCAAUCGUGAUUAAAAAAAAAAGUCAUUUAAGUGUCAAGUUAGUAUCAAAAGUGAUCACUUAAGUGCCAUUUGUGAUUAAAAGUGAAUACUUAAGUGCUGAGUUUUUUAGAAUGUGAUCAGUUAAGUGUCAAUGUUAUUUGUAUGUUUCAUCUAUAAAUUGCACCAGCCAUCAACUACUAUCAGCCACCACGACUACCCACCACUGGGCCACCAUCGGCCUCCAGCCAUCACCACCAGUCACAUCAAGCAUUCCAAGCAUCCACUUGAGCCACCAUUAUGCUGCUGGGAUUCUGCAGCGCAAAAGUUCCUAAUGCCUUACACCCACUUGCACCACACUACUUGGUGCAAGAUGUGGAUAUUGCACACUUAUAUCUUGCACCAAGUGCAGCACAAACCCCCAACCCCCAACCCUUAUAAUAGACCCACCAGCCUAUCAGUAGGCAUCAACACCAACAUCUCAGCUACCACACCAGCACAUAGCCACCACCAUAAACCCACCAUUAGCAGCCACUGUUAGUGGUGGGUCGUGGGUCUGUUGCAAAAGGGGUUCAUGCAAACUAUACUAGUUGCAGCAAAAGGCCCCAACCCAAUCCACAUAGUGGACCCACCACCAUCAGGCUUCACCAACCGCCACCACCAGCCACACAAACACCCUAGUCACCACCACAGAUCCACCACUAGAAGCAGAAAGCAGUAAGUAAAAGUAAAAACAAAAUACAAAAAAUGAAAAAGACACUAAAUGAUGACAAGCAACAAGAUCAUUUCAUUGAUAUUGAAAUGAAGUCUCAUAAAGUUGAUGACAAAUUAUUUAAAAGAAAACAUCCAUAGUAAAACAAUUGACUCCUCAGCCCCACAAACCAUAUCCCAUCCGAUUUCAUUAAUCAAUAUGCACAAUGCCUCAUGUUCGUGCUCCUUUCACUUGAUUCAUAAUCUUUGUGCUUUUUCUAACUGGACGUGAGGUUUCUUUUUCAACUGUCUCAGGAUGCGUUGAUUAUGAUGGAGGUGCAAUUGUCCUAGGUUGAAUUGAUUGAGAAGGAAUUGGAGCUGUAACUGUCGUAGGCCGAACUGAUUCAGAUGGACCUGUAAUUGGGUUUUUCUUACUCUUUUUUCUUGUUGGUGCAGCCAAUGUCUUCUUCUUCUUUGUUGGCGCAGCCGUUGAUUCUUGAGUUGGGUCUUGAGAGAUAAGAACCUCUGAACUUCUCCCAGGCUUCAAAAAGAAAACUCAAUUAUUAACAAAAGUUUGCACCAUAAAUUAAAUUAAAUACAGCUUAGUAAGCUUAUAAAACUUAUAUUAAGAAUAACUGUUCUAAAACGCUCAUCUGUAUAAAGCCCAUAACCAUAUUGUUUUAGCCUCUUUCCAAGAGCUCCUCUUGUUCGAAGGGGAACGUUAGUUUCAAGUACUUGUGAUUGGUUAGCCCUUCUUCUUACAUAUGAUUUCUUGGGCUCUUGUUGUGGCUGUUUAACUACAGCAGGGGCUUCUUCUGGGCAUUCGAAUGCUAGACGUCUUGUAGAUGGCCUUCUUGUAGGUGGCUCAUGAUUUGGCUUUCUUUUGGUUGUUUUUCUAUUGAGCUCUUCAGCUUCAAUGACACAUUCUGUUGGCUUUUGUGGUGGCUAUGAUGACCCUUCUAGUGGCCUUUAUGGUGACCUUGGUGAUGGAUCUUGUGGUGACCCUUCAGUUGGGCCCUUUGUUGACAACUGAGCUCUAGCUUGCCUUCUUCGAACCUGAGAAAAAGACAAAGGACAUCAUAAAUAUAACAUCAGGCCACUGUAAAGGAAAACUAAACACAAAUUAUUUAAGUUACCGGGUAUUUUUUUCUCUGCUUCUACUAAAGAACGGUCGACUUAACUGGCCCUCCAGUUGCUUCGGCCAAUCCUUGAGCUGGCUGUCUACCUGACCUUGUUUGAACAAACCCUUCAGUUUCAGGUACAGCAGGGGCUUCGACCAAUUCUUCACAUGUCAUUCUCCUAACCUGACAAAGACAAAAACAUUAUGUCAAUUAGCUGUACAUAUCUGUUUAUACAAACCAUAAAACAACAUAAAUACAAUUGUCAUGACUUACUGGGUUUAUUGUUGUCGACUGAAGAACAGACGACUUACUUCACAUUUCUGUUUGUCCUUCUCCAAUUGUCCCUUCACUAGGCCCUUCGACUGGCCUCAAGUGUUCCCGCUGCUUCCUUAAUUGACAGCCUUUAGUAUUGUGCCCCACUAUGUGGCAAAAAGAGCACUUCAUCUUUACACCUAUCCUACUCAUCCUACGCUGACUUGAGACUUCUCCCUCCAUCAUUCUUCGUUUUCGCUUUGGUCUUCUCAUUGUCUUCUUUAGUGGCAAAGGUUGAGGUGCUUCGUGAUCUGUUGGCUCCCAGAACUUGGUACCUCUGAUUGGCUGCAACAUGCAUUGGUACGAAGCAAGAUAUCUUGGUUUCUUGUACCAAUCAUCAAGGUAGUCUUCUGUAUUGUGGCCCGUCAAUUGAAUGGCACAUAUGGCAUGUGCACAAGGAAUUUCACUUACUUGCCAUGCUCUACAUGAACACUUCCUCGUACCUAAAUGGACAACAUAUUUAUCAAAGCCCUUCAUUAUCCCAUAUCCUUCAUCCCUAUUCCAAAUGAGAUGACAAUAUCUACUCGUAGCCAAGUUCUCAUUCAAUUUUUUAGCAAUCCUAGGACCACAUUGCCUAGUCCAGUUUGCAACCUCAUCCCUUUGUUUGUGCAGCCGAGUCAUAACCAUAACCUUAUGUCUUCAAGCAUCGAGAUAAUUGAUUUGCAUCUGGCAUCUAUUAUCCUCCCAUUGAAUGCUUCGCAGAUGUUGUUAUUUAUGUUAUCGCACUUGAAUUCCUCGCUGAAGAACGCCCUACACCAAUACUUCGGUUCUGUUUGGAAUAGUGCAUCAUAACCUUCCCUUGUCAAUUGAAGUAGUUAUUCUUUGGCCAUCCUAAAAUCAGCUAUAUUUGUGCUAUUUGCUAGCUGCCAAAAUUUGAACUGCAGCUUCUCCCCUUUAUAGUUCUUUGCCCAAUUUGUGUAUAUGUGCUGCGCACACAUUCGAUGCUCGGCAUAAGGCAACAACUCAGCUAUUACCGGAACCAGUCCCUGCAAUAAUUCAAAAAAAGAAAAGAAAUGUAAGCAAGCGACAUGUUGAUAUCAACAAGCAAACAAUUGACCAAAUCUUUCAAAGAGUACCUUCUGUUGGUCACUUAUGAACGCCCAUCCUACACCAUUUGUUAUCUCCAAAUCAGCUAUCAAAUUUUUUAGGAACCAGGACCAAUUGUCCUUGUUCUCUACCUUCACAACAGCCCAAGCCAGUGGAAAUAUCCGGUUGUUUGCAUUUAUUCCAAUUGCAGCCAGCAAUUCUCCCUUGCACAAGCCCUUCAAAAAACACCCGUCCAAUCCUAUAAUCCGUCUACAACCAGAUAAAAAUUCUCGUUUGCAUGCAUCAAAGCAAACAUAGAACUUAUCAAACUUGGUCCCAAUAUCAGGAAGUGGUCUCUCCACAACCUCUACAUACACUGUACUUGAAAGAUUUUGCAGCCUACACUCCCAAGCAUAAUCCCACACCUGUCCAUAUUCGCUGUUGUAUUGAUCAAUGAGUAUCUUCAUCACCUUUUGCUUCGUUCUUUUGCAUUGAUUCCUGCUUAUAUUGAUGCCAACCUGCUCCUUCACCAGCAACCUAAACUGGGUACUGUUCAUCUGAGGCAUCAUCUUAAUCAAAUCAAAGAAGUGCUUGGACAACCAUGCACUUGUUACCCUUUUUAUUUUUCAAAAUUAAUGGAACAGUAUGUUCCUCUUCAUACGCUCUAAUCUAGAAAGAUCCACUUCUCCUAACUAAAUGCGCCAUAUAUCUCCAUGGACAAUUUUGCUGCGAACACUUAGCUCUUACAAAAGGCCUUAGUGUUCUAAUGAAGUCAAUGUUCCUCUGUGCAGCAAUGGAGUUCUUCAGUAUAGCUUCCCUAAAUUGUUUUGCAUCUUGAAAUUUCAUACCUACUGACAAAGUAGGAGAGGCAACGGAUGGAUCAUAAGAAUGAAACUUACUUUUCCUUCUCCUUGUAUGCACAGCUCCUUCAUCUUCUUCAAGCUCAUCUUGGGAAGUAACAUUCUCAAGGCUUUCUUCAUAAUCAAUCUCCUCACCGACGUCAACAGCAUCUACAGGGCCUUCGGCCCUAUUUGGAACUUCAUCAGCUACCAGCAAAGCUGCAAAUUUAUCUGUCAAAAAAUCCCUUUGCCUUUUUCUUGACUGUACAAGCUCCUCGUCGUCGUUAUCACUUGUGAAAUUUGUAGUAGGCAACCCUUCAUCAUCAUCAUCAUCAUCACUUGAUUCAGCUACUUCCCAAUCUAAUCCAAUGAUUGUGACAUCACCUAUGUCAUCAUCACUAUGGUGAACUGCAUCUGCGCUCCUCUCCUCUCCAUCGUGCCUAUCCUGCCUUUCUUCAACCCUAACCUCGGUACUGCCUUGAAUACCAUUUCCUUCUUGUUCUAUUUGGGCGUUUUCUUCAUCAUCAUCUUCAUCCUCACUUUCAUUGUACUUAACAUAUAUUUUUACCUCUCCACCAUGAAGAUAAUGGUAUAGAAUAUCCCUAAAACCGUUAUCGUUUUCUAAGGUUUGCAAACCAUCUCUUAAGCCUUUCCUAGGAAUACAAUACAGCAACUUUUGAACUUUACAAGGCAAAUAAGUUAGUAUAUCCCUAACAAAUCCUAUAUAAGAUGCCUUCUUAAUGUCGACAAAAAUGGUGCCCUCAUUUCCACCCUCAUACCCCCACUCAUCCUCGCCAAUUACGAAUUCCCCACCAUAGCAAACUAUAACAGCGACAUAAUUCUUGGCAUGAGUCAUUUCUGCACCAACAAGAAGACAAAGAAUAAUUAGUUUUUGGGACUACAUCCACAAAGAACAAUAGAUAAUCGCACAAGGGAGUCCCCCGACUCUCAUGGACUUUAUUAAACAGGUCCCCACAGUGACAAUAUGCCCAUAUAUGACAGCCAAAAAAGAGGUUGACACUUUAAUAAUUUACCUUCCCUUCCCCUACAAUAUUAAUAAAAAAAUAGAGGCCCCCACACUGAGAAUAUGCCCUUACAUGACAGCCAAGAGGUCGCCACUUUAAUUAUUUGCCUUGCCUUGCCUUGCCUUGCCUUCCCUUAACAUAUAAACCAAAAACAGAGGUCCCCACAACAAGCACAGCUCAAGCAAUUUUGUCUACUAUCUUUUGCUGAACUAAACCUGUGAUGUGAGAAUGUACAUCCACUUAAUCAAAUCUAUUUUUCCUGUGAAAACACAUAUAGAAUUUCAUUAAGGCAAGCUUGAUNNNNNNNNNNNNNNNNNNNNNNNNNNNNNNNNNNNNNNNNNNNNNNNNNNNNNNNNNNNNNNNNNNNNNNNNNNNNNNNNNNNNNNNNNNNNNNNNNNNNNNNNNNNNNNNNNNNNNNNNNNNNNNNNNNNNNNNNNNNNNNNNNNNNNNNNNNNNNNNNNNNNNNNNNNNNNNNNNAAACUUUAAAAUGAGGUACCUUACAUGUGGUUUCAAAUUUGUCCCUUUCAGGUAAAUGAACUUAUAUAAAGUAUCAAAACAAAUUUUGCACUCCUCAAUGCCCUGCAUAUAUGUUGACUAUCUGAUUAGAAACAACAAUCAGAAAAGAAGACUAAAAGAACGAAAAGAUUAGAAUCAAAGGAACAAAAGCAGAUUGAUAGCAAAGUUGCGUGCUCUUUGCAGAGCACUUAAGGGCCAUUAUUCCAGCCACCUGAUUCAAUAACUUUUCACUCAAACACACUAGUUCCUAGUUACACAUUAGUCAAUAUUUCGUUACACAAUCGAGCCUCGACUGCAUAAAUCAUCAACCGAGGCGAGCAUCUCCACACAAGGGAGUAACCAAACAGAGCGUGUGCAUUUCAACAGAAUUUCCAUCGGAGCCUUAAUAAAAUAAUCGAGCGAGCCCUAAUAAAAUAAUCGAGCCCUAAUUUUAUCACGAGGGAGGGGGAGAAGGGGCCCAACCUGGAGGAGCGACGAUGGUGAGCGGGGAUGACGACCAACGAUGUUGAGUGGUGAUGACAACCAACAACGGCGACUGAUGACCACCUAUGGGCGUAAACGGCGACGGAGAGAAGGGCGGCGACGACGUGAACGGCGAUGGAGAGAAGGGCAGCGACGACUAAGAUCUAAUGUGAACGCAGAUGGGAAGGAAUGGCGACGGCCAGGUGUGCUUAAGCCAAAAUGACCUAAACGACGUCGUUUAACACCAACAAAAAAUGACGUCGUUUAGGUCUGCUCACUCAGUGUGGAUGGACGACGUCGUUUGUCAUCCAUAUGGGUUUUUUUUUCUUUAAACGUUUGCCACCUCAGUAAAAGAAGUCGCCGGAAAACGCCACGUAUGCAAUUUGGCCGGAUUUUGGCUGAAUUGGCACUCAAGUGAUCCAUUUUGCUCCGAUUUUGGCACUUAAGUGUACCUUUCGUAACUUUUGGCACUUAAGUGUUCCUUUGUGCCAACUUUUGGCACUUUAGGGGUCCGCGUCCCAAUUACCAGAAAAGACUCAUCUCUUCUCUUGCAAUUACAUCUCAUCCUAGUACCGUCACUAACUAUUCAAACAUAGACGUACUCACGCGGGCCAAGUCAUGUGUUUUAAUUAUUUCGUGGCCAAAUAUGCAGAUAGGUGUUUACUCACUCUUUGAGAUUCACUCAAGCCGCUUGCCUAAGUGGCACAAGGAGGGGGACAGCGUCGAGCUUCCGUUCGGUCACCCAUCAUUCAAGGCCAUUCAGUGACAUACUUUGUCUUGUUUGUUUCGUAGAAAUGGGCUAUUUUCCCUCAGAUGAGAAGAAGUAACGGCCAAUUAAGACUUUUAGUUAAAUUCUUGUUGCUAUAAUGUGAAGAUGUGGCAAGGACAAGAGUGAUUCCCUUGACACUUAUUUUAAAAAUAACUAGUAGUGGUUUUACAAAGUCUCACACAAUAUUAAAGUAAGAAGGUUAUAAGUUCAAAUCUUUAGACAUAGGCCAAAGUUCAGCUUAUGCAUGAGGAGAGUGUUAGAAUAUUUAAAUAUUAAACCACAUUUUCAUCAAAUAUUUUAAAUCUCACAAUUUCAUAUAAUUAAAGAGAAGUUGCAUAAAUUGUGCUCUCAACUUCACUAUAAGAUGAAUUUUCUAUAAAAUCGAAUCUCCUUUCCAUGAGUUGACGCUCACUUCAUUUUUCUUUUUUUUUGUUGGAAUAUUAUGCUGUCUUAGGUAAAACUAAAAGGCGAGAAAGAAGAAAAGGAAAAAAAAAUUAGAAUUAGAUUCAAACCGACCCAAAGAAGUUCAACAAGCAGAUGAAGAACUUAGGAGAGAGGCCAAUUCCAUUUAUUUUAAGUAAUAUAGAAAGCAUUGAUAGUUUUGGAAGGGCUAAGAUAAGGAAGAUUGCAUGGAUACAAGGGAGUCAAGCGAAUUGUCAAAUUUGUACAUGCAUAUAGCAUCAUGCAAAUUGAAAACAUACACCAUAGGCAGAAUGCUCUUGGUUGUGUUAUUCGGAAGAGCUUCUCAAACCAGUGGCUUCUUUCUCGGGUUCAUGGUGUCUUAAAUUUAAUGUCGCCAUGGGGAUGUUUGAUGUAGCUAAGUGCUGUGAAGGUGGCACCGUGAUAGUCCUGGAUAGUCCUUCAUUCCCGUAUCUUUGGCACAAUCCGGAGCAAUAGUGCUUGAGUUGGUAUCGGCAAGGGGUCCCUAAUGUAAUGAUCAUCUGAACAUAACUCCCAAGAGAACUGAAUCACCAUUGCAACUAGGGUUUUGAACCUCGCAAUUUGUUUCCUGAGCAUACCCAAGGCUCUCCUCCAAAAGGAAUAGAGCUGUAGGGCGGUACUCACUUAUGUUUUUCAAAUCUAGCAGGAUCAAACUUUGAUGGCUCAGGGAAUAUGCUCUCAUCCACGUGUGUCAUGUUUGAUGCCCAGAAGACCUAAGUCACGCUUCAAAUACCAAAUGUAUGUUAACGGACCGGUUUCCCAGAUAGAGAGAAUGAGUAACAGAUAGCGCAAGUAAGCAUUUGAAAAGAUUGGAAAAGUUAUUUGCAUCCUUACCUAUCAGCCUUGAGGAAUGAGGUACCCAGCAUAGUCAAUAUCCCUUAAAGCUACGCUGAAGCCACCGAAAACAGGCGAAACCAUCCUUAGAGUUUCCAUUGCUACUCUCCAUGUGUAUUUCAUCCUGGCAAGGUCUUCCCAAGUUAAAGGUUCUCUCGAAGUCUUGCUUCUUGCUAUCUCUUCUUGUUUAGCAAUAGCAAAACACGCUUAUUAUUUGUCUCAAUAAGGGGGAAGGAUCAUGUUUGAGCUUUGUUAUUAAAGUUGACAUCCGGCUUUGGAAGCUCAGACAAAUUUAUGUGUUGAUUUUUCUUACAUUUAUCAAGCCAUUUGUUAUCCCUCAGCAAAUAGAGAUCAUUCAUUAUCCUUACGUAGCAUGGGUCAUAGUUCAAGAGUGAACUAGAUUUGAACAAGUCAAGAGUGAACUCGAUUUGAACAAGUCCUUCAUUUUGUUUAAAUCUUCCUUCCUUUUUGGGCUGCAGGAAUCUCUAUGCAGAUUUAACAAAUCUAAAAAGAUGCCGGGAUUAGAGGAUGUUUACCUUGAAGAACUGCUUUAUAAACACACAGGAUUCUUAUAUAGAAGACAUAGCACAAAAGUUAUAAGUAUGGAUGAGGCAUCAUGUCCAGCAAUUAUGACAAGCGUGAUAUUGUGCAUAAUUACAUUGUCAGUCACAACUCGUUCAUUUUCUUCAUUGUGCUUACUUAACAAGCACGUGAUUAAGUCUUGAUGAGGGGUUGCAGUGUGCUGCUCUAGUUUCACUUUCUUCUCUUGUGCAAGUUCCCUCAAUAUAUCUUGGACCCUAGAGCUUGCACGGAGGCUCCGAUUGUAGUGCGUGAAUGGCAAGUUCACUGGUAUGGACCACAUUCCCCCUACCAUUUCUUGAAAGUUUUUCAAGAAUUUCUCUCUUUUAACUCCUUCCUCCAUACCAAAGAGAAGAGAGCAUAUGAUGUUGAAUGUAAGGAUUUUCAUCAGGGGCAAUGCCAAUAGGAAGAUCAAAAUAUUAUCGUUAUUCACUCUUCUUUUGAUUAUUGAAGAGAUUAUGCACACUCCCAGUUUAUGCAUUCAUUCUCCCAGUCGAUACAUGCGGAGGCAAUACAAGUGUGAACCUAGUCAUACGAGACUAUUGUGUGCAUACACCAUGUACAUCUUAAAAUCUAUUAAGUCUCGAUAUAUCUAAACAGAUCAAAGCAACAAUGAGAGUCUACAGAAUAUUGACAUACCGCAACUUUUUCCUUUCCCUGCCAGUGCAACUUGAUGUGCUUCCUGACUUCUUCAUCUAUUUUUCCCAUGUACUGCUUCAGCGAUUCUAAAAUAGCUAGUAUGCGCACCUAGAGGGGGGGUGAAUAGGUAUAUAAAAAUUUUCUUGAAGAUUGCACAAUACUUAGACAGUUGAAGGAUUUGCAAUAAUUAAAAAUCAAUCGUAAGACUGAGUAAGGGAAAGAGAGAAUUGAACACGUGGUUUAUAGUGGUUCGGCUUGAUUCAAACCUACGUCCACUCUUCUGCACUGACAGCCAAUUGGCUGGAUUCCACUAUGAACGAAGAGAUGUUACAAUGUUGAUCUUCCUUGAUUUCUAGGUGUAGAUGAUCUACCACACUCACUCAAGGUGUCACCAAGUAUAAACACUCUCUGUGUAUACAAUUUCGCUCGAACUGUAUCGACUAACAAUCAAGGUUCUUUAGACUCUGGAAUUUUUCUAUCGAUCACUCUUCUAAAACAACUAGAACGUCUUCCUUUUAUACUCCUUUAUGCCAUCAUAGCCGUUGGCACUUACCAAAGGAAUUCCUCCAAUCUACCAGUUGGACGGAAUCAAUCAAGAAGAUCAUCCGAGCUAUUUAAGGAAUCUGAUGAUAGCCCAUCAAUCCUGUUCGCCCAUACAAUCAGGAUCUUGGUUUCCAAGAAUAGAACAUUCCAAGAAUACUUCGUCGACCAACGGAUCUUCAAUCGAUCUAGAUAACAAUAAAAGAAUCCAAAAUACUUAUCCAACUAAAGAAUCUUUUCCAAAGGAUAGGAUCGAAUCCUCAACCAUAUACUUCGGCUUUGGAUUUCCUUCGUCACUGGAUUAGAAAGACUGUCAGUGAGAAUAGACUUGAGUCUUGAGUCUCGAGUCUUGAGUCUUGAGUCUUGAGUCUUGAGUCUUGAGAAUGCAAAGUCUUCAGACUUUAAACUGUCGAUCUUCAAAUAUCCAGACUAGACUGAUAGAAAUGUUUUGUCAGCUUCAAAAUAUUCUGGAAAGAUUUCUCCAACAAUCUCCCCAUUUUUUAUGGUGACAAAACUUUCUUGUAGAUUUGAACAACUUUGACCUGCAAAAACAUUUCUCAAGCAAUAUGGCUAACUCAAAAAGAUUAAUAAAGCAACCAGACUCUGCAUCCACAGAAAAUUGGUUAGUCUUUCAUGAGUAAUACCAUAUAACAACACUUGAUAUAAAUGCAACCAGUCAAGCAUCAAAAUCCACAGCCAAUUCAGUCAAAUUUAAAUUCACACCCAAGUUCAAGUUCUCAAGUCAUACUCAGAAAUAAACAUAACCACAAAAGUCAAAGUUUUAAAGAGUUCAAUCAAAUUGAUUCUCCUCCUUUUUGUCAUCAUUAAAAAGGGUGAGAAAGGAGUCAUGUCUGCUUGGGAAUGCGCACUAUCUGGAAAUCUCCCAUAGACUGGACUACACCUUCUAGCCUCUUCAAGUCCUCCCUUAGUUGAGCUACCUCCUCUCCUUUGGCAUUGGCUUGAAGUUGCAGAGCAAGGUCUUUCCUUUGGCAUUGGCAAUGGCUCUGAUACCAUUUGUAAGGACUCAGGCCCCACUGUGUAAUAUUGUCCUCCAGGGUGACUGAAGAUGCUUGUCCAGCAUUCUUCAUGGCUUGGAUUUCACAGUCUAUAGCAUAUAUCUGGCCACGCAUUUCCAGAAGAAUAUCCAUGAUGCGACAAAAAUCUGCAGAAUCGUCCGUCUGUGUACUGGCAUGAGCUUUCUCUGAUGGAGUAAAUGCAGAUGAUGGCGCUUCUGUACAGUCUGGCAGAUUUGGUGUCAACGUAUCACCUUCUUCAGGCAAUUGAGAAGCCUGUAAUUCUUCUGGGUCUGCUGGAGAUUGUCUUGGACCUUCACUAUCAGCAGCAUGAGGUGAGCACCUUUCUUGCUCGCCAACUCCCCCUGUCUCUAGGACAUCGAAAGGGGAAGAGUGAUGAUCAUGCUCUUGAUUUCCCUUCUCUCCAGAUUCAGCAGACUUUUCUUUCUCUCCUUCUCUUUCUUCUUCAGCUUCUUUCUCCUUCUCUCUCUGCUCUUCUUCUUCUCUGUUCUUCUGAAGUUCUGUCGGUUGAGGCACAGAGCCUCUGGUUCUUGUCAGUGCUUGGAUAGUGGGAUCUUCAUCUUCUUCAUCUUCAUCUUCAUCCUCUAGGAUGAGAGUUCUUUUCGUCUUUUUCGAUGGGGCACCAAUGGCCUCCUUUCCUUUCCUUUUUGAACCAGACUGAACUGGAGAUUUUACUCUGAAUUUCUCCAUUGCCUUGGACAGUUCUUGCAGACGCAUCUUCGUUAACAUCUUCAAACCUACCACCAUCUUAUCACACGGUCGAACACAAAAUGUUUGUGGCGGUUCAAUGUUCAUGUGUCUAAAGAUCUUGGUCACCAGACCAGGAUAAGGCAAUUGUCCUUUGUCUUUCGACAUUGCUCUGUACAUAUGGAAGAGAAUAGUGUGCGGGAGAGAGAACUUCCGUCCUGAGUUGAUCGCGUACAUCAACUUUGCUUUAGAAAGAGACACGGAAGUCUUUGACGUAGACUUCGGUCUGAGACAGUUGAUCACAAUCUUAUGAAGCACAAUGUUGAUGGCAUUCAUCCUGGAAUAGGUAAUUUUCUUCUCUACAUCCCUAUCUUUGACAAGUUCCAGAGUAGUACGAGCAGGUGAGACUUUGAUUGGUAGAUAACAUCCUCGUUCAACUCCAACUAUGUCCGCCAACAUAUUCACAUCUACCACGUAGACUUGGUCUCGUACACUGAAUGAAAUUCUAUUCGCAUCCAAAAAGCUAAGAUUUGAAUAGAAAUAAGCGGUCAGUUGAGCAUACCCGUCCGUAGAGUCAGAGCAAAAAGUCUCAAGUUGAAGCAAAUUCAACUUCUCUCUUAAGUUCAUGUUGAUGGCAUCCAGGAAGUCAAAAUCAACACUUCUAGGGUUUAUCACCCCUCUUUUCAACAGCCUGAAAUACACAUUUUCCUGAUCCUUGGAUUUGAACAAAUCCAUCUGAUUUCCUUUCACCUUUGCUGCCACUCCCAUUCUCGGUUGGAAUUCAAGGAACAUUCUGUCAUCAUCGUUCCCUUCAAUUAAAUUUUGUCCUGGCAUACGAGGAUCACUUGGAAUGUUCACAAGUGCCUCCUCUACCCUUCCUUUCGGAGCAACUCCCAAUUCCUCCAUUUUCCGCAGAAAAAGAUACUCAUUCCCAUAAUUUUUGUCCUUAAGGAAUUCAUCUAUAUAUUUUAAUGAAGUACCAGUGCUUUUCAACGCACGAUAAAUCUUAUAGAUAAAGGAGGGUCUUUGGACUUUUACUGGGUCGGCAUCCUCGAUUAUCUCUUCUUCCAGAUGUUGACUCGCACCUUGUGGGGCAGGAGGUGUUGAAUGACGUGGAGGAGAGCGAAUCGGACUUUGUCGCUAACUUGAUAAGUCUUCUUCCUCAGUAAGAUCGAAGUGAGUCGGUCCCUUCUCCAUUCUUUGUGGUCCCCUGCUUGCGAUUCUUGAUGAUGUCCUCGAAGAAGACAUCUUUCUUUGUCGAUUGGAAGAUUCCUUCACUUGCUUUCCCAAGAAAAGAUGACCACUUUCUCGAAGAUGAACAGGAAAUAGAAACAGGAUCGGGAGGAGAGUUCUUUUUAGGGUUUUGAAGAUUUGGGCGAAGAAAAAACUGUAUAUAUAUAACUCAAUUUUGAAAAGGGAAGUUCAAUCGGUACAAGGAAAGCGUACAAACACUUCUUUUCAAGAUCAAUAACUACCAAAAUUAAUCCUUUUUUAAAAAGACAAGAUUUCGAAUUUCACACGGAUUAUAGAAUAACCGAAUGAAAGAUCGUACCUUUUCGAGUUUAGAUAACUAAACGAGAAUUCGUACCUUUUAGAUAAAAUAGCAACUUACAGUCUAUAGCCAUGAAAGUCUGAGUCUGAGGAUUUAAAGUCUGAGAGAUUAGAGUCUUAGAGUUGGUGAGUCUCUAGACUUUAACUUCUUCAAGCUUCAAAAUGUUGAGUCUUGAACGGAUAAAGUCAAAUUGAUUUUUCUCCAAAGGCUUUGUGAAUAUAUCCGCUAGUUGACUUUUUGAAUCAACAAAUUGAAUCGAGAUUUCUCCAUUUUGAAUGUGAUCUUUAAUGAAGUGAUGUCGAAUCUCAAUAUGCUUUGCUCUUGAAUGAAGAAUUGGAUUUUUGGUGAGAUUGAUCGCACUGGUGUUGUCACAUCUGAUUUCUAUGCAUGAGUCUUCAAUCCCAAAGUCUUGUAGCUGUUGUUUUAUCCAUAGAAUUUGCGAACAGUAGCUUCCAAGAGCUACAUACUCUACUUCUGUCGUUGAGAGAGCUACAGUGUUUUGCUUCCUCGGAAACCAAGAUACUGUCCUGUUUCCAAGCAGUUGACAAGUUCCAGAAGUGCUCUUUCUAUCGACUCUGCAACCGGCCAGAUCUGCAUCUGAGUAUCCUAGAAGAUUAAAGUCUCCCUUCUUGGGAUACCAGAGACCGAUGUUUGAAGAUGAGGCAAUGUAUUUGAUAACACGUUUUGUAGCACUGAGAUGGGAUUCUCUAGGAUCUGAUUGAAACCUAGCACAGAUGCAAACACUCAACAAAAUAUCAGGUCUAGAAGCAGUAAGAUAAAGAAGUGAACCGAUCAUGCUCCUGUACAGCUUUUGAUCUACUUUCUUCCCUUCUUCAUCCUUGUCUAUCUUCUGAGAACAUGACAUUGGUAUGUCGGUCUUUUUGCACUUUUCCAAUCCAAACCUUUUGACAAGAUCAUUUGCAUAUUUUUCUUGAUGAAUAAAAGUUUCUUCCUUCAUUUGUUUCACUUGAAGUCCAAGAAAGAAUGUUAAUUCUCCCAUCAUACUCAUUUCAAACUCAUCCUGCAUAGACUUAGAAAAUUUCUUGCAUAGACUUUCAUUAGGUGAUCUAAAAAUAAUAUCGUCCACAUAUAUUUGAACAAGUAAAAAGCUUUUGUUUUCCUUUUUGAUAAACAAAGUAGUAUCUACUUUACCUUUGACAAAACCAUUCUAUAAUAAAAACUUACUUAGUCUGUCGUACCAAGCUCGAGGUGCUUGCUUUAAACCAUACAAUGCCUUUUUCAGUCUGAAGACUGAGUCUGGCUUCUUUGGGUCUUCAAACUCAGGUGGUUGUUCCACAUAAACUUCCUCAUGGAUAAAUCCAUUUAGGAACGCACUUUUGACGUCCAUUUGGAAUAACCUGAAAUUUUUAUAACAAGCAAACGCAAGUAAUAGUCGAAUAGCUUCUAACCUUGCAACUGGUGCGUAAGUCUCAUCAUAGUCUAUUCCUUCUUCUUGCGUAUAUCCUUUGGCCACGAGUCUUGCUUUGUUUCGUACGACUUUUCCUUCUUCAUUCAUCUUGUUCCUGAAUACCCAUUUGGCUCCAAUAACAGUUUUACCUUUUGGUUUAGAUGUCAAUUCCCAGACAUCAUUGAUGUUGAACUGUCUGAGUUCUUCUUGCAUAGCUUCGAUCCAACUUUCAUCAGAUAAAGCUUCUUCUAUGCUUUUUGGUUCAAUUUCAGAAAUGAGAGCCACAGCACUAGAUUCUUCACGCCUUUUUGAUCUGGUGCAGAUUCCUUCAUUGAUUUCGCCAAUAAUGAGAUCUUUGGGAUGACUGGAUUUAUGCUUCCAGUUACUAGUUGAUUUGCCUGGUUGAUGAUCUCUUUCUUUAUUUGAAUCUUUAUGAGCAUCUUGAUGUUGGACUUCCAGAGUCUAAGACGCUUCUUGAGUUGUAGACAUUGGAAGGUCUAGAGCGGGUUCAGACUCUUCAUACUGAGUCUGGCUGGAUUCAUCUUGCGCUGAGUCUUGGACUUUGACAUUCAUUGAUUCCUCCAUAGACUGGCUUUUCUUGUUAUAGACUCUAUAGGCUUUGCUUGAUGUAGAAUAUCCAAGGAAUAUGCCUUCAUCUGAUCUUUCUUCAAACUUACCAACUCGAUCAUUUGCAUUUUUCAAAAUAAAGCAUUUGCAACCAAACACAUGAAAGUAUGAAACAAUAGGCUUCUUACCUUUAAAUAAUUCAUAGGGGGUUUUCUCUAAAAUAGGUCUUAGAAAGACUCUAUUUAUUAUAUAGCAUGCUGUUGAAACAGCUUCAGCCCAAAAACGUGAAGAAAUUUUACUUUCAAUUAAAAGUGUUCUAGCCAUUUCUUGAAGAGAUCUAUUCUUUCUUUCCACAACUCCAUUUUGCUCUGGAGUAUAUGGAGAGGAAAACAAAUGAUUAAAACCAGAUUUAUCACAAAAUUUCGUAAAAUCUUGAUUCUCAAAUUCACUUCCAUGAUCUGUUCUUAUACUUGAGAUUGCACAUCCUUUUUCAUUUUGAACCUUUUUAGCAAACUUCUCAAAGUAUGAAAAGGUUUCUGACUUACUUGCAAGAAAAUAUACCCAGGUAAAGUGAGAGUAAUCGUCUACAAUUACUAGACAAUAUUUCUUACCUCCAAUGCUCUGGGUUCUUGUUGGUCCAAAGAGAUCCAUAUGAAACAACUGUUUUCCCAGAAUGCAUGGAGUGCAUAAGUCAGACUUUUGGUAUGGCAAUUUAGGUAGACCUCGAACAAGCUUCUUUGAUUUUGGCUAAUUGCUUCAUGUUGACAUGGCCAAGUUUUCUGUGCCAUAGGACUGCUUCAUCUUGAAUUGAGAUUAGGCAUUGUUCUUCAUUUGGUUUUACAUCAAGGAGGUAGAUAUUUCCAUGCCUUCGACCCAUGAAAGACUGAGUUGAGUCUUUGCUAAUUCCAGAACAUAUGCCUUCUUGAAAGGAGAUCUUGAAACCAGUAUCACACAAUUGGCUAAUGCUGAGAAGAUUAUAGUUGAGUCCUUCCACCAGAGAGACAUUGCUUAUUGUGAGAUUUCCAAUUUUCACGGUUCCAAAUCCCACAAUGCUUCCUUUGCUGUUUCCUCCAAAUGAAACUUUUCCACUAUUCACUUGAAUAAGCUUUAUGAAGCAAUUUGAGUCUCCUGUCAUGUGUCUUGAGCAUCCGCUGUCAAGAUACCACUUUACCUUCUUUUUGACAGAGACCUGCAUUCAAAAGAGAGUCUCAAGCUUUCUUUGGUAUCCAAAUUUUCUUGGGUCCUUUAGCGUUAGUAGAAUGAACAUUAUUAGGCCAUACUUUCUUAACAGGCUUCCAAACCAUAGGACACUCUUUUUCAAAAUGAUCUUGAUUGUUACACUUUGAACACCUUAAAGCAUUUCGACCUACAGACUUUACAAAAACUUUCUUGAAAUGAUUUUUGUAAGCCUCUCUCGACGGUCUUUUCUUAAUUCUUUCUUUUACUUUCGGAAAAUCAAUCAAGGGGAUCGUUUCUGCUGUCAUACCUAGACCAGACUUAUUGAAGUAAGGUCUUUGGAUUGAAAGAACUUUUUCAAGUUUUUCGGACCCUAUUGAAAAUUUCUUUGAAAUAUUUGAUAAGUCAGUUUUUAAGAAAGCAUUUUCUUUUGAAAGUUUAUCUUCAUUCUCUUUAAGAGUAGAAACAUUCAAGUCUAAACUUUUCACUUUUUCUUCUAAAAUAUUUUCCUUUUGUUUUAAAAUUGAGUUUUCCUUUUUAAGUUCGGAAAUCUUUUUGAGAGAAGUCUUAAGACUAAAACAUAAUUCAUCAAUGUAUUUAGAGACUUUGACAGGGAUUUUAUAAUCACUUACCUCAAAUUCACUGUCUGAGUCUGAUCCAGAGUCUGAGUCUGAUUGCGCCAUCAGACACAGGUUGGCAUAUUCCUCAUCACUUUCUUCACACUCUGUAUCGCUCCAGGUUUUGGCUUUAAGAGCUUUUCGAGACUUCUCAGACUUUCCUCUUUUCUUCUUCAGAAAAGGACAGUUGGGUCUGAUGUGUCCCUUUUUCUUACACUGGAAGCGAACUACAUCUUUGUUUGGUUCUUCAUUAUCAACAAACUUGGUUUGCUGUUUUUGAAAACUUUGUUUCUUAGAGUUGAACCUUCUUCCUUUUCUAUUAAGCUUUAUGAACCUUCUAAUCAUAAGAGCAAGCUCCUCCUCGUCCAGAUCUUCUUCAGAAUCUGUAUCAUCAGAAUCAUCAUUAGAUUUUAAUGCAAUGGAUUUCUUACCUCUUGGAUCUUCGUCUUCAUUAAUUCGUUCCACUUCGUAAGACUGAAGAGUUCCAAUCAGCUCGUCUAUAGAUAAUGGCAUGAUUCUUUGUGUCUCUCUUAUUGAAGUCUUUAUAUGAUUCCAAUCCUUGGAGAGUCCACGCAGUAGCUUGUUCACCUUCAUAGGAUCAGAAAUUUUCUGUCCUUGAUUCUCAAGACCAUUGACAAUAUCUGUAAAACGGCUAAACAUGUCAGUUAUAGAUUCUCCUGGUUUCAUUUUGAAGGCUUCAUAUUGACCAAGGAGAAUGUUAAUUCUGGUCUCCUUCACUCGGUCUGUCCCUUCAUAAGUGAUAUGUAAUCUGUCCCAGACUUCUUUUGCUGUAACACAAGAAGAUAUUCUGUUAUAUUCAGUUGGUGACAAAGCACAAUAUAAAGAGUAAAUUGCUUUAGCAUCGAGUGCUUGUCUCUUGUUUAUUUCUUCUUGAGAUAUUCCGCUGGCUUCAACAGUUUCUUUCCCUCUUUCAGAUAUUGAUGCAGCAGUAGGAGUGAUUCCUUUUUCCACCACAUCCCAUUCCAGAGGAUCCUUUGACCGUAGAAAAGCUUUCAUCUUGUUUUUCCAGAUGUUGUAAUCAUUUCCAUCAAAGUAGGGUGGUCUAGUAUUGCUUUGCCCUUCCACCAGCCCUGGUGCUAGCAUACUAGCCAUGGAUCUUUUACUUUGAAGUAAAACACUUCAAAUAAAGUAAGAACACGAGCUCUGAUACCAAUUGAAAUAGCUAGUACGCGCACCUAGAGGGGAGUGAAUAGGUAUAUAAAAAUUUUCUUGAAGAUUGCACAAUACUUAGACAGUUGAAGGAUUUGCAAUAAUUAAAAAUCAAUCGUAAGACUGAGUAAGGGAAAGAGAGAAUUGAACACGCGGUUUAUAGUGGUUCGGCUUGAUUCAAGCCUACGUCCACUCUUCUGCACUGACAGCCAAUUGGCUGGAUUCCACUAUGAACGAAGAGAUGUUACAGUGUUGAUCUUCCUUGAUUUCUAGGUGUAGAUGAUCUACCACACUCACUCAAGGUGUCACCAAGUAUAAACACUCUCUGUGUAUACAAUUUCGCUCGAACUGUAUCGACUAACAAUCAAGGUUCUUUUCACCAAAAAAAAAAAACAAUCAAGGUUCUUUAGACUCUGGAAUUUUUCUAUCGAUCACUCUUCUAAAACAACUAUAACGUCUUCCUUUUAUACUCCUUUAUGCCAUCAUAGCCGUUGGCACUUACCAAAGGAAUUCCUCCAAUCUACCCGUUGGACGGAAUCAAUCAAGAAGAUCAUCCGAGCUAUUUAAGGAAUCUGAUGAUAGCCCAUCAAUCCUGUUCGCUCAUACAAUCAGGAUCUUGGUUUCCAAGAAUAGAACAUUCCAAGAAUACUUCGUCGACCAACGGAUCUUCAAUCGAUCUAGAUAACAAUAAAAGAAUCCGAAAUACUUAUCCAACCAAAGAAUCUUUUCUAGAGGAUAGGAUCGAAUCCUCAACCAUAUACUUCGGCUUUGGAUUUCCUUCGUCACUGGAUUAGAAAGACUGUCGAUGAGAAUAGACUUGAGUUUUGAGUCUCGAGUCUUGAGUCUUGAGUCUUGAGUCUUAAGUCUUGAGUCUUGAGAAUACAAAGUCUUCAGACUUUAAACUGUCGAUCUUCAAAUAUCCAGACUAGACUCAUAGAAAUGUUUUGUCAGCUUCAAAAUAUUAUGGAAAGAUUUCUCCAACAGAUUCUGAUCUCGAGAACGACAAUGGGAGACUCUCUCACAUGUCUACGAUCUUGGCCACUAAGUUCAAACAGAUUGCAGUCUCCCAGAAUCACGCAGAUGGAUGAUAGCUACUUGUUGGCAAGCAUGCUGCCAUCUCCAUGGAAUAUAAAAUUGUUUGCUGCUGGUCCGUGAAUGAACACCGUUGGUUUGCCAAAGAGAGUGAGCUUCAAGAUUGGUCCAUACUUCCUCACCCUUUCUCGGAGGCAUUCUUCUCCUCUGUUCGUCCUCAUGGCUUGGAGCAUGCCAAUGCUUUGGCCUAUUAUGGGGAUUCCCAAUUAUCCCGGAGGUAGCUUUCUUGAUGAUCCUGUUCUUCUCUAGCUUAAUAGAAAGAGAAUUGGCAGAAGAAAGAGAAGAAGAGUGAUCAAAAUGUUCAUUGUCAUGGGUGUAAGUAUGUGUGUGUGGGUGUGGGUGUGGGUGUGGCUGCGUGUGAUGAGGGGAAAGCAAGAGAGUUAUAUAGCUCUUAGGUUUCUUGUCAGUUUCUAAUCUAGUAUUUUAGGUGGUUCAUUCCUUCUGGAACGUCGGAUGAAGAUUACUAAGCAGAAAACGCAUCAACUUUGAUACAAGUCCAGCUUUGUAUAGUGCACCAGAUGUUGUAUCGAAAAAUUGCGGUUGAGAUAAAACAAAUAGCACAUGGUUGACCUACGGAGGAACAUGUUUUAUCCCAAGGGUGUUUAGCUGAAGGGAAUAAUUUGGGAACAGCGGAGAUGGAGAUGUAAAGGAUGUGACCUCUUGUUUGGUUUCAACAACAGGGUUGAGCCCGGAUGUGUAUUACUUUGUAUUUGUUUUAGUCACCAUCAUAACUCAACCAAAGGAUAACGAAAUAUAGUCUUGAAAAAUGUGAAUCCGGCAAAAUGGAAUCGUCCAUCUGGAUCAAAACCAACUAUUAAUACUUUGUGCAAGAUCCAAUAAAACUUGUUGUUUGACAAAUGAACUAUGAUUGUCGGAGUUUGAAGACCAGAAGAUCAGUUUCUGGACCAUGACUCUAAUUAUUGUCAGCAAAAUCUGGAACAGUAUAGUUCCUGAGCAAUUGGGAUACUCGUAGUGAUGUAAAGAUGUAAUUUCUCUGCACAGCAAAUCUUAAGGUGUCUGAUUUUGUACCCCAAACGUGGCCGUAUGUUAUGUCUGGUUAAAUUUGUAUUUCUGUCUGGUUGCAUAGAUUUUGAGUGGAUGAAAUGGAAUGCCCUUCCAACAAUCGGGGAAACUUAUCUUUAAGAAUCACUGUAGUUUUUGGAUGUUGCGGAUUUCUACGCUUGUUGGUUCAAGGCUUUGGAAAUUUUUCAUCUUUUCUACAUUUGUCAAUCGAUUCACAACUUCUAUUAUCUUUUCUUCAGAGAUAGAGAUGCUGCAAACUCUAACUCAUCCUUUAUGUUAGCUUCUCCAUUUCCUUCCAAAGCUUCAUUUUUCAAAGUUGCCUGUGUUUGGAUGACUUGGGAUUGGCACGCCUCUAUUUAUGGCUAAUUUCUUAAAUAAAAAUAAUUCUGUGUUAGAUCUUGAUGAAAGCAUUCAUCCUUCUCCCUAAUAAAGCAACAUCAGUAUAAAUAAGUAUUAAUUUAGAUAAUUAAAUAUGUACCUUGCGACCAUAUGAGUCUUCUUUCUUCUUCCUCCCGUUAAUGAACUAAUGUCCAUGUAGCAGCUUCCAUACUGCACUUCCUGGUUCUAAUCCUUUUGGUUUAGUAAAUAUGAGCAUUUACAAUAUAAUUUGCAACAACGUAUGACACAUGAAGAAAGUUAGUCAUCUACAACUUCAAAUUUGCAAGAAAGCAUGCUCAAGCAGCAUAGCAGCUGAAGGCCUCUCGGCAGCCUCUCUAAGAAAGCAGCACUGCAGGAAAUCCUUUUCCUCGGUGGAUAACAUCUUAGGUAUUGGCAGAGUACUUCGCAUCACCUUAAACAUUGCUGCAGCCUGCAUUAAAUGAUUAAAUCUUAAACAGAAAGUAAAGACAUAGAUCACAUGCCAAAAGGUAAUAUGCACAGUACUAAACUUCAACAGAAAAGACACAGAUUUGGUCCAAGUACAAAUACAGAUAAUAAAAAAGCAGUGCAGCAUUCUUACCCGCUCAUGCUCACUUCAAGGAGGUUUCCCAGUUAGCAUUUCAAUAAUAGUACAUCCCAAACUCCAGAUGUCAGCAGUACGAUUGAGAUCCGUGCUUUUAUCAUUUGCCAUCAAGGAUUGUAUAAGCUGCAGGAUGCACUAUUCCAUCAUUCUGCCAUGACAAAAAAAGAAUGUGGCAUUAAUGUUCAUAAAAGCAAAGUACCACUGGAGCCAUCCAGUUGGGAUUUCCAUUCAAAGAGCAGCAAGCUGCUUGUCCAGCUAGCUAAGAAACGGUAGCACAUCAAUAGUAAAGCCAAAGACUAUUUGGUAUGUUCAUGGAACACGGGAUAAAAUUGCAACAUCUUUAGACAUAGAUGCAUCGGAUUGAUAAAAGAACUAAAUCAACAACUUUUGACUUAUGUUAACUCAAUCAACAACUUUUGACUUAUGUUAACUCAUCACUAAGUAAAAGGACCAUGAAGCAAUCAACAGAAUGAUCGAAUACUUCAAAACUUGAAAAGAGAGCAACAAUACCUUAGCUGCUGUCCAGAAUUCUGUUCUAUUGACCAAUACACUUUUAAUUACCUCAUGUUAGGAAGGAGGUGCUUCUUACUCUGACUAAAUUCGAUCCUUCUCAUGGAAGGCAAGAGUAGCAGCAAAAACAACAUAAGAAGAACCUUGCACCAAAGUUAUUGCACUCUAUCUACUAUCUACUACGCCUCUUUGGACCUUGUUGGAAACCAAAAAAUAGUAAGGAACUUUCAUUAGGUUUUGGCAUCUAAACAUUGCAAGGAAUCUUUUCCAGUUUAUGAAACAUAGUAACGUUACCUGACAUGAUGAAAAAAAAAAAGUGAAGAAAAUCAUUUGCCACCAUUUCAUCUAUUUGUAAUAGACUUUGGCAUAGAUGAAAUGCCACAGACCAAUAAUGAGAAGUACGCAUCAAGAGACGAUAGACGAAGAAUAAAAAGCUUGCUUGUUUUCUUUCUCUUUUUUUCUUUUUUGCGCCUAAUCUAGUCGAUCAAUCACCCUGACAUAACAUUUGUCAGUAAAUGGACCACAAAUCAGUUAGGAAUUUCUACAUGCACUCUUUAGUCUUGCAGUGAAGAGGUGGAUUUUCACAUGUUUAGCAAUCCCAGAGUCAGCAAGUUUAACUAUCCCAUAUACAUCCACAAAUAAAUUAGCUCCCUUUAAAUACCUACGCAGGCCAAAAAGUUUUCACAGGUCUGUUGGCUCAAUGAAGAAGGUCCUAUCAUCCUUGUCCAAUGUGCAAGUCAUCUCAUGAUGCUUGAUCAAUGGUUUGGAAUUACCCAUGUAUGGAGUUGUUAACUGUAGGUAAGCCAAUCCUGUUGGACAACCGAUUCUGUUAGGGCCCCAAGAUGCUCCUGGAUAUACUUGUCCAUCAAACCAUGAUGUGCAUAUUCUAGAUAUAUGUUAAGCUGAUCCUCAACUGAAUAUGCAUGAUGUGCAUAUUCUCUCUCUCAAUCGUAUCAGUGGAUACAGGAUAUCCGAACCCUCUGAAACACAACAAGAAAAGCAGCACUUAAGCAGCAGUCUAAACUAUUGGGCAAAUACAUUACAUGACCUGCAUAGAGAACCACUAACCUAAUCACUUCGAAAAAAAAGAAGCAAAAUUUCCAGCCCAACAAGAGAUGAGACGAAAUAAUGAGGGCUCACCAUCCAUGGAGGCGCCUUCUCUCUUUCACUUCGACUCUUACCUGCAUCCAGACCGAAAUUCUCCCCAUUUACCCUAAAAAGACAACAUCCCUGUAACUCUCGAGCAAGUUCACAGGCAGCAAACUUUUUGUUAAACCCAGACAAAACAGCAGAAAAAAGACCAGGGAACAAAAACAAUCUACAACCCAAGCUCCUUCAGUCGCUGCAGAUUCAGAAACAUGGGAAACACGUCCCACAGUGCUUGAAUGGUCCCUAGCAUCCCGGCUUGUAUCAGAAUGAUUGACACUCCUCUACUUUUCACCUGUAAUCAAAAUGAUAGAAAAAACAAGUGUAACAACUCACCGAUAUGCACAUGCAAGACCAGAAGAGAAAAAAGAUAAUGCAGCUUACAUAUUCAAACUCAGCUUUUCCUUCCCACUCUUUAAACUCGAAUAAGUGCUCGAGGGAUGAAAGAUAGUAGUCCCACGUCACCCGGUAUGGGGUUGCAAAGACAUAAAUAUCCUUACAUGUCCAGCUAUGGGCUUUGCUGACCUGGAUGAGCAAUCCAAAUUCAUGGUUACAAGCCGGAUACCUACAACUAGUCGUUAGUUUCCAUAUUCAGCAGAACCAGAUGCAAAAACAAGAACUUUCAACAUGAGGCAGGACCCACCUAUACUAGAAUUGCCUCCAUAAGAUAAUUUGAUUUUACAUCAAAUGAAACGACCAUACUUGUAUGAGCAACCAAAUCACUAAAUCCUUCUUCCACCACUUAAAAUCCAGACACAAAAAGCUCAAGGGACCAACCAUGGCACCACCAAUUUGUGGAGCUUAGUCAAGUACAGACAAGCAGAUGAAGGGAAAAGAAAAGAAACCUCAGCAAGUCACGAAAUCCACUACAAACUUACUGAGGUAAGAACUGAAAAAUUCCGUUACUCAAAUUCCAACAUAAAUAAGCAGAAUGAGAAGUGGAACAGUUGGGAUCAAGUGCGUGGCCCAAACAUUGAAUGAUAUAUCUCUAACAUCCUUUACAGAAUGGUAUGACCGCACGCCUUAGUUGUUAAGAAAAAUACCAUAAGUAGAAAGAAACCCUAUCCAGUUCAGCAUUAUGAAUCCAUCAGAAAAAUUAACCUCAAAUUAACCAAGAUAGGAAUCUCAAACUAAGCACCGAAGUUACCAAGAAUUAAUUGGAAACUGCCAAAAGCUGGCAAACGGUGCCCAUUAGACCCAUCAACAAACCGCUACAACCUCACAUCUCCCAGAAUUAUCACAAAAUUGAACUGCAGCCAAUUGUAUUAAGCACUCAAUCGACCAGAAAACCUCAAAAGCUCGUGAACAGUGAUCAUCUCUCCACAUUACCAAACUGCCACAAGCUCAAACCUCCGAAAUUCGUUUCGUGAUUCUUGGCAUGAUUGGUGAAUUGAGGCAAAAGCACUUUCAAUAAGUGCUAUGAGAAAGAGUUCCAGGAACCGACAACUUAAGGAAGGAGGAAGGCUUGUUGUUGUCAGUGAGUUGGGUGGUCAGUAUGAAGACAGUUUUGAGGAUGUCCAAAUCCUAAGCAUUUGAGAAAUCUCAUCUCUUUUCAAUUUUGCGAUACUGGUAUGCUGCAUGAUAUGUAAGAGCUUGAGAAAAGGCUGCAACUUUUUUGUUCUGUUCCGAUCAUUGACUUGAGCAGAGAAUUCAUGCAUUGUCUUUUUAGGUUGUCAGAGCCCGUCAUUCAGAUAAACUUUCUGUGAGGCGUCAGCUCGCUUCUAUUUCAUUCUUAUUAAUGAUCUUAGAAUUGAGUAUGGAUUUGUGUCAAUUUAAUCUCAUUAAUAGAUGAAUAAUAUUAGAAGUGAAAAUAGAGGUUAUCAAGCAGAGCUGGCUGUUAUACCUCUUGCCGCAAUAUUAGAGAAACAAGUUGAAGUUUUGGAUUCUUCUUGUGAGUUUCCAGAGUUUCUACAUUUCUUAAAUUCUGUUUAGCAUAUUUAUUCCGCACUCAAUUUUAAUUCUUCUUGCGGACAUGCAGAAGUAACAGUCGUGACAAUUGAGGCUUUGCUGUUUUGUUUCGAGGUAAGCAUGAAGGAUCUAAACAUGGCGGCCUUAAUUCCACUUUUCAGCUUGACUUGUAGUGGAACGAUCUCAGCUUGGUAACUGCUGGUGUUUUUGACAGAUGAUAGUUUGUCUCUCAAUGUUCUGGACAACAUGGAAGGCGGGAUGUUCUGUUUUUUCAUGCCUGUGAGCAGUCCUCGCAUCGCAUCGCAUUGGCAUUUAAAUCCAACGAUGCUCCCUUAUUGUCUCUUUGAACUUAAUCCUGCAAUUUUGCUUUUGCUUGACGGUGUUGCCCAAUUACCAUUGUAAAUCAUUUCUUUAAUCGGCAUUUCUCUAGGAAAAGUUGAACAGAGCCAUCGGUUGCAGCUUAAAGCUUUACAGGGUACACCGUUGAUCAGGCUUCCCCGUACGCCCCUUUGUAGUUUUACUUGGAAGCGGACAGGGAGCAUAUCUGGCAGUGGCGUCAACUAGGGGUGUGCGAUUCCAUUCGGUUCGAUUUUUAAGAAAAAUCAAAUUGAAUUGAACUGAUUAUUAAAUUUAUUGAACUAAAUCAAAAUUUGAUCUGAACCAAACAAAAAUCUCUGUUCGAUUCAGCCCGAUUUUUUGAUUUUUACUUUUGUUUUUUUUUACAUGCAUCCCUUUCAAUAAAUUUUUUAUUUUAAAAAAAUGAUUUUUUAAAUGAUUUUUAUUCUUUUUCUUUUUUAUUUUUCUUCUUCGUUGGCUAGUCAUCGGCCAUCUUGGUAACCAGUGACCAAGUAGAUGUUAGUUAGCUGGACCUUUGCCACAGACUGGUCACUAACCAGAGAUGACCUAGAGCCUCACUUGACCACUUGGGUGGGGCUCAAGCCUCAUCGGAGGUCACUAGAUGUCUUGGCUGGUCAGGCCACAAGGUGGCAAGACUUGACCUUGUUGGAGUUUGGUGAGCUUGAGCCUCGCCAAUUUGAUUAAUGAGGAAAAAGAAGAAAAAAUAUUAAAAAAUAAAAAAUAAAAAUUUAAGAUUUUAUCAGCUUGGUUCAGUUAAUCCAAUCAAUAAAAAUCUAACCAUUUAAAAAAUUUUGGAUAAAAAAAGAACUUUCCAAUUCAGUUUGAUUUUUGACACUAACGUCAAUCGUUGUGAUUUGAUUCGGAUUUUUUGAAAAUUCAAAUCAAUCCACACUGCUUUUUUUUUUUUGUGAUCUAGGGAACUUGUACGGCCGGCAGCCGGAGAUAAACCACUAGGAGCGACACGUGCUAGUCACCACACAUGUGUCACCGAGUAAGUCGCCAAGAGUCUCAAGCUAGCCCUUCUGUAACUUGCGCUGCAGGAGCUUCGAAUACUAAACCUCCUCGAUGGAAGUCUAGCGCCUACCCAGCUGAGCCACCACAGCGGGUAGUCGAUCUGCACUGUUAUGUUGCACAUUUAACCAAAUCAAAUCUCAAUUCGGUUGGGUUCGGGUUUUAUGUUUUUUUUUCUUCUUUUUUUGGACGUUUUUAUCCUCCAUUGUUUUUGCCUUUGCCUUAGUCCCCCCCCCCCCCCCCCAACAACUAGUCCAUUCUGUCUCAUUUGUGAAACGUGCUCGCGUAGAGCGCUUUCGACUCACCAAACUGGCUGAAAACUUCCCACGAGGCAACGACAUCGGCUCCCUCCUCCUCAAUCGCGCCGCCGCCUCGACCCCAUCUGCUGCGGCAGGAGCUCCCUCUCCCGCCACCACAGCAAGCCACCUCCGCAGCUUCUUCCAGAACAUCUCUCGCUGACAAAAGAAACGUCUUUCCAAGAGAGAGAGAAAUGAGGCUCGAGCCACAGGAGGCCAGUGGAGUGUCGUCGUCCCAGUACCGCCUCGUGUUCGCCUACUACGUCACCGGCCGCGGCUUCGGCCACGCCACUCGCGUCGUCGAGGUCGGUCUCCAUUUCUCCUCUCUUUUCUUUCGGGAAUCGCUCACUGUGAUCGGAAGGUGGAUGAUGAAUCAUUCCUCUCCGAAUUUCUUCUCCGAUGAACUCGCAUAUCUCUCGUGAUCCUCCAGUUGCUAUGGAUCACGGUCCCAAUCUCGCCCCGCUGUUGGGAAAGUAACUAAUUUAGGGUUUCUUAGGGUAUUUUUGAGAGGGGCGAGAACGAGUUCCAUUUUUAUUGAAAAUUUUCUUUCGAGGUUAAUCGAAUCAGUAAAAGAGAAUGGUUAUUUUUUCAUUAUUCAAAUCAAAAUCAAAAUGAUAAAAAAAAAAGAACGAAAAUUCAGAUUGAAUAUUUGGUGGCCCUCCAAUCACCUGGUUGCCUUUUGGAAGUCCUCUGUUGUGAACCAGUACUUUAAAUCUCGAUUCUUUAUUGAUCACAGUUGUGAGGUGACCUCGUUGAGUGCGUCAUUUAGAGCGUGUUUGGUAAUAUUUCUGUUUAAAAAUUAUUCCGAGUAACAGAAAUAGAAAAAAGUGUUUCUAUUUCGGGGAAUAAUUUUUGAAUAAAAAAAUGUAUUUGGUAAAUUUGUUUCGAGAAUAAAAAAUAAACAAAAUCAGGUUUGGUAAAUUUGUGUUCUUUUAAUUUUUUCUUUUGGCUGUUCAUUGGCCGGCGAUUGGUUGACGAAGGUCAGCGGCCUCACCUCGGCUCGGCGAGCUCGGGCUCGCUCAGAUCCGGCAAACCCGAGCUCGCCCAGCCAUCGGCAAGACUUGGCCUCGUCGGGCCAUUGCCAGGCUGGCCUCGCCGGUGGCUGGGCAAGCUCGGGCUUGCAGUUGGAUCUAGGCAAGCUCAAGCUCGCCCAGCCAAGGCGAGACCGAGGCUGGCGACACUUUGGCGAGGUUGCCGGUGGAGAAAAUUUGUUUUUAAAAAUUGUUCAAAAAAUCAUAAACACUUUUUUUGUUUCUUGUUUCUGUUCUAAAUGUGUUCCUGAGAACAAAAAAAUAGAUUUGGAACAAAAACGCAAACAAACGUGUUUCUGUUAUUUUUUUUAUUCCCUGAAACAAAAAAAAAAAAGAAAUUUUGUUUAUAAAUAGAAACAAAUAACAUUAACAAACAAGCCCUAAGUCUCUAGAGUGUUCACAAUUACUACAUUACAUAUGUAUGCAGAUAAGUUAUGUAAAUUCAAAAAAUUUGUGAUAUAACAAUCCGUGCUUGAAUAUUGAAGUUAGAAAUGAUCUUCUAAUGCUCUAUUACUUCAGAAUUGAUCGAGGUCUUUUUACUCUUUUAUUGAAACUUUGAUGUGAAAUUCCACAUCCACGAUUAGGUGUUGAUAAGUAUGACAAUUCAAUUACAAAGACAAUUCCAAACACGCGUGUCACUUAUUUACGGUAAAUGCAUAAUGAAAUUUUAACACCAACUAUAUAUCUAGCAAUAAUACAUUAAUUUACUAGGUUAUUUAAUUACAAUUUUUUCUUUAUUUAGUUCGAUAUAACAAAUAAUAAGACCAUAUAGAUAAUAUAUUUGAAUGUUCAAAAUUUUUACGCAUGCAUGGGGGUUAAUUUGUAUAAUGCUAACUAUUUAUUAAAAUAUUGAAUAUAUAUUAUUUCGUACAAUUGAAGGAGGAUGACCAACCAAAAAAAAAGGAUGAUAAAGAAGUAGAAAAGUCAAAUAUGAGAGGUGGAGUAAAAACAGUCAAAUCUACAAAGAUGAAAAAGGGGGAAAAAUCAAUUUUAUUCAUCUUAGUAUGGAUUAAUACCAUGAAGAAUCCAAACCGGUAUACCUAUAAUAAAUUUAGGGAUAAUAUCCUAAAAAAUCCAAAACUGGUACACUUGUGACAAAUUUACCUCAAACUAUUUUUUUGACUACCAAAAACCCAAAACUGGUAUACUUUUGACAAAUUUAUCCCAAACUGGUACACUUGUGACAAAUUUACCAUAUGUUAGUUUUCGUUAAAUUUUAUUAUCAAAUUAUUAAGUUAAAUGACACGUGACAGUUAACCAAUAUAUUAAUUUAGGAUUUUACAUUCCGUUUGUUACAGUUUACAAUUUUUAUGAUUUUUUUGUGGUAUUAAUCCAAUUUAGCAUAAGGUAUAUUUGUCACAAAUUUACCAGUUUAGGGUUUUUUGCCGUCGAAUAAAUUAGUUUGGAGUAAAUUUGUCAUAAAUGUACCAGUUUGGGGUUUUUUUAUAAUCAAUUGGGGUAAAUUUGUCACAAAUUUACCAGUUUGGAGUUUUUCAUGGUAAAAAAAAUAGUUUGGGGUAAACUUGUCACAAGUAUACCAGUUUGGGGUUUUUUAAGGUAUUAUCCCAUAAAUUUACUCGGAUUGAUCAUAAAGAACCUUCAACUGAUAUAUUUAUGACAAAUUUAUCCUAAACUAGCUUAUUUAACCGCAAAAAAUCACAAACUGGUAAAUUUGUGACAAACAUACCCUUCGCUAAAUUAGAUUAAUAUCACAAGAAAAUCACAAAAAUUGUAAACUGUGAUAAAUGAAGCGUAAAAUCCUAAAUUGGUAUAUCAAUCAACAUGUUAUUUAAAAUUUAACGAAAAUUAACAGAAGGUAAAAGUAUACCAGUUUAGGAUUUUUAGUGAUAAAAAAAUAAUUUAUGGUAAAUUUAUUAUUAGUGUAUCAAUUUGGAAUUUUUUUAGGGUAUUAAUCUUUAAGUAACGGGCACUCAUCCCAUUGGUGGUCGUGUGAUUUGCACUCAAUCCCUCUACCGGAAGGGAGCGAGUUCAAAUCCUCGCGAUCGCUUGUGUGACUCACUCGCAGUCCGGAGGAGGUGAGUCCCCUCGGGUGUCCCUGGGUUUACACUAUCGGCCACCGGCUGUACGGUGGUACCUGGGUUAUCAAAAAAAAAUUUUGAAAAAGAAAAACAUAUAAAAAUGUGAAAGCAUGCGACGAGGACAGCUAUUUAAUGGGCCCCAUGCCGAUUCAUUUUUCUUCUCGAUGAGGCCUCCCAGCGGCGGAGUUGAGUUUUUCAUUCAGAAAAACAUAUAAAAAUGUGAAAGGAUGCGACAAGCACAGCUAUCUAAUGGGCCCCAUGCCAAUUCAUUUUUCUUCUCGAUGAGGAACCCAAUUUAAUCCAGAAACGUCAUGAGGCCUCCAUGAAGCCCCGAGUUCUCGUUUUAACUCACCAUCCUGGGAACCCAUUUUAAUCCAGAAACGUCAUGAGGCCUCCUGGUAGCACCGGGUUUUCUUUUUUGUUCGCUAUCUUGAGGACCCAUUUUAAUCCAGUGUCCAGGCGUCUCUUUUUCUUUCCCUAUUUUUUGGUCGAAUACGUCUCUUCUCUCUCCUCCUCUUCGCUCUCUCUUCGUCUCUUCGUCGAGCCGAACCCUAGACACCUCCAGUUCGCGACUCACCCUCUCGUUCGACGCUUCCAGCUCUUCGAUUCGCUUCACCGACUUGGCGAUCUUGGCGUUCUUGGAGCAGAUCAGGUCUUCCGGCACCGGGGCGAGGGACGCUGUCUCUGGGACGACCUUGUGAUCGAGGAGCUUGGUCUUGAGGUGCGACGGCGGCUUCGGCGAUUUCUGGAGGCCCAUCUUCACUUUGCCGGCUACCAUGGGUACCAAACCUACUACUCUUUUCCUUCUCCCACCCCCCACUCACGCCCCCCUCCCCCCCUCCUUUCUCUCGUGGGUAGUUCGAAAUAGAAUCAGUAGCUAAUAGCCGCAGAGCAUGAUUUAAUUGAUUCUAAAUGGUGUAAUAGCGGCUAAUGGCCUCUCAACUAGUCGAGUGCAUUGCAAGUUUGCUACCUGCAGUGCAAUUUUGUAUUCUCAAUUGAGGAAGAACUUAAUGGUAUAACCGAGUCUUUCAGCCUAGUGGAAUUUGCCCUAAAGCCGUAAAGGUUGAUGCUUUCUGCAUAGUUCACUGGGCUUAUUCAUGCCAGUCUUCGAAUCGCAAUUGUGGGAAGCUUUUUCAUGGAAAUGUCUUGUUAGCAUCGCUGUGUAUGAGUAGUAUUAAUUGAUAUUUCCUAAACUUGUUUGUAAAAGAAGGAACUUUGAGUUUGGUGUCUUUUGGUCAAGACUUUGCUAUAGGGAUUUGCUGAGUUUGCUAACUUUGUAGAAAUACCAAGCCCAACUUUGAGAUUGGUUUCCUUCUACGCUGUGUUUUCUUAACUUUGCUAAUGGAACCUGUUUCUUGAUUUAUGGACAGCCUGAAAUCCGUGUACAUUUAACCCAAAAUAAAAACAGAACCCAUUUCAUAUAGUUAGCUGAUCGAACUUUCUCUUAUUAUAAGUAUUUCAACCUAUAGGUUUUUUACAUUUUUUUUGGCUUUAUUUACUAUUUUUUUAUUGUGUUAAUUUACUUUUUUUUUUUAAUUUGAUGUGAAGUUUUUAUCCAAGCAACAUAUACAUGUGAAAAGCUUAAAGUGGGUUAAAUGGGUGGGGGUUUUCUUGGAUUGGGUUCAGUAAUGUGGUUCAAGUUAGGUAUGUCAUUAAAUUUACAUUGCAUGGAAAAUGGGUCAAUAUAGGUCGGACCAUUUCUAAGCUGACCCAUCCAUUUAGUGGCUAAGAGUUACGUAAGGUGGAGUAGCAUCCAUAUAAGUAGACAAAGUGUUCUUUAUUUUGGUAAUAGGUUAUUGUUUAGAAAUGAAAAGGAAAAUGAUAUUAAAAUGAGAAAGCAUGAGGUGGCAAUCUUCAUGCAUUGUGUUAAAUCAAGAUUUAAUUAGGUAUGUUGCCAAUGUAAAAAAUAGUUCACACAUUCACAAUUAGGCGUUGACAUUGGAAAAAUUUGGUUACAAGGAUAACUCUAAACAUACAUGCUACUCAUUUGUGGUAAAUGCAUAAUUGGGUUUAACACCGGUUAUGUAUGUAAUAACAUUCCAUUAAUUACUAGGUUAUUUGGUUAACUAUUUCCUUUUUUGGUUUAAUAUAUUAAAUAAGAGAGAAAAGAUCACCAAAAACCCUAAUUUGCCCUAAGUGCCAAAUUUACCUCAAACUUUUUUUUGAUAUGAAAAAUCUCAAACUUUGCAAACUGUGACGCCACCAAAGGCAUUUUUGUCUUAUUUUUUCCGUUUUUCCUUUUUUUUUUUCUUCUUGUGGCAGAGGGAAGUUAGUGAGGGGGUGAGGACGGCCUUGCUAGGUUUGGCAAGGGCCAUACUUGCCCAAUGUCGAUGAGGGGUGCCCUCACCUGUGUUGGGUGAGGGCUGUCCUCGCCAGAUCUAGCAAGGGCACCUCUCACUCGACGCCAACGAGGGCACUCCUCGCUUGAUGGCAGCGAGGGUUUGGUGAGGGAGGCCCAUGCCCGACGUCGAGGAGGGCCGCCCUCGCCUGCGUCGGGUGAGGAUGGGGUGCUCUCGCCUGACGCCGGGAGGGUUACCCUCGCCUGUGUUGUGCGAGGCCUAGUGAGGGUAGUGCUUGCGUCAGAUCUGGCGAGGGAGGCCCUCGCCAGUGUCGAGUGAGGGCCAUCCUUGCCCGAUGCAAGCUCAACGCCCUUGCGUGCGUCGGGUGAGGAUGGCCCUCACCCGACGUCGUUGAGGGCCUAGCGAGGGCACCCCUCGUCAGACUCAGGAGUGAGGGGUGCCCUCACCGGACUCGGGCGAGGGGUUCUCUCGCCCAACCCAAUCGAGGGCUGCCCUCGGACGCCGGUGAGGGCAGCUCUUGCCUCUUGCCGGCAAGGGCAGCUCUCGCCAAAUGUCAGCUUCCCUCUGCCGGUCAGAAGGGGAAGAGAGAAGAAAAAAAAUUUUAAAAAGUAAAACGACUAAAAUGCUCUAUAAUUUAGGGUAAAUAUAUCACACGAAUAAAGGUCAAGGGUUUUUUAUGUCAUAAAAAAAAAUUUGGGAUAAAUGUGUCACGGUUGGUAAAGUUCUAGAUUUUUCAUGUUACAAUAAAAAAAUUUUGAGGUAAAUUUGUUACUUUGGACAAAGUUUGAGAUUUUUGGUGGUCUUUUCCCUAAAUAAUAAGACCAAACAAAUAAUAUAUCCGGAUGUUCAAAAUUUUCACGCAUGGGGGGUUAAUUUGGAUAAUUCUAACUAUUUGUUAAAAUAUUGAAAUUAUAUUAUUUUUAAGAAUCUAAGGAGGAAAUAUACCAUGUGAAUCAGCAAGGCUAAAUAAAUAAAUAGAGAAGUCAAAUUUAUGUGUGGUGGAGUAAAAAUAAUCAAAUAUUUGAGGGAAAAUUUAUUUUAGUAAUAGUUUAGUGUAGAAUGUAAAGAGAAAAAGAUAUAAAUAAAUGAAAGUACGCUACAACAAUUAUUUAUGCUACAACAAUUAUCAAAUGUGCCACAUGCCAAUUCUCCAUGAGGCCUCCAUGUAGCACCGGAGUUUCCCACUAAUGUGGCUAAAGAUGCUACAAAACUUUAGUUGAAAUAGCUUUUGGGACAACAAGGAAUCCACUAAACUUUCACAAAUUAGUAAUACAUGGCUGUUGCAGUUGGAGAUGCUAAUGUGGCAAGUGUUCAUGAAUGGAGUACGGUGCAAUAAAAUAAAGCAUAUCUGUACAUUUCAACACAGUUGUUGAUUAGAAUUCAAGACUUCGACCAAUUCCAACCCUCUCUCUCUCUCUCUCUCUCUCUCUCUCUCUCUCUCUCACACACACACACACACACACACACACACACAGAAACAUAAUGAAAUGAUUAAGAAAGAGGCGCUUCCUGGGUGCAUUCUCAGCAUGUGUUCUGCUGUCUCUGUGGCAGAGUUCCUCUUGAUUCUUCACCAAAAGCUGUUCAUUCCCAUUUCCAACACCAGGCCUAUGCCUUUGUUUCUUUAGGAAUUAGAUCUCUGCCUUCAGUGAAAGAAAGACUCUUUGCUGGAUUCCUGGAUGCCGACCAGUGCUUCAGAAUCUCAAGAACAGCUUCUCAAUUCUACUUCUUGAUGUGCUUCUUUGCCACUUACAUGCAUCUGAAUCUUCUUUUUCUUUCCUAAUGAGUAUGUUGCCACAUCUCCAUCUUUGCAAUCAUCCAUUUGUAAGAAUCAAAUAAAGACUUGCGCACUGAACAUCCUCAUAUAACUGGAUUACUUUUUAUAGGAUAUUGAUAGCAGCAAUGCCUAGAGAAAGGGAUCCAUUUUGGAAGUAUGUGACUUUCCUGGAUGAAAAUAAUAGCAAGUGGAGGUGUAACUUCUGCAAACAGGAGCAUCGUGGAGGAGUUACAAGACUCAAGGCUCACAUUGCUGGAAUUGCACGCCAUGGUAUUAAAGGAUGUGAGAGCGUCAAUAAUGAUGUAAAAGCAGAAGCCAGGGACGGACUAAUGCCUAAAAAAGUGAUGGACUCGAGUGACCAAUUGGUAUCUGAGGAAAGGGCAGAAGGAAAUGUUAGAGCAGCUCCAACCAGCUCAUCCCAUCCACCAAAUGUGGAGGGAGGAUUUAACUUACAAUUUCCACAAGGUACGCAUUUCCAAAUUACCGCAGAAAAUGGGCAGUUUAGCAAAGUAAAAAUAUUUUAUCAAUCUGAUCUUAAUUACGGAUUCAGGUAUACAUUAGAUUUUUUAAUGUCUAAACAUCCGUCUCACGGCAUGCCAAAGCCACCAGCUUCCCUGCACCCUAAACUUCAAAAUGUUCCUGAAGCCAGCUAUAUGAAUCCGAUCAAUGCUGUUUUGUAUCUCAAUCAAUCACCUGGCGUGCCUUCUUUCCCAUUGGACGGUGUAACCAAUUACUCUAGUGCAUCUCCCCCGCUAAAUUCAUUCUUCCCUUAUUCAUCAAGUGACCGGGUGUUCUUUUAACCAAGUCUCUUUACCUUGAGACAUUAAAUGCACAACAGAAUCCAAGUGCUCCAUUACCAUCACAGAUUUGCCAGCUCCUUGAUAACCUUUUCCAGAUUCCAGAGCACAUAAAAUAGGCCCAUCGCAGAUUCCAGAGCACUUCAGAAAUACACUAGGCCCAUCAACAUCAGGAGGUAUAAAAUUAUCUAUCUAUACUAAAUGGGACUCACUAACAAGCAUCCUAUCGUACUUGUUAAGUAUACUUAAUGAAAGAAAUAUUCUUAUUUUCAAUGCAUUGAUUACACAUAAUAUAAUAGAGACAGUGCAUUGAAAAUAGCAAACUUUCCUCUAUUGGGUGUUUAACAAGUGUCAUGAGGGCACUUACUAACAAAAUCCAUAUUAAAUUUAAUAUUCACUUAGUCUCUUUGUAAACCUCAUGUUGCUUUUGAUCAGAGUCUAAUGCAUGAAGUUGUGACUUAUAAAUUAGGGAUGCCAGAAGGCGCACUGGCAGGGGCAUCAUCAUCCCAGUAUGAUCAAACCACUGCUGUGCAUUCUAAUGAACCACUUCCAAGCUACAAUGAAGAAUGUGGGACUGAAACCAGUUCAUUUCCCCUUCGAGAAUAUCCUCUGACUGCAACUCAAGACAAUUUGCAAGUUCUGGACGGUGGAGCAAAUAUGGCCAGCCCAUCAUCAUCACAAGGUAUUCCUUGAUUUACCUAAAUAGAUACUGUCAUUCCUAAUGAAUCAUAGAUAUUCCCUGAUUAUCUUACUUGAGUGAGCAUCGAUGUUUUCAUUACAGUGAUGGUACUUUUUUAUUAUCAAAUAUCUUUAGGAUAACUCAAUAUCAUCUCGUUCGAUGUUGCAUCGUAUCAAUGCAUAUGCUAUAUGUCCGAUAUCACUAUCAUUCUACUGUACAGGUUCUCUCAAUAAAAUAUUUAAGUUAUGUGCAUGUUGAUUUUCGCUGUAGAUCUUUUGCGUGAUCAAGUUCUGUAUGUUUUUUGACCUGUACCCAUGGCUUGAUUUGAAAGUCCCAUUGCUAAUUGAUCAUACACUUGAAUAUGCAUUGCAACCAGCAUCGGUGCCCCCUCAACAUCAAAGUGUUCAACAUCAAUGCAUUAAUCAUGAGACAAGGAAUGCAGAGCAAAAUCCAACCGUAGUCAAAUGUCAAGCGCUAGUGGACAUGGAUCCAUGUAUUAUGUCAUCAUCACUAGCUCCAAAUAAUUUUUCUCCAACUCAUAUUCCACCUUGUGGAACAGGCCUGAUAGAACCAUUGUCAUUACCAGGUCCAUGUUUAUCUAAAAAAAUUAAUUCUUAUGCAUCACCAUGUUAUAUUAUUAUGGGGCAGCAAGAAUGCUGUCAUGAGACUCUUAACAGACAAAAUUUUUAAAUUGCAGAAUUAGAUAUGAAUGAGGGUGCGCCAAUGAUGAGUCAUCCAAAGCCAAGCAACAACUUUGAAGAGAAUAGAGCUUUGAAAAGAAAACUAGAACUACUAUAUAACGAAGAAGCUAGCAUAAGGGAUGAGUUAGAAUUUGCUGCAUCUCCAUCUCUAAAGAAACUGAGAAUGGAAGUUACAAAUUGGUUGGAGGAUGUGGAGAAGCUUAAAAAUGAUUUCCAUAGUAUUGAAGCAGCAAGUGAGAUUAAUCAAGAGGUGGAUAUAUUGAUGCAAGAAGCAGAAGACCUUAGGAGACGAUGCAAAGGACUAUUUGAGGUGAGAGAGACCAAAGUCUGGAAAUUGUUAGAAGAUAAGAUAGUGGGAGAGGCAUUUUGGAAAAAUGCUGAAAAGGUUCUGGAGAACCUAGUAGGGAAUCAAAUAUCCCGACUAGGCAUUUAUGGAAUGGGUGGUGUUGGUAAAACGGCUCUUAUGGUGCAUGUACAUAAUGAACUCCUCGAAAAAGCAAACUAUGGCGAUGUAUUGUGGAUCACCGUGUCACAAGAUUUCAACCUACAAAGGUUGCAGGAUAGCAUUUGGAAGGAGCUAGGUUUGGGUAUACUACAAGAAACGGAUGUGAGAAAACGAGCAUUAAUGUUGUUCGAUUGUUUAGCCGGAAGAGGGAAGUCUACAAUAAUCCUCGAUGACCUAUGGGAACAUAUUAAUCUUGUAGAGGUGGGAAUCCCUGUUAGAGCAGAUGGAAUUAAGUUGGUCUUAACCACUCGAUCCUAUGAUGUCUGCCGCCGGAUGAAUUGUCAAGAGGUGAUAAAAAUGGAACCUCUAUCUCAUCAAGAAGCCCUGAGUCUAUUUUUGGAGGAGUUUGGAUCCAAAGUGGCUCUUAAUUUGGAAACUGAAGCAGUUGUGAAGUCCAUUGUUAAAGAAUGUGCAGGCUUGCCGCUUGCACUCAUCACGAUGGCAAGAAGCAUGCAAGGAGUGACUGAUGUGUUUGAAUGGAAGGAUUCCUUGGUGAAAUUGAUAGAAUCGGAUAUGGGGCAAAUGGAUAUGGAAAAGAGGGUCUUGAUGAAACUAGCAUUUAGUUACGAUCACCUUGGUAGUUAUGAUUUUCAACAGUGUUUCUUAUCUUGUGCACUUUAUCCAAAAGAUGAAUUGAUUGAUAAGUUCGAGUUGAUAGAAUUUUUUAUUGACCAAGGACUGAUUGGCACAUUGAAUACAAGGGAGAAACAAUAUGAUAGAGGCCUUGUCAUUCUGCAGAAACUGGAAAAUCUUUGCCUAUUGGAAGAUCAUGGGAGGAAGAUCAAGAUGCACAAUUUGAUUAGAGACAUGGCAUUGUACAUCAUGGGGGCAAUUUCCAUUGUAAAAGCAGGAAAGUGGUUGAGGAGUAUUCCGCCUGAGGAAUAUUGGACGGAUGCUUUGGAGAAAGUUUCUCUAAUAAAGAAUGACAUCAGAGAAUUUCCGUUGAACAUGUCACCAAAUUGUCCUAGGCUAUCAACUUUACUAUUGAAUAGAAGUUUGUCGAAGGAUGUGGUCAUUCCUGAUUCUUUCUUCCAACAAUUAAAGGGGCUAAAGGUUCUAAACCUUAGUGGAUGUAAAUUAAGAGAACUUCCAAAUUCCAUCUCAGAGUUGGUAAACUUGAGAGCACUAUUACUUAGAAAGUGCUGGAAAUUGCGCCAUACUCCAAAUUUAGGGAAGCUCAGCUCUCUCAGAAAGUUGGACAUUUGUGGCUGUGAUCGUCUUCAAGCACUCGAGGGCCUAGAAAUGUUGGUGAACUUGAGAUACCUUGACCUGACUAAAACACGUAUAAAGAGGUUAGCCAAAGGAACACUGUGGGGUUUGCUAAAUUUGCAAUAUCUUAAAGUGCAGGCAGCAAAUGUAGAAGACAUUACAAAAUUGUGGGCAUUGGAGGCCCUCGAAUGCUACUUUAAUGAUGUGGAUGAUUUCAACAUGUUUGUGAGGGUUAUAAAGCAGAGAAACUCUCGCUUUUAUGAGCUCAACGUGAAUAAAGAAGAAUCAAUGUUUUAUGUGAAAGUAAGUAGUGAUGCUAGAUUUGGGAAUUGUGGGAGGACGGUUCUCAUUCAUGAGUGGAGUGAUGCUAUUGUGAGCAUGGGAGGGGAAAGCACUGACAUUUGUCUUUUGAUUCCCCAAGAUGUGCAGACAUUGGUAUGGGUGAACUACGAUAGUACAACAAAUUUGUCUGGCAUGGGUCAUUUUGACAACCUUGAGUCUCUAAACAUACAAGUAUGGAAAAACUUACGGGUGCUUUGUGGAGGACACGAUGAAGAAAGAAUCAACUUCCAUGACUCCUCACCCCCAACCCCUACCCCUCUCCUCUUCCAAAGCCUUAGGUUUUUGGAAAUUGCUCAAUGUCCGAAACUGAAGUAUCUCUUUGGGCAUGGGUCUAGAUUCUUCUUUCCGAAUCUACGAGAGAUUAAAUUAUCUGCCUGUGAGGAAAUGGUGGGCAUAAUGGCAGCAGUUAUUACAUCACCACCACCAGGUCUGCCUGCAGCCUUCCCUAUUCUAAAUAAGAUUAAAGUGGUGCGGUGUGGUAAAAUGAAGAGAUUAGUCGAAUCUGAGUGGCUGCCUCACGUCCCAAAUUUGAAAUCUAUUACUGUACGCUGUUGUGAGAACAUGGAGGAGAUAAUCGAAGGUCCUCCAAGCAAACCAGUUAUAGAGAUUUCUCUCAAAUCUCUUAAGGUAUAUCGUUGCAAUAAAAUGAGAAGGCUGUUUUCACAUGAGUGGCUGAUCCAUCUUCGAAAUCUUGAAACUAUCCAUGUCAGUUCCUGCAGAGGAAUGGUGGAAAUGAUAAGUGGAGUAGGACAUGGACAAGAAGGUAUUAUAAUAAGUCCUGUAAACAACAGCCCUUCACCCUUCCAGUCUUCAAAUUCUUUCCCAAAUCUGAAGCUCUUGUGGCUACACGAUCUAGCCCAGCUGAAGAGCAUAUGUGGAGUCUCAAUGUCUCGUGAUUCUGUGAAAGAUAUACAUGUGUACAAAUGCCGAGAACUGAACAGAAUUCCUUUUUGAUUGCAAUUACGUGAUAUUAAGGACCUUCCUUUUAUUAAGGUGGAAGCUAAGGAAAAGUAGAAGAUGCUGAUAUGGGAUCAUCCCUAUGCUCAGGUUAUUCUUCACCCUUAUCUUCAUUUCCAUGGCGGUACCUGUGUUCUACGAUGGGAUAAGUCUCAUUAAUUUGAGUUAUCAAUAUAAUAUAUCCUUCGCGUCUUAAAAGUUGUUACAGAGAUGUAGCAUUUCUUUUGUGUUCAUGCAGCUGUAACAGUGGCUUUUGCAGAUUUAUCCGCCUGGGAAAAGGAUUUCCUCCUAUGCUGCUUUCAAAGAAUUAUGGUGGAAGGCCUUCAGCUGCUAUUUUAAUUGCUCGAGCUUGCUUCUUUCCUGCAAACUGAAUUUUUCCAUAGGUAGAACUUUCUGCAUGUGGCAACCUUUGUUGGCAGAAGGGAACGUUAUAUUGGUUAUUUUGAAUGCUGUGGCAUUUUUUAAAAAUAUCUUUUGGUAAUGGAAAUGAGUUAUCUUCAAAGACUAAUUAAGGAAUGUUGGCCGAACCAAAGAUGACGCUAUGUGCAACCCUUCUCAUUUCAUUUACCUUGUCAAAUUAGAUGUAGUUUGUCUUCGUUUUUGCAUAUUUCAUGUGCAAUUAUGCUCAAUUGCGUCGGGGUACAAGAUGGAAGUUCGAGGUAUUAUGCAAAAGAAAAUCACAAAGCAAGUGGUCUGCAUCGACUAUUAAACAUUGAAGCAUUAUGAAUUUUUUAUUUUUAAUAAAACGUGUUCCGUAUAUGAGCUGAAAAAUGGCAUUGGCCAUGAGUGUCUUAACAAAGGUGCAUCUAGUGCAUUUGGAGACGCAUAAAAAUAAAAAUGAAUGUCAAAGACUCAAUUUCAUUUGGGAGGUAUAAAAAGGAAAAUGGGACUUUUUUGUUUGUCAACUAAAUGUCAUUGAUGUCAAGGAGUCGAUGUUAUUCUUCGGUCCAUCUGAACGGUUCAGCAGCUAGGUCGGGCACCGAAGGAGAAGGACGACAAGAAAGAUGAAAGAAAAGAACGAAGAGAUAAGGUAAUAAAAAAAAACUUAUGUAUUUUUAAGUCGGGAAAAAGAAUAUCCGGGCUUUCCACGUCCUUACUUUCUUCUAGCGCAUCAGCAAAAAUUAGGUGACCCGCCCCAGAAUUGGGCUUUCCAAAAUGUGGAGGCAUUUACGGUAAAAUAGAAAAAAUUCAGAGUACUCUAUUUAGUAGAAGUUUGAAACCUUGUGGUGGCAACAUCCACUGAAAAGGGAAGGAAAAAAAAAAAAUUGCCGUUGCCUUUAUUUUCUUAAAUUUUGCAUCAACUCGGUGUCUGGAAUUCUUUAAGCACUAGCUUCUCUUCAUUGGGCGGUGGCAAUCCUUUUAUUAUUUAAGCGAAACCUUCCCGUUUAACUCCAUUUUGUUUAAAGGGGUUCUAAAGAGUUCUUUACCUUUGUAUAAGCAACACCUUUUUGCACCCAAGCCAUUGGACCUGGUGAGAGAUUUGACCAUAAGUUGACAUGUGGCACUUUGUAAGGACGUGUCUCUCUUUCAACUUUCCAGUUUUGUUCUUCGUGUUCCAACUUUACCCUUCAUUUCUUAUUUCCUCUUAUUCAUUCUUAUUUGAUUACAUGUAGUAAUAUAGUUUGUUACACGUGUAAAUAGCCACACCUCCAAGUCAUAAUGCGUCAUGCGGACGAUUACGCAAAUUCGAUUUAUUACUUUUGUUAUUAUUCUUGUUGUGCAUACAAAUAUUAUUUAGAUAUAUAAAUGAAAAGACGACAUUAUCGAAUGUUAACGUAUAUAGAAAUAAUUUUGGACGUGACUUUCAUGAGUCAUAAUUAGUGAUUCCAUCUUCACUUGGUGGCUUUUCAUAUAUUUAGUUUAUUUGCGUAUAAUUUGUGAUAAAAUCUCUUUAAAAAAUUACUACUUCACUAAUACUUAUAAACAUGACUCUCCACUUAUUGAUAUGAUGACUUAAAUUUGACUAAAUAAUUUGAUGCAGGGUUGGCACUUGAUCCAUUGUAUAAAUACCAGCUAAUAUAGCUUUGAAUUUUUCUCUCUUAUUUAUUUUUAGAUUUCUGAAAAAUAAUUUAUUCUUAUUAAAAUAGAAUUAACUGAUGAAUACCAUCAAAGUCUUGAGCGUUGUUGCAAUAGGUACAAUGCUUCUGACAAAUGCUUUAAUGUCAGAUAUAUAAUCUUUAUUCUCAUUCUGUAUUACAUUGAAAUAUAGAGAUCCUAACUCAUAAUUAAAAAAAACUUCAUUCUAUAAAAUAAUUUAAUUGUUUAAUCGCACCUGAUUUUAUAAAGUCUAAUCUAAUUAUCUAAUGACAUAUAGCAUUAUGUUCAUGUUAUAUGCACAAACUAUAGAAUAUUAUAUACCCAUACGAAUAAAAACAUGCAUUUAAAUGCAUAUAGAUAGGUGUAUUCCUAUAUGGUUAAGUAAAAUGAUCGUGAACCUGGGCUCUUCGUUUCUUUCCAGUUCUAUGGGCCGACAUUGUGAUUCUGACCAUGAGUUGUGAGCAACGACUUGGACUGAGAGCGAAUUGGACUAGGCUCUUGUUGUGGACUUUGCAAUUUGGACAGGCACGGAAUUAGCCCCUUUUUUUGUUACUUAUUUUUUUUAUUUUUCAUUUGGUUAUGAAAGUCUUAUGUACUUUUUUGCCGGCUAAAUAUUCAUCGGCGGACCUUUUUCUGGCUACCAAAAUGGGGGUAAUUUAAUUCGAAAUUCCAAGAUCAAGUUCUCCUUUUGAUUUUUUAUGUUUUCUUCUUCCUCUAUCGCUGCUCCUCAAGCAAAUUAUUCUCGCCCAAUCCCUAGCCAUGGGGUAAGUUCACUAAAAAUACCAAAAGUUGUGUAUGACGCUCACUUUAGUGCUAAAAGUUUAUUUUGGAUCACUUAAGUGCCAACAAAUUUGAAAAAUGAUCAUUUCAGUGCCAACGUCGAUUUAAUUAACUGAAAAAUUGAUAUGGCACUUUUUUUUUAAUUAAUUUUUGAAGCUGACGUGGCUCGUUAGAGAGUAUAGUUAGCAUCCAAAUAAUAAAACGACGCCGUUUGGUGUCUUUCCCCCAAGUAAGAAUCCUAAAUCCCCAAAUUGAGAGAGAGAGAGAGAGAGAGAGAGAGAAGGCAUGGGAUUUCUCCUCGUCUUCUUACCUGAAAAACAACACUAGCAGCGGCACUUUUGACCCCCCUUCUUCUUCUUCCUCCUCAACCCUCGCCUUCUAUUCUUCCUGCCACUUCUUGCUUGAGCAACAACCUCAGCCUCUUCUCGCUCACCUGGUUGGGCAACUACAACGGUGGCUGAGCAACGGUGGGCGAAAGACGGUGGCCGAGCGACAGUGGGCGAACGAUAAAGAAACCCUAAUUUCAGUCCCCAUAUAAGCUAUACGGUGUUGUUUUUGUGAGGCUGUCCACGUAUGACGGCAAGACGACGUCGUUUCUUAAGGAGGAUGGAAAAUGAUGUCGUUUAAAAGCCAUUGCAACUUUUUUUUUAAAUAUAAAAGCCACAUAAUUAAUUUAGCCGGAAUCUCUUGCCUGUGGCAUCAAAGUUGUCAUGCCCUGAACCUCGAGCGCAUGUACAUCCCUCUGCGGUCAAUACAAAUGCGACGUUCCUAGGACGCUUCACCGGCCCAUUCAUUUUUAAUGCACAUGCGGAAGUGUAUAAAUAACCCCUAACAACAAAUAGCAUGUGAUAGGAAAGCAUGGCACAUUUCACAAAAGCCAAAUUUUAUAACCAAUGGGUUUAGAUACCAAAAUGAGUUUGGUUAAAAGUCUUUGGCUCUCAAAAGGGAAUUUUCCUACGAUCUACUAGUCGGACACAAACACUAAUCCUUCAGACUCCACCUCCAAGACUCCUAGGCCUUGGUCCUACACAACCAUCUUCUAAGAACCUAAAAUUAGUUAUACAAUAACCAGUGAGACAAUAUCUCAGCAAGUUCAUCCCCUAAACCUUUAUUAGGAAGGAAAUAUGCCUCAAGGUGCUUUAGCCACACAACCACACAAUAAGAAUAGAGGACUUACCUCGCCUCAGUUCCUUUCUGCACGUCAGCACAAUUCAUAUUACAAAUGUAUAUAAUUAAUGCAUAUAACAAUUGAAACGCCUCAACAACUCAAUAAAUCACAAGUGUCCCGAUUAUAAGGCCAAACCGUUAUGACACGUCCCAUACUAUGUCACACAGUUUUGUCUCAUAAUUAGGUGCAUUGAACUUAAACAAUCAUGCGUUCUAAUUGUUAAUUAAGCCACUCAAGGCACAAUUGACUCCCAUGUUCGAUUGUCUACUGGUGUAGCCAGGCAUCAUCUCUUUUCCAUUAAGCACAGCUAUGUCACAAAGACGGCUAUCUCGAAAGAGCAUAAGUCUAGAAUCUAUUGCGACUCGAUACCUUAAUGCAUGGGUAACCCGAAAAGGGAUUUAGUAACGUUCGACGUAAACGCUCGAAACGGUUUCUCUUUAACCAACACACGACCAAUCAAUCUCAGCCCAGGACACUGUGCAUUGUGCACAAAUGUCUCAAUUAAAAUAGUGAUCAUGACUUAUUUUCUUCGUAUUAAAAACAUUAAGAAAAAUAGUCGUGUGUUGGUAUACAGUCAAUUCGGACCAGAAAAAUUGAUACAUUUUAUUUUCAAACCCCAUUAUUUGGUAUAAUACUUAAAGUCCUUUUUCGGUGUCAAAACCUGACACCCGGGAUUUUUUGAAUAAAUUCCAAAAUUUUCACAAUCAUCACUCAAUUUGCACAAUCCAUCAAUCAAUUGCAUAAUCUGAAAGCACCACAUUAAUUAGCACGAAAUUACAAUUAUUGACUAUCCCAAUAUAAUUUCUGGAAAAUAAUAAAUAAUUAAAUAUAUUCCGAAAAUAAAUAAAUAAAUAAUAUAUUAUUUAAUUUAAUAAAAUAAUAUUUAUAAAUUUGAAAUAAUUAAAUAAUUUAAAAUAAUUAAUUAAGGGCUUAAUCAAGGUUACACUAAUCUAAUCACCUAAUUAGCCAUAAUUAAUUAUCUACUAAACUAAUCCAAUCUCAUAAUCUAAUUAACAUCUAAUUAGACUAAUCUAAUCACCUAAACAUGCUUAGCCUAAUCUAAAAAACCAUUAAGCAUAAUUAACCUCAUAAAAAAGGUUUAGUGGGUAGACUUACCAGUUUAGCGUUCCGGUGAGUCCAUGGCGACAACAACGGCGACGGCAAUGGUGGGCGACAAACCUCCAAGCAGUGACACCAACCAAGGCCGGGAAGGGCUUGAAAACGGGUCACAAAGGGUGCGUUUGGUAACGUUUCUGUUCACAAAUUAUUCUAGGGAACAAAAAUAGAAAAACUAUUUCUAUUCCGAGAAACAAUUUUUGAACAGAAGAACAAGUUUGGUAAAUUUGUUUCUAGAAUAGAAAAAGAACAGAAAAAUGUUUGGUAAACUUAUAUAAUUUUUUUAAAAUAUUUUUCCUUUUUUAAUUUUUAUUUUUCUUAUUUUAUUUUUUAUUUUUUCUUCCUUUUGGCCAGUCAUCGGCUUUGACCAGCCGACGAGGGCUGGCGGCCUUGACUAGUCGGCGAGGGCCGACGGCCUCGCCUAGCCACAGCAAGGUUCGCUGGCCCCCGGCGAGGCUCGACCUGGCCUUGGUUGGGCGAGCUUGUGCUCGUUGAGCCACCUCUAGGUGACGUCGACCUGGCGGUGGCCCGAUGACACUGAGCCUUGUCGGUGGUUGGGUGAGCUCGGCCUCGCCGAGGGCCGGCGAUGCUCUGGUAAGGUCACCGGCCCUCGACAGCUGGUCGUUAGCCAUGGCCUUGGUAGGCGACCAGCCAAAGGAAAAAGAAGAUGAAAAGAAAGAAAAGAAAAAAAUAGGAGAGAGAAAAAUUGUUUCUCGGAAGUGUUCCAGGAACAAGAAACAAGUUUUUCUUGUUUCUUAUUUCUGUUCCAAAUUUGUCCUCGAGAACAAAGAAAUAGAUUUGGAAUAAAAAUGCAAACAAACUCAUUUCUGUUCUUUUUUGUUCUCCCAAACAAAAACAAAAAAAAGAAAUUGUUUUCAUGAGCAGAAAAAAAAGAACACAAACAAAUAGGGCCAAAGUCUCAAAACCCUUGCUGGCUUCUGCUUCUGUUCUUGGCUGAAUUGCAGAUAAGAAACCAACAGCUGCAAUGGCAAAAACGGGUUGAUUGAAGCUCCGGCGAGUGGGUAGUCAGCAACCAGUGGCUCUCGGGGGUCAAGGGAAACUUGAUGGUGGUUGGGAUGGGCCAAUGAAAGGUUAGAAUGGGAGAAAAAUGAAGAAAAAUGCGAAACAGUGCAGGCGGGUAGCAGACCGGCGGAUCGGCGAUCAGUUCCUUCUCGUUGGCGUACUGGUCGACCGACGACUCUGUUCGGCGUGAGGUCGGGCUCAUCUGAAUUUGGAUGUGCUGAAGACAACGGUGGAUGGCAUGAAGGUUAAUUUGUCUGGGAAGACCACUUUUAACUCGAGUUUUUGACAAAAGGUCAGUUGGAGCAGAAAUUGGAACAAGGAGAAAACAGAGGAGGAAAGAGGUUUGGUGGCUUGGGCGGGUGUGCGACUGGCAAGAGGGCUGCUACUUUGUGUUCUCUGGUUUCUCUCUAGCUCUCUCAAAGCCUCUACAAUGGAGAAAGCGAGGUUGAAGAGGAAGAAGAAGGAGGGUGCUGAAGAGGGCCCACCAAAUGGCCUCCAAAGUCUUCAACCUUAGCCUCAUUCACUCAAUGCUUGCCCCCACCAUGUCGGCCCUAUCCUCAGCCUCUUUUCCCUCACAAAACUUCCUCAACAAGCCUUAUUUGAGUCCCCAAAUGUUGCACCCCACCCUUGGCUACGAAUUUGUACACAUUCCCCUCCAAUUCCAUCAAUUCUCCUCAAUCUCACUCAAUUUCUCAUCCGAUCAAUCCCAAUUGAAGCCCAUAAUUUUAUCCAAUGUGUCCACACUUAAAUCCACAUUUUUCCUUACCCAUAGAUCCAACUUAACGACCAAAGAUGCGACCAAAAACGGUCCCUCAAAGUUCCCAGUCUAAAACAGCCUAACUUUGAUUUUUUGCCGAAAAUCUUGAUUUGCAGAAAAUUUUUUCGAAGGAUGAGUUGAUAUUCCUAAAAUGAUUUGUGACAUGACAGAACUUUCAAUUUCUAAAUCCGGGUUCAAUUUUGCGAUUAAUUUCAAUCUGAUGUGAUUUUAGCGCGUCCUAAUUUACCAGGUAGCUUUUAGGAAUUUUUAAAGCAAUUGACUUGUGGUCGAUUAUUUUCGAACCACAAUGUACAUCUUCAACUCAUUGGUGACUUUCAGUUGUUAUGAAAAUCUCGAGAUUUUAAAUAUGGACACAGGGUACGAAAAUGACAUAAAAAUUGGUCUAGUGUCGUUCAACAGAAAUUUUGCAAUUAUGUGGAAUGACCAAUGCACUAAUGAAAUAUCUCGAUCUAAUCGACCUAUCUUCGGUCUUUGAUGCAUUUUGGCGGUGCCAUAAUGAUCAUUGUAGAUUAGCACGGUCGAGAAGUCGAUUUCGAGUUGAAUUCUCAAGGUUAUUGCAUUUAGAUUCCUUAACGGCUUUACCUGAUAAGCUAGUUAACUCGUGAGUGGCCAACUCAGAGAAAAAUGCUAUAGGCACGUCGAUGAAAAACCUAUUUCAUCUCAUCGAAAUUAGACUCAAAAAUUAGGAUGUCACAAUUAUUCCCUUUUUAUAAAAAUUUCGUCCUCAAAAUUUAAACCAUGCAAAUCUUUAAACAAAAAGGUUGGGGUACAGUCGUCUCAUCGAAUUUUCAGUUUCCCAGGUUGCUCAUUUAGUGCCGUGGUGUUGCUAGAACACUUUGUCCAAAGGGAUAGUCUUGGUGCAUAGGACUUGCUCUUUGCGAUCCAUAAUUUGAACUAGGUUUUCAACGUACGACACUAUCAUCCACAUCCAAUUUCUCAAAAUUUAGCAUGUGGGUCGGGUCAGGCUCAUACUUCCUCAAUAUCGAGACAUGAAAGACAUCAUGCACUUGCACCAACCUCGGCGAUAAUGCAAGACGAUACGCUAGGAUCCCGAUUCUUUCAAGAAUCUCAAAUGGACCUAUGUACCUCGAACUCAGCUUCCCUUUCUUGCCAAAUUGUGAAGCACCCCUCAUUGGUGACACAUUCAAAAAGAUGUGAUUACCAACUUGGAAUUCCAAUGACCUUCGACGCUUAUCGGCGUAACUUUUCUGGCGGCUCUGAGUGGUCUUCAAUCUGUGUCUAAUGAUGGCAACUGCAUCCAUUGACUGCUAGACUAACUUUAGGCCGGUGAUCUUUUUUUCUCCGAUUUCAUCCCAACAAACUGGUGUUCUACACGCUCUGCUAUACAACAUUUCAAAAGGAGCCUUAUGAAUGCUUUGCUGGUAGCUAUUGUUGUAGGCGAACUAGACAAGGUGAAGCUGUUCCUCUUAGCUUCCCUUAAAGUCUAACAUGCAAGCUCACAGCUUGUCUUCGAGGGUUUGAAUCGUCCUCUCCGACUGGCUAUCCGUUUGGGGAUGAUAGGCCAUACUAUACUGCAACUUCGUUUCCAAAGCACUUUGCAAACUUUUCUAGAAGGCAAUUGUAAACCUCGGGUCUCGGUCUGAUGUAAUCGUCACCGGCACUCCAUGCAGACAAACUAUCUGUCGCACGUAUAGCUCUGUGUGCCUAUCCAAAUCGAGGUCCUUUUGUACUGCAAUGAAGUGUGCCGACUUUGUCAAUCUGUCGACCAUUACCCAAAUAGAAUCAUUUCCUCUCUGACUCCUCGGUAAGCCUGUCACAAAAUCUAUUGUGAUAUGUUCCCAUUUCCACUUGGGAAUCUCGAUAGGUUGCCAAAAUCUUCUCGGCUUACAAUGUUGUGCCUUCACUUGCUGUCACGUUAGGCACUUAGCGACAUGCUUGGCGAUGUCCGCCUUCAUACCUGACCAUCAAUAGUGUUGAUGCAUAUUUUGAUACAUUUUUAUACAGCUAGGAUGAAUGCUGUAACUGCUACAAUGAGCUUCUGAUAAGAUCUCCUCCUUAAGCUCCGCAUCAUUAGGUACACACAAUCGUCAUCAGAAUCUCAAUAUUCCAUCAUCAGAAAUCUGAAAGUCAGUCUUCCUCUUCUCAGUAUCCUCUUGCAAUAUCUUCUAAAUAUAUGGAUUUGUCAGCUGAAGCAUUUUGAUUCUGACUUGCACUUCCGGUUCAAUUAUGAGAGUGGUCAUAAGAUUUGAGAGGUGGCUUACCUCAAAUUUGAAAACCGAAUCUUGAGCCUUCUCGAUUAAAGUCCAUUCCUUGAGCACCAUCUAUGCAACUGAAGAUUUCUGACUUAGCGCAUCCGCGACUUUGUUUGCCUUUCUUGGGUGAUAUAAAAUAUCACAAUCACAAUCCUUCAGGAGUUCCAUCCAGCGUUGUUGUCUCAUAUUCAAUUCUUUCUAAUAGAAUAAAUACUUAAAACUUUGAUGGUCAGUGAAGAUUUAGAACCUUUCUCCACACAAAUAAUGUCUCCAAAUCUUCAAAGUGAAAAUGAUUGUUACGAGUUCCAAGUCAUGCGUUGGGUAAUUCAACUCAUGAGGUCUCAAUUGACGAGACGCGUAUGUAACAACCCUAUCAUGUUGCAUUAGCACGCAACCUAGUCCUCUGAACAAUGCAUUGAAAGGGCUAGUACGAACACCAAGAGGAUGGUGAAUAGGUGUGAAUAAAAAUUUUCGCAAAGUUUGAUAGAGGUAUUUUGCCUUUAGAAGAUAACAGACUAUAAACGUAUUAGAUAAAGUUACGAAUUAAAAUAAGGAGUUCAAGGAAGAGAAUAUGAACACAAGGUUUAUAGUAGUUCGGCUUAGACCAAGCCUACGUCCACUCUCCCACGUUGACAGCCCACUGGCUGGAUUCCACUAUGAAUCAAAAAAAAUUUAGAUUUUGUGAUCUUCGACUUUCUCAAUGAAGAGUUUCUACUGGUCUCUCAUAAAGUCUCACUAAGAGUAUCUCUCUUUUGUAUACAACUUUGAACUCGAUGAAAUAACAAAGAACUAAGAAGCUUCAAACUUUAAAAUUUUUCUUUUACGCACACUGUCAAACAACUAGAGAGUCCGCCUUAAAUACUCCUUCAUGCCUUUACGACUGUUGGUACUUUCCAAAGGAAUUCUUCCAAUCUACCCAUUGGACAUAAUCAAUCAAGGUGAUCUUGAUUCGUUAGAUGAUUGUGAUGAAAGCUCGUCAAUCAUGUUCACCCAUACAAUCAGGAUCUUAGUUUCCAUAAGUAGAACCUUCCAAGUUUACUUCGCCUUUCAACAAGAUUUGAAUAUCGUAAUUAAUUCCAAAAUAGGUAAUCAAUCAUGUAGGUGCUAUAUCUAGCCAUAAGAUUAUAUGUAAACCAUACGAAUCGAUUUCUUGAAGAAAUAAAGAUAAUCUCGCAUUUGGAUAAGUCUUCAUUCUUUAGUCUGGAAACUGUCAGUGAGGGUAGAAUUUAAAUCUAAAGUUUGACGGUCUUCAGACUUUGGUGUUAGAGUAUGGAGUUUUUCAGACUAGACUUUUAUAAAGGUUUUGUCAACUUCAAAAUAGUAAAUGAGUUUUUUCCAACAAUCUCCCCUUUUUUUAUGGUAACAAAACUUUCCUGUAGAUUUGAGAAUUUUGACCUGCAAACAACACUUAAGCAAUACAUGAUAUCUUAUUUAGGAUAUGGAUAGCAUCGAUUCUGCAACCAUAAAAAACAUGUUAAUCCUGAACAAAUAACCAUCUAGCCAUAAUCAAUAUCACAAGCUAAGUUGCUGCAAUCAACAUAAGUCAAAUAGCAACAAGGUCAGUCAGUCCAAGGUCCAAACAAAAAGUACCAAGUUUAAAGCACCAAUCAUAAAAAAGAUAAUGACAAAUCUGCACAUAUUCUCCCCCUUUUUGUCAACAACAAAAAGCGGAGAAGGAUUUGUAAAAGAAGUUUGAUAAAAUCAGGGUUGUUUUGGGAUGCGAACAAGUUGGAAAUCCUCCAUUGACUUGACAGUCUCGUUGAGCUUUCUCAAAGUCUCCUUUAGCUGCUCAAGAUUUGCACCAUUUGCUAUCUCUUGCACUUGAAGUUUGAGGGCUGGUAGCUAUUGAUGUAGAGAGUUCAAGGUAGACUGGAGAGUUGUCUUGAGGUUCUUCAUCUCAAAAUCUAAACCAUAUUGCUGAGCCUUCAAAUCCAACAUAAUUUCUAGCAGUCUGUGAAAGUCUGUAGUUGGUUCUGAUGGUGCACUAGGUCCAGCCAAAUCAAUUCUGGGAGUAUUGAGAUGUAAGGGAAUAUCAGUAGUUCAAUCACCAAGACUUGAAGAAGAUGUCUCAACAUUAGCUUCUGGAAAUUGAGAGGCAUAGACAUCCUCUGGAUCUGCUAGAGAUCUGCAAACAUCAUCACUCGUAAAAACAGGUGAAGAAAACAUACCUAUGUUUUCAACAGCUCCCCCUGUCUUUGUGGCUACAGGUGGAGAAGAAAAUUGUUCUUCUUGGUCUUUCUUAGCUCUAGAGUGAUGGUCUUUCUCGCGUGCAUCUCCUGCAGUUCUGCUUCGAGUCUUUUUCGAGUCCUCUAACAAUGAUAUUGUAAAAGUUGGUUCAAAAGAGUCAUCUUGACCCUUUUCUUCUUCUUCUUCUUCUUCUUCUUCUUCUUCUUCUUCUUCUUCUUUUCUUCCUUCACUUGCUUCUCCUCUCUCUUCUCUUCCUGCACUUCUUUGCUCUAUCUCUUCUCUUUCUUUGUUCUCUUUCCUCUGGCCGAUCAAAACUGAAAAAACUCCGUAGAUUUCUUAAGGUAAAAGCGGAGAUUGUGAGAUCAUCCUCAUCUUCUUCUUCAUCUUGCAAGAUAAGGGUAUUUCUCUUUUUGACCGGUGCGCUCAUUGGCUCCUUGCCUUUCCUCUUCUUCGUUGCAUAGUAUUGUUUAGUUUCGGCAGGGGAUUUCUCCUUCAGGUGCUCCAAGGCUAUAUUCAGCUCUUUCACUCUCGUCUUUGAAACCAUUUUCAAUCCAAUUACAAUUGGAGCAAUGAUUCGAACACAAAGAGUUGCUAGAAUAGCAACAUGGAAAUGUGUGAACAGACGAGUGAUAAGUGAGAAUAAUGGAGUUGUCCUUUGUCCUUCACUACCAUUUUAUACAUGUGCAUUAGGAUAGUGUGAGGUAGAGAAAACUUCGUUCCAUUAUUGAUGUUGAACAUCAACUUUGCUUCCGAGCGAGAAACAUCAGUCUUGAAGGUUGAUUUGGGUCUGAUGCAGUUGAUCACAACCUUGUGUAGCAAGAUAUUGGAGGCAGUCAUUAUGGUGUAAGAAAUUCCACCUUCAUCAAUUCUAUCCUGAACAAGAAACAUAGUUGCGUGAUCAACAGACACAUUUAUUGGUUGGAAACUCCUUCUUUCCACACCAAUAACAUCCGCCAAUGUGUCUACAUUUACCACAAAAUCUUUCUCCCUUACCGUAAAACAGAAGGUAUUCGCAUCUAGAAAAGAUAGAUUUGAAUAGAAGUAAGCAGUCAAUUCAGGGUAAGCGACUGUAGUCUCUGAGCAAAAUCUUUUGAGUUGAAGGAGAGCAAACUUCUCUCUCAGAUUCACUUUCAAAGAAUCAAGGAAAUCAAAAUCCACAGUUCGAGGGUUCAUCACACCUCUCUUAAGCAAUUUUGAGUAAGAUUUUUUGUGGUCCUUAAAACGAAAUAGACUCGUUCCUUCACCACGCAUAGUAGCAGCAGCGCCCAUCCUCGGCUGGAAAUUCGCAUACAUCUUCUCAUCAUCAUUCUUCACUUUUGACUGAUUAAAACUACUAAACUGCGGAUCACUUGGAAAGUUUGCAAAUGUCCUAUCUGCUAAACCUUCAGAUGCAAUGCCCAUCCUUUCCUUCGAUCUUAAGAACAUAGUCUCAUUCUUGUAUCCACGUUCUUGUAAGAACUCAUCAAUAAAUGUCAUUGCAGUACCACCCUGUUUCAAUUGAUUGUAAAGCUUAAAGAGAAAUUUGGGUUUUAAUGUUCUUAUGGUUUCAACUUCUUCCAAAAUCUCUUCUUCCUCUUGUGGAUGAGGAGGAACUUGAGAUGUAUGUUGUGAAGAUUGACGCUAUUGAAAAUGUUGUUGUUGCUGAGGUUGAGGAGUAUCUUCUUCCUCAGUUAGGUCAAAGUGCGUAGGCCCCUCUUGCAUGUGUUGUGGUCCCCUGUUCGCUAUCCGAGAAAACUUCCUCUAGAAAGACAUUGUCACUAUUGAGGAGGAUUUCUUCAACUCGUUUAGUGAAAAAGGUGAGAUCUUUGUAGAACAAACUUGAAAAUAAAAGUGAGAAAGUAGGAUUUUAGAAUUCUAGGGUUUGUGAAAGCGUAAACUAAGAAGGACUUCACGGUAUUUAAAGCAAGUGAAAUGGGGUAUAUGAACUGUCAUAAAGGAAAAAGUAAAAUUGUUUUUUUCGAAAAGAAAAACUGCCAAAAAUUCAAGAAUUCGAAAAAGAUAAUUUCUAAAAAUAAAAUAGGCAAGUAGCGAUUAAAAAAAUCAAUGUAUCUAUUCAAGAUAUUCAUCUAAAAACAAAUUACUUGUAUUGAGAAAAUAUUAACUUACGAACAUAACUUCUGGACAUUUUGAGUUUGAACUCCUUCGGGCUUUAAUUGGUAGAAGAUAUGAUAUUCAGUCUGGUGCGAAUAGACUCAAAUAAGCUUUUUUCCAGUGGCUUUGUAAAUAUGUCGCCAGCUGAUUCUUCGAGUCAAUGAACUGAGUCAUAACUUCUCCAUUCUGAACAUGAUCUCUUAUGAAAUGGUGUCGAAUCUCUAUAUGUUUUGCACUUGAAUGAAGAAUUGGAUCUUCGUGAGAUUGAUGGAACUGGUGUUGUUGCAUUUGAUCUCGGUGCACGGUUCUUCAAUUACAAAGUCUCUUAGCUGUUGCCUUAUCCACAUAAUUAAAGAACAACGUCUCCCAAGAGCCACGUACUCUGCUUCAACUAUUGAAAGAGCUAUGGUACUCUGCUUCCUUGAGAACCAAGAUACCAGCUUGUUGCCUAGGAGUUGACAAGUACCAGAAGUACUUUUUUCUAUUAACUUUACAAUCUGCUAAAUUUGCGUUUGAAUAUCCAAGAAGAGUAAAGUCUCAUUCUUUAGGAUACCACAGACCUAGCUUUAGAGUAGUUGUAACGUAUUUGAUGAUGCAUUUUGCAGCAUUUAAGUGUGAUUCUUUGGGAGUUGAUUGGAAUCUAGCAUAGAUAUAAACACUAAAUAAAAUUUCAAGUCUAGAUGUUGUAAGAUAAAGAAGUGAACCAAUAAUGCUCCUGUAAAGCUUCCGGUCUACACUCUUUCCUCCUUCAUCUUUGUCCAGCUUCAAAAAACUUGACAUUGGUGUCUCUGUUUUUUUGCAGUUCUCCAAUCCAAAUUUCUUGAUGAGAUCGUUUGCAUAUUUCUCUUGGUGAAUAAAAAUAGAUUUCUUUGAUUGUUUAAUUUGCAAUCCCAGAAAGAAAGUUAACUCACCCAUCAUACUCAUCUCGAAUUCAUCCUACAUACAUAUAAAGAAUUUCUUGCAUAGAUUUUCAUUAGGUGAUCCAAAAAUAAUAUCAUGAACAUAAAUUUGAACCAAUAAGAAAUCUUUACCCUCUCUUUUUAUGAAUAAAGUAGUGUCUACUUUACCUUUAACAAAACCAUUUUGGGUUAGGAACUUACUUAACCUUUCAUACCGGGCUUGAGGUGCUUGCUUCAAUCCACAUAGGGUCUUUUUCAGUUUGUAGACUGAGCCUGGUUUUCUUGGAUCUUCAAAUCCAAGUGGUUGUUCCACAUAAAACUUCUUAUUGGAUAAAUUCAUUUAAGAAUACACUUUUUACAUCUAUAUGAAAUAACCUGAAAUUUUUAUAGCAAGCAAAAGCAAUGAAUAAUUUAAUUGCUUCUAACCUCUUUACUGGUGCAUAAAUCUCAUCAUAGUAAAUCCCUUCUUGCUGCAUGUAUCCUUUGGCCACAAGUUUUGCUGUGUUCCUAACCACUUUUCCUUUCUCGUCCACCUUGUUCCUAAAAACUCAUUUAGUUCCAAUAAUAAACUUACCUUUAGGUUUGGGAAUGAAUUCCCAAACAUCAUUGAUGCCGAACUAUUUGAAUUCUUCUUGCAUAGCUUCGAUCCAGCUUUCAUCAAACAUGGCUUCUUCUACACUUUUUGGUUUUAUGUUGGAAACAAGUGCUAAAGCAUUAGAUUCUUCUCGCCUUUUGGAUAUGGUAUGAACACCUUCAUCAAUGUUGCCAAUGAUGAGUUCUUUGAGAUGACUUGACUUAUGCUUCCAGUUGUUGGUUGGUUUAAUAGGCCGCUGAUCCUCUGCUUCAGUUGAACUUCUGGUUCUGCUUCUUGUUGAUCUUCAGAAGUCUGAAUUACUUCGGGGGAAGUAGACUUUAUAAAGUCUUGAGCAAGUUCUGAUUCUUUAAGUUGAGUCUGGUCCAGUUGAUUUUGCAUAGAGUCUUGAAACUUCACGUUCAUAAAUUAUUCCACAGACUGAGUCUUAUUGUUGAAUACUCUGUAUGCUUUCCUUGAGAUUAAGUAGCAAAGGAAAAUUCCCUCGUCUGAUUUUUCUUCAAUCUUCCCAGUUCGAUCAUUUGCAUUUUACAAAAUAAAACACUUACAACAAAACACAUGAAAGUAAAAAACAUUUGGCUUCUUCCCUUUAUACACUUCAUAAGGAGUUUUCUCUAGAAUAUGUUUGAAGAACACUCUAUUGAUGAUGUAGCAAGCUGUAGAAAUUGCUUCAGCCCAAAAUCGAGAGGUAAUUUUACUCUCAAUUAAGAGGGUUCUGGCCAUCUCUUGUGAAAAUCUAUUCUUCCUUUUCACAACCCCAUUUUAUUCUGGAGUAUAUGGAGAAGAGAAUACAUGCUGAAAACCAGAUUCAUCACAGAACUUCGCAAAGUCUUGAUUUUCAAACUUACCUCCAUGGUCUGUUUGUAUGCUCAAAAUAGCAUCACCUUUUUCAUUCUGAACCUUCUUGGCAAGCUUUGAAAAGUAAGAGAAGGCUUUAGAUUUACUUGUUAGAAAGUAAACCCUAGUAAAGUGAGAGUAAUCAUCCACGAUUACUAAGCAGUAUCUCUUUCCACCAAUGCUUUGAAUUCUAGUUGGUCCAAAGAGGUCCAUAUACAGAAGCUGUAAAACUUGAUUAGUAGAAACUUGAUUUAUAGGUUUAAAAGAACUUUUAACUUGUUUUCCCAAAACACAUGGUAUGCAUAAUUCAAACUUUUGAUAAGCCAAGUUGGAGGAAAUUUUGGCAAUCUGCUUUAUGUUAACAUGGCCAAUGUUUCGAUGCCAAAGAUUUGCUUCAUCUUGAAUGGAUAUUAGAUACUAAGAACUUUUUGAUUUUAUAUCCAGAAGGUAAAUAUUCCCAUGUCUUCAUCUAGUGAAAGAUUGAGAGAAAUCUUUACUUGUUCCCGAAAAAAUGCCUUAUUGGAAAUUAAUUUUGAAUCCUGUAUCGCAUAGUUGACUUAUGCUGAGUAGAUUGUAAUUCAAACUUUCCACCAAGAAGACAUUGUUGAUUGUGAGACUUCCAAUUUUCACAGUUCCACAUUCAACAAUUCUUUCUUUGUUGUUUCCACCAAAAGAAACAUUUCCACUAUUUAUUUGAACAAGCUUUAUAAAAUAACUCGAAUCUCCUAUCAUGUGUCUUGAACAGCCACUAUCCAAAUACCAUUUGAUCUUCUUCUUGAUAGUGACCUAUAAUCAUAAAAAGAACUCAAGCUUUCUUUGGUAUCCAUAUUUUCUCAAGUCCAGGGGAGUUAGUAUUAAAAAUAGUCUUUACCCAAUCCCUUUUAACAGGUCUUCAAACCUUGGGACAUUUCUUUUCGAAAUGUUCUGAGCUGUUACACUUUGAACAUUUUAGAGCACUUCAGCCAACAGGUUUUACAAAAACAUUUUGGAAAUGAUUUUUAUAAUUUUUUUUUGUAGGUCUUUAUUUGAUUCUUUCCUUAACCUUGGGAAAAUCAAUUAAAUGAAUAGUAUCUAGUGUCAUACUCAAACCAGAUUUGUUAAAAUAAGGUCUUUGUACAGAAAGAAUUUUUUCUAACUUAGAUCCUUUUGAAAACCUUUUUGUGAUAUUUGAAAUGUCUUCUUUCAAAAAAAGCAUUUUCCUGUUUGUGUCUGACUAGUAGGUCGUAGGAAAAUUCCUUUUUGAGAGCCAACCUUUUUGUAGACUUUUGACCAAACUCAUUUUGGUAUCUAAACCCGUUGGCUAUAAAAUUUAGCUUUUGUGAAAUGUGUCCUGCUUUCCUAUCCCAUGUUGUUUGUUGUCAGGGGUUAUUUAUACGCUUUCGCAUAUGCAUUAAAAAUGAAUGGGUUGGCGACGCGUCUUCGGAACGUCGUAUUUGUAUCAACCACAAAGGGAUGUGCGCACGCUCGAGGUUUGGGGCAUGACAUCCCCGUUUUAGUGGCAUUAGAGCAAGUCAGUGUUUGGAGUGAUAAGGUGCGAUGAGUUCUUAGGAUACUUAGUAGGAAUGACCUAUAUUUUAUGCUGAUGUAUGUGAUUGAUAGCUGUUUGGUAAUUUGUUUGUGGAAUCACUCAGUUUCUAAUUCUAUAUGGAAUUGGGAACCGAUUUUGUAGAAAGUCCACAGCAUGAGUGAUCAAGAGCCGAGGACUCCUAGGAAGAGGACCAUAGCAUCUGCGACUCGGGCUAGGACACCAACAAGGGUAGGUACCCGAGGCGGUCGAGGUAGAGCGCAGGCUAAGGCCAACGCAAGUGGAGUAGCACCGCUUCCAGUCGGUGCAAGAGUAGUAGCCCCUAGUGAUCCUAAAAUCGAUGGGAUUAUGCAGGUGCUAGAAGCAAUGGGAAAUCGGAUGGAGCAGCAGGCUCAUAACCAAGCUACCAAUGUCUCCGCUUCAACUGCUGCUACUGCAGCCGCCACUAAUGCCGCCAAUGCCGCCGCUGAUGCCAUUGCAGCUGUCAUUGCCUGUCACGCCCCAAACCUCAAGCGCGCGCACAUCUUUCGGUGGUCGAUAGAAUUUUGCGAUAUUCCCAGGACUCGUCACCGACCCUUUUCAUUUUACUGCACAUGCGGAAGUUAAUUAACUAAUCCCCUUAUUACAACAAACAUGGGAUAGGAUAGUAGGACAACCAAUUUGAAAUCAAAUACACUUUCAUAAACACCUCAAGCUUAUACAGAAGGUCUGUCUCAUAAAGGACUACUAAGCCACCUAUGCUCCUGACCCUUCCGCUUCAAGCUCCGGGUUCUUCACACUGGGGACCUGAAAAUGGUUAUUCAGUAACCGGUGAGAUGUAAAUCUCAGCGAGUUCUUCCCCUAGUCCCCCGAUUAUUACACCAACUCAACUCGGGGUAUCUCUUCAGAACCAUCUCACAAACAAACCAAUGAUUAAUAAUCAACAAUCAAUAGUCGAUUCACAUACAUCCUUACCUAGUAUGCCAUACCCUGCACGUCAUAGCUCAGCACGAUACACGCAAUGCACAUGGCCAUUAAAUGAUGCAGUUCAUCAAUCACAUACGAAUCGCAUUACACACGAUCUCACUUGGCCAUUGCCACACAAAAGUGUUGUCUCAAGUAGAGGUGCGAACACACUGCCAUCCCUCAUCCCAGCCUAGUAUUGUCCUCUUUAGGCCUCUCACUGGCGCAGACGAACCGCCGUCCCAAUCGAGCCACCCCUUAAGGCUUUGUUCUCAGUAUAGCGGAAGCUUAUGUGAAACGCGUUAUCGAUUCAUGCAUGCGUACCAUAAACAGUGUGCUCAACUCAUGCAUGACUAGAACUAAAGACGCCAUGAUUCUCAUGCGUUCUUACACAUUAGUGCGCCACACAGCACAUAUCGAUCAAUCACAUGGAUCCCAGUUGGCACGGACUAGCUCACCAAGCAACGAGCUAAAAUGGACUACUAUCGCAAGGCAAUUCAGUUUGACCUGUUAGAGGGUGAGAACUUCGAGUUUGUCGGGAAUCGAGGAAGACCCUCGAUUAUCUUGAUCUUGUCGCUAGAGGCAACUCGUUUGUCAAGGGUGCCUGGCAACUGUCAUGGAUACGACAGUUGAGGAGCUGAAGAUGGAAGACAUUGCUAUGGUAUAAGAAUUUCCGGAUGUUUUCCCAAAGGAAUUGCCAGGAUUAUCAUCAGAGAGAGAAAUUGAGUUCAUGAUUGAGUUGGCACCUGGGAUAGAGUCAAUCUCUAAGGCUCAUUACCGAAUGGUGUUAUCUGAGCUGAAAGAACUGAAUGUGUAGAUGUAAGAGCUUUUGGAUAAGGGAUUUAUUCAUCCUAGUGCAUCACCUUGGGGAGCACCAAUUCUGUUCGUAAAGAAGAAAGAUGGUUCGUUGCGCCUGUGCAUCAACUAUCGACAACUCAUUCAGGUAGCGAUCAAGAACAAGUAUCCACUCCCGAUGAUUGAUGAUUUGUUUGAUUAGUUGCAAAUAAUGUUGAUAUUUUUGAAGAUCGACUUAAGGACAAGAUAUCAUCAGCUAAGGAUUAGAAUGAGGAUGUUCCUAAGUCGGCAUUUCGUACUUGGUAUGGUAUAUUUGAGGAGUGAGGAAGAGCACGAGAGUCGUCUGAGAUUAGUGCUGCAAACACUGAGAGUCCAUCAGUUGUACGCCAAGUUCAGUAAGUGCGAGUUUUGAUUAACUAAUAUUGCUUUCUUAGGUCAUGUGAUUUCAAGCGAGGGAAUCUCUAUGGACCCGAGCAAGAUAGAAGCCAUGAUCAAUCGGCCAAGAUCAACUACAAUGAGAGAAAUUAUAAGUUUUAUGAGUUUGGCAAGUUAUUAUAGAUGGUUUGUGGAAGGGUUCUCAUCUUUAGCAUCACCUUUAACAAGACUUCUGAAGAAAGAAGAGAAAUUCAUGUGGACAGACAAGUGUGAGCAUAGUUUUCAAGAGUUGAAGGAAAAACUGACUACCGCACUUGUGUUGACCAUUCCAUCUGGUCCUAGAGGAUUCGAGAUCUACAAUGAUGCGUCAUUCAAAGGGUUGGGUUGCGUGUUGAUGCAACAUGGUCGAGUUGUUGCAUACGCCUCCCGUCAGUUGAGACCUUAUUAAUAGAACUAUUUGACGCAUGACUUAGAGCUCGCGGCAAAUAUUUUCUCCCUGAAGAUUUGGAGACACUAUUUGUGUGGGGAAAGAUUUUAGAUCUUCAUGGAUCAUCAAAGUCUCAAGUACCUGUUCUCUUAGAAGGAGUUUAACGUGAGACAACGCAGAUGGAUGGAAUUACUAAAAGACUACGACUGUGAUAUCUUAUAUCACUCGGGAAAGGCGAACAAAGUUGCCGAUGCUUUUAGUCAAAAGUCUUUAGUCGCUCAUAUACUGAUUAAGGAGUGAAACCUAAUUGAGAGAGCUCGAGAUUCGGUAUUCAAAUUUGAGGUAGGCCGCUCUCAGAAUUGAAUCGGAUGUCCAUAUCAUAAUCAAACUACUCUAACCGACAUAUCUAGAUGUAUAGAAGAUUCUAUAAGAGGACACUGAGAAAAUAAAGGCUGAUUUUCAGAUUUCUGAUGAAGGAACACUGAGGUUCUGAGGACGUUUGGUUGUACCUAACGAUGUGGAGCUUAGAGAGGAUAUCUUGUCAAAAGCGCAUCGUAGCAGUUACAAUAUUCAUCCUGGUAGUACCAAGAUGUAUCAAAAUUUGUGUCAACACUAUUGGUGGUUAGGUAUGAAGGCGGACAUUGCUAAGCAUGUCGCCAAGUGUUUGACGUGUCAGCAGGUUAAAGCUCAGCAUUGCAAGCCGGGAGGACUUCUACAACCUCUCAAGAUCCCAUAAUGGAAAUGGGAGCAUAUCACGAUGGAUUUCGUGAAUAGACUACCGAGGAGCCAGAAAGGAAAUGAUUCGAUUUGGGUAGUGGUCGAUAGACUAACAAAGUUGGCUCACUUCAUUGCAGUUCGAAAGGACCUCAGUUUGGAUGAACACGUAGACUUGUACAUGUGUUAGGUGGUUCGACUGCAUGGAGUGCCGGUUACGAUAACUUCAGAUAGAGACUCGAGAUUUACCGCCGCUUUUUGGAAGAGAUUGCAUAGUGCUUUAGGUACCAAGCUGUAGUACAGUACGUCAUAUCAUCCUUAGACGGAUAGCCAGUCUAAGAGGACAAUUCAGAUCCUCAAGGACAUAUUAUGAGCUUGUGUAUUAGAUUUUAAAGGAAGUUGGGAAGAACAGCUACACCUGGUGGAAUUUGCCUACAACAACAGUUAUCAGCAGAGCAUCUAGAUGUCUCCUUUUGAAGCAUUGUAUGGCAGAUCGUGCAGAACACCAAUGUGUUGGGAUGAAGUGGGAGAAAGAAAGAUUACAGGCCUAGAGUUAGUUUAGAUGUCAGUGGAUGCAGUUGCAGUGAUCAGAGGCAGACUAAAGACCGCCCAAAGCCGAUAGNNNNNNNNNNNNNNNNNNNNNNNNNNNNNNNNNNNNNNNNNNNNNNNNNNNNNNNNNNNNNNNNNNNNNNNNNNNNNNNNNNNNNNNNNNNNNNNNNNNNAAUGGUUUAAAUUUCGAGGAAGAAAUUUUUAUAAGAGGGAAAGAGUUGUAACAUCUCAGAUUUUCAAUCCUGUUUUAUAUUUAAUAAAUUAGGCAUUUCAUUGACGUGUCUAUAGGGCUGUUCUCAGAGAUUAUCACUUUCAAGAUAACUAGACUAUAUGGGGAAGCCAUUAAGGAUUUGAAGGCAAAUAGACCUGAGAAUUCGACUAAGAAUCGGCUAUUCGACCGUGCUCAUCUUUAGAGGCCAUUAUGGUACAGUUAAAAAUCACUUGGAGAUUAGAGAUAGGUCGGUUCGAUUGAAAUGUGUGGCUAAACGUGGGUGACUCAACUAAUUUGGAAAAUUCUCAUUGGCUAGUAUUAAAUUGAUUUUUCUAUCGUUUUCGUACCCUAUGUCCAUAUUUGAAUCAUCGAGAUUUUCACGACAACUGAGAGUCGCCAAUGUGUUGAAUGGGUUCAUUGUGGCUCGAAAAAAAAUCAACCACGGGUCAUUUGCACUAAAUUUUUUUGAAAGUUACCCGGUAGCCUAGGUCAUACUAAAAUCGCGCCGACUGGAAAUUAACCGUGAAUUUAAGUCCGAUUUCAGAAAUUGAAAGUUCUGUCAUGUCACAAUUAAUUCUAGGAGCGUCAACUUAGUCUUAGAAGAUUUUUCUACAAACCAAGACUUUUUAGGAAAAAGUCGUCUUGGGACCGUUUUGUCCCGAAAAAGUCAAGGAUUAUUUUUUAAUGCACAAUUGGGAAGCAAGUGGGAUCAAUUAGUGAGGAAAAAUACCAAUUGGAUCUAUGAGGUAUUGAUUGAUUUUAUUGAGGCCGAAUUGUGUUGAAUUGAGUAAGAACAAGUGUCCAAUUGGUGAGGAAUUCAAGCAAAUUCGUAGCUCUCCCACCCUUAUUGGCUUUUGGACCAUGUCAAGUGUCCUAAGAAGAGCCUUGGUGGCUGAUUUCCAACCUAUGAAGGCACCUAGUGGUACAGGUUGGUCAAGGGGACAAUUGAGAGAAAUUUGGCCAAGUGGAUCCCUUGUCCCCUUAUCUCCUCUCUCCCUCUCCAAGCUACAACCAGCUCCUUUCNNNNNNNNNNNNNNNNNNNNNNNNNNNNNNNNNNNNNNNNNNNNNNNNNNNNNNNNNNNNNNNNNNNNNNNNNNNNNNNNNNNNNNNNNNNNNNNNNNNNCUGAGGAGCCCUGCCAUUGCACGCCAUACGCCAGAGCGCCGCCCGUCACCCACGCACGCUGCUCGCGCCUUUAGCCUUGCCAUCUCACCUAGUCGUGCAUGUAGCAGCUCAUUAGAAUGCCAUGGGCCACCGUUGGAGUCCCCGUUGCCGUCGUGAGUCACUGGCAUCGCUCGUUCGAGCUAUUGAGACCUCUGCCAGUCCACCGGCACUCUUGCCUCACCAUUUUGCAACCGAAUCAACCACCAUCCAGCCCCAAACAAAAGCUAAGGAAGUGGGUUUCCAACAAGAGUUUGGGCCCAUUUUAAGGUUGUUCCCAACCUCGAAAGUUAGGCCUGCUUUGGAGAGAAGUGAGCCCCAUUGCAUCCCCAACUAUUUGAGUUGAUCGGAUCGCGAAACAAGUGAGUUUAACUCACUAAUCAUCACUUAGUAGGUUAAUGACGCUUAAGAGCUUAUUAGAUUAAGUUAAGUAUGGUUAGGUGGAUAGUUAGAUUAGAUUAGUGAAAUUUAAUUAAUUGUCGAUGCAUGUUAGAUGGUUAGUUAGUGCAAUUAGGGCCUAGAAGAGCUCUAGUAUUUAUCUAGAGUGACUCGGAAAUUUUCCGGGUCCGUUAAUUUCCGAGUCCGUUUCGGCAUUCAAUUAGGCUCUUUCGGGCCUAAGUUGAUCUAUUGGUAUUUAUUUAAUAUUUUUUUCGUAAUUAUUUAAUUAUUUAUUUAUUUUCCGAAAAUUAGACCAGGAUAGCCAGUGACUAGAAUUUUAUACUGAUUGCUAUGGUGUGGUCCAUUUAUUUAAUUGAGCCCUAAAUUGUGUUGAACUAAAGUGAUUGUGAUUUUAGGAUUUUAUUCCUAAAUUUAUUUAAUUCCAAUAUUUAAUUGGAAAAUAACUAAGCGUUGGUUUACAACGCCAAAAAUAGUUUUGGUGGACCAUAUAAAAUGGUAGCAAUUAUGGAAAUAAAAUUAUGGUAUUUUGGCUAAGGCUGACCGUGUACCCAUACAUAACUAUUUUAUCGGGUAUUUUUAAUACAAAGAAAUAAAUCUAACAUAUGCCAAGUGGGGUUGUGAUUAUCACUAUUUCUUAGAUAUGCUGAGUGGGGCCGUGAUUAUCACUAUUUCUUAAAUACGCCAAGUGGGGCCGUGAUUACCACUAAAUUUAAGUAUGCCUGUGAGGCCGAGAUUCAUAAUUGAAGUGAGUAAUGGAAUUGACUGUGUGAAGGUCUUGAUGACAUGUAAUCGACUAGAUCGAUUGAUCGAUGAGUCGAUUUGAGUAAACAAGUUAAUUUUUUGAUGUGACUCGAUGAGAUUAUGAAUUGUGUUGAAUUGCAAGGAGGAACUGAGGUCAAGGUAAGUCCUCUGAUCCGUGUUGUGCUUAAGCAGCCCUUAGGGUGUAUUUUCUUCAUAAUCGAGUCUUAGGUGGUAGAACUCGCUGAAACGUCGUCUCACCCUUUUGUGGGAUAACAUUUCAAGUUCCUAGAUGGCAGCCCCUCCAAACCCUCCUGAAUAUUUUGGGCAACCCAAGAAGUUUAUUGAGACAGGUUACCACAUUCCGAUACACCACCACCCCAAGGGACUUGAGUAUGUGCUAAUAAAGUCCAUAGUCUAGGUAAUCGUGGGUGAACCCAAAAAGGUGCCCCAUGAAUGCCGGGCGUGGUAUCACCAUUAUUUUGAUGGGCGAAGGGUGGGUCUGAUAUCGGAAUUGGAAGUACCACCAUAUGCACUGGAGGUUGCGUUCGGGAAUGGUACUGCUGAUCCUAAAGGUGGAUCGGUGGUAGAUGCGAAGGACCCCAAGCUCGAAGGUGAUUCUGACUUGCCGGUGAACUUAGCCGUGGGCUCUAGCUGGAGCGAGGAAGAAGGAGAAAUCGUUGAAGAGGAGGAGGAGCCGAAGGAGGAUUUGGAGGAGGACCCAGGAGAGGAUUGAACCCCCACUCCUGUCUUGCAAACCCUAUGUUGGGAUGGACCUGACUUUUGUUAAUCGUAUUGUAAUAUUUACUAUAUGGUUUGCAUUGUAUAAAAGUGUGGUUGUGAUUUUUCAGGUGUGAAAAUUGUAGCCCUACUUUUCUAUCCCAUUAUUUUAUUGUCUGGGGAUUUUAUAUAUGUUUCCACAUGCGUAUUAAAAUGAAUGGGUCGAUGAUGUGUCCUAGGACAUCGCUAUUUAAUUGACCGAGCCGGGAUGGCCACGCACCCGAGGAUUGGGGUGUGAUGAUCAAAACAUCCAAUAGCAAAACUUAGAGGAUCUCACCACUUUCCAUAGACGAACUCCUGGGACUACUUCAAUCAUAUGCAGUGGAAUGUCUAAAUGAGGAGGGUGAAUCUAAAGGUAAGAAAAUGAUUGCGUUGAAAUUUAACUAUGAUUCUGACGAUAUGGAUUCUAAGGAUGAUGAGAAAGAUGACGAGGAAAUAGCUCUCAUGGUGAAGAAAUUUGACAAGAUGGCCAAGAAAGGAAGAAAAUUCAAAGGGAAAAGACCUUUCAAAUCAUUUGAUCAAAAGAAAAACUUUAAUGAAAGAGAAGAUAACAAAGAGGUGAUCUGCUUUGAAUGCAAGAAGAAAUGACACAUAAAGCUGAAUUGCCCUCUAUUGAAGAAAAAGAAAAACAAGUUUGAGUAAGGUAAUGAAGCACUAAAGGCUAUAACUUGGAGUGAUAUGGAGUGCGAAGAAAGAGAUAAAGAAUACGAUGAAGAAUACGCCUACAUCUAUUUGAUGACAAAUUCAUAAUCAGAAGAUGAAAUCAAGGUAAAUAAUUUCGAUAUACUUGAAGAAGUCUCAAAUUACAUAGAUGUGUUAUGUUCUGAUUACAAAACUGCACUUAGCAAGAUUUCUGAAUUGAAAAAGGAAAAUUUGAAAUUGAAGCAACAUGAUCUUUUUCAAAAGGAAAGGAUUGAAACUCUUGAGAAAAAUCUUUCCAAAUCUCAAGAGAAUCAAGACCUUUGUUUGAAGGAAUAUAAGCAUUCAAAAAAGGAAGUUUCUGAUGUUACGAAAAGAUUUUCCAUCGGUUCAAAAACCUUAGAACAUAUUCUUUCAAUUCAAAUACCUUAUUACAACAAGUUUGUUUGUGGUUGCAAAAUCACAAAUGAUUUGCAAAAUGAAUUUCCAAAAUUUAAAGAAAUAAUAAGACAAAGACCUUCGAAAAUUUUUUACAAACAUCUUUUUUAAAAAGAAAUUCUAAAACCUGUUGGUUGGAAUUUCCUUAAGUGCUUCAUAUGCAAGAAUUCAAAUCAUUUUGAAAAUGAUUGCCUAAAAGGUUGGAAAUUAAUUCAGAUAAACUUUCUAAGUAUGGCUGAACCGUCUAACCAAAAACGAUCCAAACAAAUAUAUGUACCAAAGAAAGCUUGAAUUUGUUUGGUUGAUUGCAGCUACCAAAGAAAAAGGGAAAUAAAUGGUACCUAUAUAGUGGAUGCUUAAGACACAAAACAGGAGAUCCAUCCAAGUUCGUUGAAAUUUCAAGAUACAAUGGUGGAAGUGUACCUUUUAGUGGCAACAACAAAGGAAAGAUAGUUGGCAACGGCAUGAUCAAAAUAGGAAGUCUUACAAUCAAAGACGUCUCGCUAGUCAAUGGACUAAAUCACAACCUACUCAGCAUCAGUCAACUCUGUGACGUUGGCUUCAAAAUUUGUUUCCAAGAAGACAAGUGCCCUAGAACAAGUCAAGAUAACAAACAAUCCUUUAUCGGAAGAAGACAUGGAAAUAUAUAUAUAUAUAUAUAUAUAUAUAUAUAUAUAUAAAUUUUGAUGAUAUACAAUGUCUAGUAUCCAUCAAGGACGAGUCAGAUUUUCGGUAUAGAAAACUUGGGCAUAUCAACGCCAAACAAAUCCAGAAGUUGUCGACAAAGAAACUUGUACGAGGAUUAUCAAAUGUUAGAUUUGAAAGAUUUGAGACUUGCUCAGUUUGUCCUCUUGGGGAACAGGCGAGAAGUUACGUUAAAUCCAUUAAUUAUGUUACUGCUAAACGCAUAUUGCAGCUUCUUCAUAUGGACAUCUUUGGACCAACAAGAAUUCAAAGCCUUAGAGGGAAAAUGUAUUGUCUAGUCAUCAUUGAUGACUACACCAAAUACACUUGGGUUUUCUUUCUCACACAUAAGCAUGAACCUUUUUCACAUUUUUCAAAAUUUGUAAAAAUGGUUCAAAAUGAAAAGGGUUACAUGAUUUUUUUACAUCAAAAUAGAUCAUGGAGUGAAUUUGAGAAUCAAAGUUUUUCUGAUUUUUGUGACGAAAAUGGUUUUGAGCAUCAAUUUUCGACUCUUUACACCCUCAAGUAAAACAGUGUUGUAGAGAGGAAAAAUCUUCUUUGUAAGAAAUGGCAAUAACUCUUUUAAUAGAAGCAAAGUUGCAUCAUAUCUUUAAGCAAAAGCUGUUUCUACUACUUGCUAUAUUAUAAAUCGUGUUCUUCUCAGACUUUCUUUAGAUAAAACUCCCUAUGAGCUUUUUAGAGGUAGAAAACCAGACAUAUCAUAUCUUCAAGUAUUUGGCUGUAAGUGUUUUAUUCUUAGGAAUGCUAAAGAUUAGCUUGGAAAGUUCAAUGAAAAGUUAGGUGAAAGAAUCUUCUUAGGAUAUUUGUCCAUCAGCAAGGCCUUUAAAGUUUACAACAAAAAUUCUCACAUGGUGGAAGAAUCAAUCAAUGUGAAAUUUGAUGAGAACAAUCAAGGUUUUGUAGAAGAUUCUAAAACUCCUCAACAAGAAGAGUUUGUCUAGCAGUUGCAAAAGCUUCAGAAGAUACUAGAAUAAGAAGUUCAAGUUCAAACAUCCAGUGAGCCCAAAAAGCAAUAUGAAGUAGAGGAAAUUCCAAGAUUUGAUGAAGAAUACAACAAAAACCGGAAGCACAAAUUGAGUCACCCAAAGGAUCUCAUCAUUGGGAAUAUUGAGGAUAAGAUCAGAACCAGAUCAACUUGGGAAGAUGAUAUCAGUACUUUAGCACUCAUUUUAGAAGUUGAGCUGAAAGGGAUUGAGAAAGCUCUCUUAGACAAAAUCUAGCUAGGAACUAUGCAGGAAGAGCUUAAUCAGUUUAAAUUGAAUGAAGUUUGGGAGUUAGUACCAAGGUCAAAGGAUUAUUCAGUAAUUGGAACAAAAUAAGUGUUUCAAAAUAAGCUAGAUGACAAAGGCAAUGUCACAAGAAAUAAAGUAAGGUUUAUGGCUAAAGGCUACUCUCAAGAGAAAUGAAUAGAUUACGAUGAGACAUAUGCUCUAAUGACAAAGUUAGAGGCCAUCGGACUUUUACUUGCUUAUGCUUGUUCUCUUGAUUUUAGACUUUUUUCAGAUAGACGUGAAGAGUGCUUUCUUGAAUGGUUUCAUCAAAGAGAAGGUGUUCAUGGAACAACCUCCUGGAUUUGAAGAACCUAUAUAGUCUGAUCAUGUCUUAUGAUUGAAGAAAACAUUAUAUGGUUUGAACAAGCUCCCAGAGCUUGGUGCGAAAGGCUCAAGAAUUUCCUCAUCCAAAAUGGUUUUGACAAAGGUAAUGUGUACACUAUUCUCUCCAUAAGAAAAAAAAAGGUAAGGAUAACUUGUUAGUUCAAAUAUACGUUGAUGAUAUUAUCUAUGGAUCUUUCAAUGAGAAUCUUUACAACAAAUUCGCAAGCUUGAUGCAUGAUGAGUUCGAGAUGAGCAUGACAGGGGAAAGUCAUUUCUUCCUUGGGCUUCAAAUAAGACAAGAGAAGAAUGGCACUUUCAUCUUUCAAGAAAAGUAUGCCAAAAAACUCAUGAAGAAGUUCAAGAUGGAAAUUCAAAAAGGAUAGAAAUGCCAAUGUCUCACUUAUCAAAGCUAGACAAAGAUGAGACGGGUAACAAGAUUGAUCAGAUUUUGUAAAUAAGUUCUUUAUUAUAUCUAUAGCCGUCGUGAUCAGACCUUCUAUCGGCCCUCCCUUGGCAAGAAGGGGAAAAAAGGUUGGGUUUAAAGGUACUUGACCAUGGGAGCUCCCUCAUGGUACAUAUUCCAAAAGACAUCAUUGCUUCAUCUUUCGAGUUGGACCAUUGUGAGUUUGCUCAAUUACGGUCAUGAGCUCUCCCAAAUUCGUACCUCGCAUGACAACGGAAAGGUGUCAUGAUUCGUAUCCACAUGGAUGAUACACCUUGAGAAAGGAGAUUGGAUGUGAAUACCAAAUUUAGAGGUAUCGUUACCGUGGUAGUCCUCCCAAUAGUACUCUCUUCCCUAAGGAUGGUAUCACUUCAUCCAUUAUGAGCUUUUCAUAUCGGACAUGCUAAACUAUGAUGGGCCUCAUCGAGACCCAUACCCCUUAUGACGGGUUCAUUUAUUAUCUAGUUGUUUAAAACAACCCAUAUAAAAGUUAGGAGUCACCACUAGCCUCGUUUUUAGGGGUUGGCUAGAAAAGCCAAUCGAGGGUCGAGAAUAAUCCAUCAAUUUCUACGCAAUUAGAGAUUCUAGGGUUCGAGGACUUGGGUUACGCCAAUACUUCUAUUAGCGCCCUUUCAGUACUUAACGGUUUGUCGUGUUGUUUGAGGUGUCCAUGCAUGUCUUUUUACUUUUUCAGGUCAAUGAAGCUAACUAAGUGAUCAUGCGUGGAUGGUUAAUUUCAUGCAAUUAUAGUUCUAUGAAAAGAGAAAAGUAAACAAUGAAUUGGAAUUUAAAGACAAUGUGGUAAGUAAACAAUCAAGAAAAUAAUUUAUGGAUAGUGAUAAAUCUAACAUGCAAUACUAAACAAAAUUUAGAAAAGAUAGAAAUAAACCCACAACUCGUCAAACAUUUAUACAACAUGAGACAAUUCGAAGCAUUUAUCAAGGAAUCAAUUUGAUACAAAAACAAGGUUGGAUUGGACGUCAACUAUUCGUCACGUUCAUGUCUUGGGGAGUCUCCACUACAAGUGAGCAUCAGUCUAGGGUCAACCAUGAACCAUCCCUGGACCAGUUCAACCCUAUCGGUCUUGGUCCGGUUCCUAUGGGGACUAGAUCGGUCCUUAGUCUUGGGAACCCUGGAUUAGCACUGUACAAGUUGAUCAUCGAUCCUGAGAGUUUAAGGUCAAUCCAACCUUGCCCAAUCUUAACUAUAUAUAUAAUGUAUAAUAUAUCUAAAAUAUAUUAUAUAUUAUGUAUCUAAUAUAUUAUUUAUAAUUUUUUAUACAAAGAAAACCCUAAGUUAAACGGUAUCAACAGCAUUAAACGGCUCCUUAGUGAAGAGUCUAAGUAAUUUUACACUGUUCUUUAAUAGCUUAGACUUCGUCUUUUAUGGCAUUAACAACCAUAAUUUACAAAAAAGGAAAACGUCACUAUGAGGAGUCAUCACGGCGUCCAAAAUGGCAUAAACAGCUCCUCACAUUAUCCUCAUUUAGUACUCAUUCUCUAUUGUCUUCUUUGUCCUCUUAGUCUUCAAUUUGUCAAAAUCGAAAGAAACAACAUUCCCACUUGCCCCACUUACCGCUCGACGCUUGCCUCGCUCGGUGCUAAUGCUCGUUGCUCACGCCACUUGCCUCUCUUCACUGACCUCGAUCGUUGCUGAACCCAUUGGGUCAAUACGGUCCUCAGUCACCUUUUUAGGGAGUACAAAAAAUGAAACAAAAAAAAUUAUUGGUUGGUUUUGGAUUGAACUUGGAACUUAACUAAACCCAUUUCGGUCCUCGGUCCCAGGCUCAAUAGGGUCAAUCCUCGGUCCCAAAAAUUGAAGACCAACACCGUGCAGGUUGGUCCUAGGAUUAGGGGGUGGACCGCCCUAACCUAGACCAUGCUCACCUUUAGUCUCCACCUCUAUAGACCUAUUUUAAACCUAAUCUAAAACUAAGACUAUAAAAGUCCUUACAAAGAUAUAGAAUUUCUUCUUGUAUUCAUGCAGCUGUAACAGUGGCUUUUGCAGAUUUAUCCGCCCAGGAGAAGGAUUUCCUCCGAUACUGUUUUUGAAGAAUUAUGCGGAAAGGCCUUCACCUGCUAUUUUAAUUGCUCGAGCAUGCUUCUUUCCUGCAAACGUUAUAAUGGUUAUUUUAAAUGCUGUGGCAUAUUUUAUCUUGUCUCGUAAUGGAAAUGAGUUAUCUUCAAGGACUAAUGAAGGAAAAAAAAUAUGACGCUUUGUGCAACCCUUCUCAUUUCAUUUACCUUGUCAGAUUAGAUUCAGUUAGUUUGUCUUCGUUUUCGCAUAUUUCAUGUGCAAUUAUGCUCGACUGGGUCAGGGUACAAGAUGGAAGUUCGAGGUAUUAUGCAAAAGAAAAUCACAAAGCAAGUCGUCUACAUCAACUAUUAAACCGUGAAGCAUUUUAAUUUUUUUGAUGAAACGUGUCCGUAGAUGAGCUGAAAAAUGGCAUUGGGCAUGGGUGUCUUAACAAAAGUGUAGUGUUUAGAAAUAGGGGGUACUGGUUAGGUGUGCUGAUAAAUAUAGUGCGUUUGUAGACGCUUAAAAAGAAAAAUGAAUGUCAAUAAGAAGUUAUAGCAAGUGAAGGCCCAGAAUUGGGCUUUACGAAAUGCUGAGGCAUUUACAGUAAAAGCAGAAAAAAUUCAGAGUAUACAUUGCAUAUUGAGUAGAAGCUUUUUUUUUUUUUUUUGUCAGUCCUACUCUAUUCCUACUCUAUACUCACUCUCAAAUUUUUGCCCGACCUCUUGCAACGCGUGGGAGUCAAAACCCACUCUUGAAACUUACACGUCUCCACCCCAUCCCCCCUUGAGAAGGUGGGGUUUUGAACCCCUCACCUCCCCCUUCCAUGUUUGAAGGGUGGCCACUGGGGCGAAUCCCAGUAGUUAUAUUAAGUAGAAGUUUGAACCCUUGUGGUAGCAACACCCUUGGAAAGAAGGGAAAGAAAAAAAAAACUCUAUACCGUUCCAUUUAUUUUCUUAAAUUUUACAUCAACUCGGUGUCUGGAACUCUUUAAGCACUAGCUUCUCUUCAUCGAAUGGUGGUGAUCCUUUAUUAUUGAAGCAAACUCUUCCCGUUUAACUCCAUUUUCUUUAAAGGUGCAUUUUUGUAUAAGCAACGCGGUUUGCGCUUGCUCCCAGUCAUUCGACCUGGUGAGAGAUUUCACCAUGAGUUGACAUGUGGCACUUUCUAAGGGACAACAUGUCUCUCUUUUGAACUUUCCAAUUUGCUCUUCAUGUUCAACUUUAACCUUCAUUUAACUUCUUAUUUCCUCCUCAUUCAUCUUAUUUUUAUUAAAUUUNNNNNNNNNNNNNNNNNNNNNNNNNNNNNNNNNNNNNNNNNNNNNNNNNNNNNNNNNNNNNNNNNNNNNNNNNNNNNNNNNNNNNNNNNNNNNNNNNNNNNNNNNNNNNNNNNNNNNNNNNNNNNNNNNNNNNNNNNNNNNNNNNNNNNNNNNNNNNNNNNNNNNNNNNNNNNNNNNNNNNNNNNNNNNNNNNNNNNNNNNNNNNNNNNNNNNNNNNNNNNNNNNNNNNNNNNNNNNNNNNNNNNNNNNNNNNNNNNNNNNNNNNNNNNNNNNNNNNNNNNNNNNNNNNNNNNNNNNNNNNNNNNNNNNNNNNNNNNNNNNNNNNNNNNNNNNNNNNNNNNNNNNNNNNNNNNNNNNNNNNNNNNNNNNNNNNNNNNNNNNNNNNNNNNNNNNNNNNNNNNNNNNNNNNNNNNNNNNNNNNNNNNNNNNNNNNNNNNNNNNNNNNNNNNNNNNNNNNNNNNNNNNNNNNNNNNNNNNNNNNNNNNNNNNNNNNNNNNNNNNNNNNNNNNNNNNNNNNNNNNNNNNNNNNNNNNNNNNNNNNNNNNNNNNNNNNNNNNNNNNNNNNNNNNNNNNNNNNNNNNNNNNNNNNNNNNNNNNNNNNNNNNNNNNNNNNNNNNNNNNNNNNNNNNNNNNNNNNNNNNNNNNNNNNNNNNNNNNNNNNNNNNNNNNNNNNNNNNNNNNNNNNNNNNNNNNNNNNNNNNNNNNNNNNNNNNNNNNNNNNNNNNNNNNNNNNNNNNNNNNNNNNNNNNNNNNNNNNNNNNNNNNNNNNNNNNNNNNNNNNNNNNNNNNNNNNNNNNNNNNNNNNNNNNNNNNNNNNNNNNNNNNNNNNNNNNNNNNNNNNNNNNNNNNNNNNNNNNNNNNNNNNNNNNNNNNNNNNNNNNNNNNNNNNNNNNNNNNNNNNNNNNNNNNNNNNNNNNNNNNNNNNNNNNNNNNNNNNNNNNNNNNNNNNNNNNNNNNNNNNNNNNNNNNNNNNNNNNNNNNNNNNNNNNNNNNNNNNNNNNNNNNNNNNNNNNNNNNNNNNNNNNNNNNNNNNNNNNNNNNNNNNNNNNNNNNNNNNNNNNNNNNNNNNNNNNNNNNNNNNNNNNNNNNNNNNNNNNNNNNNNNNNNNNNNNNNNNNNNNNNNNNNNNNNNNNNNNNNNNNNNNNNNNNNNNNNNNNNNNNNNNNNNNNNNNNNNNNNNNNNNNNNNNNNNNNNNNNNNNNNNNNNNNNNNNNNNNNNNNNNNNNNNNNNNNNNNNNNNNNNNNNNNNNNNNNNNNNNNNNNNNNNNNNNNNNNNNNNNNNNNNNNNNNNNNNNNNNNNNNNNNNNNNNNNNNNNNNNNNNNNNNNNNNNNNNNNNNNNNNNNNNNNNNNNNNNNNNNNNNNNNNNNNNNNNNNNNNNNNNNNNNNNNNNNNNNNNNNNNNNNNNNNNNNNNNNNNNNNNNNNNNNNNNNNNNNNNNNNNNNNNNNNNNNNNNNNNNNNNNNNNNNNNNNNNNNNNNNNNNNNNNNNNNNNNNNNNNNNNNNNNNNNNNNNNNNNNNNNNNNNNNNNNNNNNNNNNNNNNNNNNNNNNNNNNNNNNNNNNNNNNNNNNNNNNNNNNNNNNNNNNNNNNNNNNNNNNNNNNNNNNNNNNNNNNNNNNNNNNNNNNNNNNNNNNNNNNNNNNNNNNNNNNNNNNNNNNNNNNNNNNNNNNNNNNNNNNNNNNNNNNNNNNNNNNNNNNNNNNNNNNNNNNNNNNNNNNNNNNNNNNNNNNNNNNNNNNNNNNNNNNNNNNNNNNNNNNNNNNNNNNNNNNNNNNNNNNNNNNNNNNNNNNNNNNNNNNNNNNNNNNNNNNNNNNNNNNNNNNNNNNNNNNNNNNNNNNNNNNNNNNNNNNNNNNNNNNNNNNNNNNNNNNNNNNNNNNNNNNNNNNNNNNNNNNNNNNNNNNNNNNNNNNNNNNNNNNNNNNNNNNNNNNNNNNNNNNNNNNNNNNNNNNNNNNNNNNNNNNNNNNNNNNNNNNNNNNNNNNNNNNNNNNNNNNNNNNNNNNNNNNNNNNNNNNNNNNNNNNNNNNNNNNNNNNNNNNNNNNNNNNNNNNNNNNNNNNNNNNNNNNNNNNNNNNNNNNNNNNNNNNNNNNNNNNNNNNNNNNNNNNNNNNNNNNNNNNNNNNNNNNNNNNNNNNNNNNNNNNNNNNNNNNNNNNNNNNNNNNNNNNNNNNNNNNNNNNNNNNNNNNNNNNNNNNNNNNNNNNNNNNNNNNNNNNNNNNNNNNNNNNNNNNNNNNNNNNNNNNNNNNNNNNNNNNNNNNNNNNNNNNNNNNNNNNNNNNNNNNNNNNNNNNNNNNNNNNNNNNNNNNNNNNNNNNNNNNNNNNNNNNNNNNNNNNNNNNNNNNNNNNNNNNNNNNNNNNNNNNNNNNNNNNNNNNNNNNNNNNNNNNNNNNNNNNNNNNNNNNNNNNNNNNNNNNNNNNNNNNNNNNNNNNNNNNNNNNNNNNNNNNNNNNNNNNNNNNNNNNNNNNNNNNNNNNNNNNNNNNNNNNNNNNNNNNNNNNNNNNNNNNNNNNNNNNNNNNNNNNNNNNNNNNNNNNNNNNNNNNNNNNNNNNNNNNNNNNNNNNNNNNNNNNNNNNNNNNNNNNNNNNNNNNNGUGAUAUAGUUUGUUACAGAUGUGUUGUGUAAUAGCCACGCCUCCAAGUCAUAAUGCGUCAGGCGGACGAGUACACAAGUUUACUUUUGUUCUUAUUCUUGUUUGAGCAAACAAAAAUUAUCUAGAUUAUAAAUGUGAAGAUGAUAGUAUUGAAUUUUAACAUAUGUAGAAAUAAUUUUGGCCGUGACUUUCAUGAGUCAUAAUUAGUCGUUCCAUCUUCACUUGGUGGCUUUUUGUAUAUUUAGGUUAUUUUCAUAUAAUUUGUGAUAAAAUCUCUUUAAAAAAAUUACUACUUCACUAAUACUUACCAACUCGGCUCUCCACUUAUUUAUACGAUGACUCAAAUUUGACUAAAUAAUUUGAUGCAGGGUUGACACUUGAUCCAUUGUACAAGUACCGCCUAAUAUAGCUUUGAUUUUUUCUAUCUCUUAUUUCUUUUUGCAUUUCUGAAAAAUUAUUAAAAUAGAAUUAACUGAUAAAUAGCUUCAAAGUCUCGAGCGUUGUUGCAAUGGGUACAAUGCUUCUGACAAAUGCUUUAACAUCAAAUAUAUAAUCUUUAUUCUCAUUCUGAUUUAUAUUGAAAUAUAGAGAUCCUAACUCAUGAUUAAAAAAACUUCAUUCUAUAAAAUAAUUUAAUUGUUUAAUCGUUCCUGAUUUGAUAAAGUCUAAUCUAAUUAUCUAAUGACAUCUAACAUUGUUAUGUUCCAUUAUGUUCAUGUCAUAAGCACAAACUGUAGAAUAUUAUAAGUUGAAUCUUCAAACAUAUCAUCAUAUGAAUAAAAACAUGCAUUUUAAAGUGCAUAUUAGAUGGAUGAAAGAAAAAAAAAAGGUACAUAUAGAUAGGUGUAUUACUAUAUGUAGUUAGGUAAAGCGAUCGUGAACCUGGGCUCUUCCUUUCUUUCAAGUUCUAUGGGCCGAAAUUGUCACUUUAACCAUGAAUUGUGAGCAACGACUUGGACUGAGAGCGUAUUGGACUAGGCUCUUCUUGUGGACUUUGCAAUUUGGACAGGCACGGAAUCAACCCCUUUUUGUUACUUUUUUUUUUUUUUUUUUUUUUUUUUUUUUUUUUUCAUUUGGUUUCAUUUAUGCACACUUUUAAUAAAAACUACUAAAUGGCCUUUUUUUUUUUCCGUUUUGCUUAAAAUGUCGAUACCAUCACAUGGUCAACGCUAGCAUGUGUAGUUUUUGCAAUUCUUUUUUAAAUUUUAUGAUUUUUUUCAUCAUUUUCUAUGAGUGAAGGUCACCCUCCCUUGCCCGCAUUCGGGGAGCAUAGGCCUUGCGAGGGUAGUGUAACACCAAGGAAUCAAAGUCAUAGUCGCUCAGAUCCAACUUGGCCAAGUGGAUCCGUGUAGUUUGCAACGUGAGACUCAUGCUUCUUGAGCAUAUCCUCCCUCAACAUCUCUAACAAGCCCGACCCAAAAGCCAUCUUGGAGCUCUCCUAGCGGGUGUGUAUCAAGGUCACCCUUGCUAGAGGCCAAUGAGGACAUCCCAAUAUUAAGGACAUACAUAACAAAAUUUUUGAAACAUAAAUUUAUUAAUUUAUAUUUCUUGAACGAGUUUCUGAGCAAAAAAAAGCAUUUAAUAACGGCUCAAAAUUUCUAUUUUUGGAAUAGAAUAAAAUUUAUAUUCCUAAGGAUGGUAGCGGUCGACAACCGGCAGCCAACAGCCUAUGGCUAAAGUUCAACAGCAGGUGGUUGGUGUUCGAUGCUCGGUGUCCCAUAGGUGGCAGGUGUGUAGCAAGCAGUGACGAGAUUGAAAGAUGAGAAAAAUUUUAAUUUCUUAUUUUUGUUUUAAAAAUUAAAAAAAAAAGUUAAAAAUUUUAACUUGUGAUUUCUACUUCAAAUCUAUUUAUGGAAUAAAAAAUCUAUUUCAAAAAUAUAAAAAUAAAAUUGUAUUAUCAAACGAAUUUAAAAAAAUAAAGAAAUAAAGAAACAGAAAUUUUGUCAUGCAUUCCCUAACAUAACUAACAUUUUUUAGGUGAUCACUCUACAUUGAAAAUCUAUACCUAUGAUGGAGAACAUAGUAUGUCCUGUAGUGUUGAGAAGAGUGUUCCAGAGAGACGAGAGAAGUGUCAACUGACGUGCGUCGAAACUGAGCGGCACAUAAGAAUCAACAGCAUGAGAUUGAGAGGGUUGUGACCAGGAAGGGACUGAUUGGGUUGCGGACAGGAAGAGGCUGAUGAACUUACAGCAUUGCUCCAGUUCGGCACGUCUGCCAAUGAAAUCUCUCUCCCAGCACCUUCAUUGCUUUCGGUCAAGGGCUGAUGCGGAUUCCGUGCAAGGUUGGAUGACCCUUCAAAAUUGCUAGAUCCCUCUGCUCUUCCACUUUAUUUCAAUGCUUCUCGGGCUUCUGAUCUCACUGGGGGAGGGACGGCCCCGCAGCCCUUGAUUUCUUUUCCAGCAGAUCCAGCUAAGUGGUGCUUUGAUCCUCACCGCGCCUCCCGAAUACUUCUUCAGGCCGAAGUCACGCUCCCACUUGUCCUCAAGCAGAACCUCAACAUGCCGCCACACCCGAUCCUUCCUUCUCGGCGUGUCUCUGGAUCAAACAGAAGGGUCAAUUGGGCGUUUUUUUUUUUUUUUAGCUUUGAGGAAUUGAACGUCUCGAUACUAUAUCAGUAUUUUUCAUUCAUACGUUGACUAGGUGUUCAGGUAUUAUACGGAUUCAUCAAAUGACCUUUUUUUCUCUUUUCUCUUUUUUCUUUACUAUUUCAAGUCUAUUACUUCUUAUAUUAUCACAAAAAUUUUAUUACAUAAUUUCAUUUGCUGUUAUAUCAUCUAAAUGAAGAUUUGAAAUAUAGUUUAACUAAAUAGAAAUGCUAAACAUUACAUAGAAUAACCUAAGACCUUAUUUGAGACUGAAUUUGUUAUUUCAGGUCUUUAUUUGAAACUAAAUUUGUCAUUUCGGGGCUUUAUUAAAGACAACAUCCACUUUGAACCAUUUUUUGAAAAAAAAUGAUUUUAUUUUAGACUGUUAUUUAGAAUUUUCACUUGUGUUGAAAAUAUGAUCAGAUAUUGUGAAAGAUACUGAUUGCGGCGUUGAUCUUGAUUGUGAUUCUAAUAAAUUCAAUCAAUCUGUGGCUAUUUUGGAGGACAGGAAAAUCAUAAUCUUUGUAUAUUAUUUCCUUUUUUUUUUUUUUUGUCUUUACAUUACAAAUAGGCUGAUGUAUUUGUAUACAAGUCAGACAAUACAAUCUACAAAAAUCCUCCACUUCUCCUUCGUUUUGUUUCAUGGUAAAAUCAAAGCAACCGUUUACGAUCUAGCUUCCGCAAACCCUCGAAGUGCCUCCUUUUCUUUCCGAUUUGCUGUUGCAAACUAAGCCUUGCCUUGCAAAAUAAAUCAGCACCCGGUAAGAAUUCACGAUCGACAUAUCAUGACAAAGGACAAGAACAUGGUUACUAGAGAAAACUCUUCAAUGGAGAAAGCCCAAAACUCACCUCAAAACAAGGAUGCAGAUCAAAUCGAUCCGAUCAGAGAUGGAGGCCGCCUUUGCUGGUAUUGAGUGAGGGUUUUCUCACUUGAGCUGGGUGGGGCAAGGGAUCUAGCUUAGGCGACCCUCGCCCUCUUUGGCAUUAGGGGAGGGUCACCCUCGUCUGUGGCCCUUGCACGACACCAGUGAGGGCGACCCUCGUCCAACGUCGAAGGAGGUGAGAAUUACCCUUGCCAUAUCCGACGAGGAGCACCCUCACUUGACAGCCGAUGCUAGUGUCGCAAGGGCUGCCCUCGCCCGAUGCCGGUGAGGGUGGACCUCUCCUAAGUGCAGUGACCUCCACCAUGGCCAAUGGAGGGAAAAGGGAAAACAAAGAAAUAAAUGGAAAAAAUAAAUUAAAAGACGAAAAUACCAUUUGGUCUGAGAGAAGUUAGGCCUUUUUUGAAAUUAAUAUAGCCACUUCAAGCUCUUAUUUAAGAUGAUUUGAUGACUUUGGGCACUUACUUGAAAUAAUGUCAAUUUCAAGAUUUUAUUUAAAGAAAUAAGAGUACUUCAAACUAUUAUUUGAAAUUUUUCCUUAUUUUUUUUUCCUUAAAAAGGUUCUCCGCAAUUGUGAAGCUGCCUUGAGUCGGCAGGUUUAUGUGUAAAUUAACUUGAACGAAUCAAACGUCUUUUUCCCGUCAGAAAAGUCAAACCAAUCUUUCCACGUUUAAAACGCAUUGAAAACCUCUGCGUGGCAACUCAAAGCACAAAACAAAUUUCCUCGCUUUCUGGUGAAGAAUUUUUCAAAGGUAUUAUUCCUGGAGAAUUUUUCGGAGGAAGAAUGUUUGAAGAAUCUUUCGAACGGUUUUAUUCGUGAAGAAUUAUUGAAGAAUUUUUCGAAGGUAUGUUCUUAGCCUACUGCUACUCUUACACUCUCAUGACACAUGAGAGUGACUUGAAAAUAUAUAUAAUCCUGGGCUCGGCUACCUCGAGCCCCCAAGCCGCCGCCAUCUCCAUCCUUGCGCCACCGCCCCACCGUGGCCACCAUGGUCCACGGCAAAGCUAUUGAGCAGCAGACCAUAUUUGGCCGUUGAGCGACGACGGUUCCAAAUUUGGAAGUUCACUGACCUCUGCGUCUCCCCCUCUAUCAUUGUGUGUGAACGAGCCGUCGUCGCUGGUGGCCAAGGCUCCAGAUCUGGCACAAAUGGAACUUUUUCUACCCAAUCGUUUUCUGUUCUGGUCGCAUUUUGCGACAGAACAAACCUGCACCCUUUCAAUCCGUGGAUAUUCUGUUGAGUGGUGGAAGGAGAGACCAGCUUCAGCCAUUGGUUCUCUUCCGACCAAAUCCAGUCCUUUGCCACCAGAACUAGAACUGAGGAACCGGACGGAGGAGACGGCCGAGCUAGAGAGAUGCCGCGCCACCACCGACUCCGCCGGCGGCAAUAGCGGAGUUGGGGUCGUGACUGCAGAUGGGAGAGGAGGAAUGGAGAAACCCAGAUGGAUUGGGAGAUUUUCAAAUAUUUGUCAAUUUCCAUGUCAGUGGAUAUUUCUUAAUUUGUAAUUGAUUAACGGUAAAUAUUUUCUCCAUUUUCAGACAAAAGCUGAAAAAAGAUGGGCAACAUCUUCCGCAGGUAAACUUACUGCGUAUAUUUUGUGAGUAAGUGAUGUUGAAGUGGUGGAUUGGAAAGGUUGUAGGUGAGGACGUAUCCCCUACUAAUCUCUGAUGUUAUAUUUUGUCCAGAGGAAGUGUUUUCAUUAGCUCAAUUAGCCGUGGGUCAAUAGUUGGUUUCACUUCUGCAGUGCGUUCAUGCGUUAAGAAUCCUGCAAUGCAUAGAUUGAUCAGCUAUUAAUUGCAAUAGAAGCUUGCCCUCACACAACCCAUUAUAUUUUCGUUUGAACUUUAACUUGGUCAUUCUUGAUACUUUUUGCAAAUACCCUUUCUGACAUAUUCUUUGCUGAUUUCCAAGAUUUGAAGCCCAGGAUGGUGCUGCGGAUGCUCCAUUCGUCCCAGGCGGCCGGGCACUGGAGGAGAUCCUCCUUGAGGCGAUCGCCGGCCUGGAUGAUACUUCUAAUGCUGGCACUGACGUCAUGUGCUUCUACAGAGUGCUCGAUAUCGGGCAGCGGUUGGUACUUGGCAUCCGAGAGCUAGAUAUCAUCCCGAGGUACCGAUGGUUGCUCACGCGCAUCAUCGAUAUGCUUGGAUAUGCUAAGUGUGCUAUUCUAGCGUGUUUUUUAACUUAUCGUUUUGUUGUUUAUUUUUGGUCGGUAAUUUGUCGUUUGUAUGUGACUUUGCUAAUAGUUUUUGGAUUAUUGUGAAAAUAAUAAUUUAUUUUAAGCUACAAAUUUUUGAAGGAGUAUACUCCACAAAUAUUUAUAAUUAUUUGUUAUUUAAUUUUUUUUAAUUUAGUUUUUUGUGAUCUAAGCACAAUUUAAAAUUGAAAAAUGAGGAAAUCAGAGAAAGAGGGCAAUUUUGUUUCUCGGGCCAGAGAUAAACAAGGGAAAUAAUUCGAGAGUAUAUAAAAACAAAAACAAAUCACAUAAUUCUCAAAUGACACAAACUCAACAAUCUUUAUGCAACAAUAUUCAAGCUAAAGUAACUCAUUGGAUAGCUGACAUGAUCUAAGUAACUUGUUCAAUCGAACUACACAGGCACAACAAGCAGGACAUUACAAGCUUGAUUCGUCAUUUGAUUAUGACUGCCCCGCCCGCUCAAUAAGAUAACGAAUUCGUGUAACAAAGCUUCAAUUUAAUCAUUGUCGUUGUGUUUUUCAGACCGGUUUAACCGAAAUACGGGUAAUUUCAUUUUUACAAAACUCGGUAAUUUGGCAAGGUUCUCGGGCCUAGUCCAUUAAGCAGCGUGAACUGAAAAUCGCGGAAUUGGGGGUCAAAGAAGGUGGGCUUGACAAAUUUUGCAAAGCGAAUUCUGGUGGGACAUGGUUUGCUGGAAACCCGUUGAUUAACUGAACAUGAAGACAAGGACGAGGGGCCAUGACCGGAGCACGCGGAACCGAAAGCAGAGUAUAUUGAAAAAUAAUUAUAAUUUUUUUUUUAAAUAGCGCUUGUUUAACCAAACUACACAAGCACAAUAAGUUGGACAUUACAAGCAAAGCUUUAUUCACCAAGAAAGAAGGAAAGAAAAAGCAAGAGGAAAUCAAGUCGAAUAUGAGAAUUUGUGGCAACUCUUAUCAAGUUUAAAAAAAGUAAAGGACAUGAAGAAAGGCCAUUGAAAGGAGUUUGAGUGGAAUCGUGACUUAAACCUUAACUUUACCCUUUUCCUUCGUCCGCAAGCUGCAACACUGAUUGGAAUCUCAAGCGAAGCUUUAUUCACCAAGAAAGAAAGAAAGAAAAAGCACGAGGAAACCACGUCGAAUACGAGAAUUCGUGACAACUCUAUCAAAUUUCAAAAAGUAAAGGACAUGAAGAAAGGCUAAUGAAAGGAGCCUGAAUGGAAUCAUGACUCAAACCUUUUGCUUCGUCUGCAAGUUGCAACACUGAUUGGAAUCUAAAGUGUAUCACGUUGAGAUAAAUCACGGUCCGUGAAUGCUAAAGAAAAUAAUUAAUUCAAGAGAAUAAAAUCACGUUAUAUGCAAACCUCUUUUCUCCAUUGAGAAUCUAUUAUUUUUUAUUUAUCACCUGUAGUCAUGCGCGAACUGUUGGUAUUUACAAAAUUAAUUUGAUUCGUUUUGUUACAAAAUAUUUGAUUUAUUAAAUAUUAAAAAGAAAUUAUUGAUAAAAAUACACAAUAAGAAGUAAGAACUAUGUAUGUAAAUAUUUGAAGUGCAAAUUUUGAAUGAUGCGCAGAACUCGAACCGACGGACGCAUGCAUCGCAGCAAUCAGGCCGGAGAGAAAGCAUUUUUGUCGUUGCCUCGUUGGGGAGAAAUUGUGCGAAAGGACAAAAUCGAGCUGAGAUGGAACGCAGAUGCAUCGGUCUCAUCGGUCGAUGCAUGGAUGUGAUGGUGGGGCCCGGUGUGCUUUGUUCUGUCCAAGGGGUAAGGCUUCCGCGUUAAGUUAUUGACGAGGCUCUUCCUCUGGGGCCUAUAAAAAUUGUAAAAUUACCAUGACGACGCCGACGACGAAGAUGACGACGACGACGACGACGACGAAGAAUAGGGGUUGGGUCCAAAUUAGAGUGGUUAAUUGUGGACUGGGCUGCAGCGGGCCCAUCUGAUCUUUUAUAGACCAGCAGGCUAGCGACUUGCUGGCCCGAGUCCCUAGUUUCAGGCUUUUGUGAAUCGAUCAUCGUGCUUGGGCUUGAGCUUGGGCUGGAGCUUGGAAAAGAAAAGCAGGGAGAUGAUGAGGAGGAUGUUGGGAGCACCGGCGCCGCAAAUGGGUCUUGUGGAUGCGGGGAAAAAGCUUCUGAGGUGUAGGGGUCGUCGUCCUGUCCUUGCACGUCGGGCCUUCACGUUCGAGGGGUGUAUCUCCGUCACCGUGUCAUGGUCCUUGAGCGUAUUUUUCAUGUUUUUAGCCGAUGCCUUCCCUUUUGUCUGGAGAGCUUUCAUUUUUAGGUUUUGGGUCGACAUUAUAGAUACCUCUUGAUUUAACAAACCGAGGUUAUGUAAAUUUAAGCGAGUUGGUGAAUGUUUCCCAUAUGCAGUUGGUAAGCCCCGAGGCGUGGUUGUGCGACUUGACCUUAGAACGGUGUGAUGUCUGGGAGAAGAAGAUAUCCAAGAGGGUGCUUCAUUUGCUUCACUCAUCUGCUUCACUUAUCUCUUUUGGAUAUGGCAUUCCUAGUGCUAUCUAAUUACUGUACUAUUUUGUGAUAAUUAGGGGAGACGUGAGGUUGUAGCGUUUUGUUGAUGGGGUCUAAUGGCCAUUGUUUGCCAGCUUUUGCCAGUUUCUGAUUAAUUCUUGGUAACUUCGAUACUUUGUUUGAGCUUUCUAUCUUGGUUAAUUUGAGGUUGAUUUUUUCUAAUGGAUUCAAAGUACUGAACUGGAUUAAGUUUCUAUCUACUUAUAGUCCAUUUCUUAUCAACUGAAGUGCCUUGCUUCAAUAUGUUUCUAGUGGAUUUCGUCACUUGCUACGGUUUCUUUUCUUCUGCUUUCAUCUGCUUGUUUGUACUUAAUCAAGCUCCACGAAUUGGUGGUACCAUGGUUAGUCGUUUGAGUUUUUUGUGUCAGGUUUUAAGUGGUGGAAGAAGGGCUUAGUAAUUUGGUUGCUCAUACAAGUUAGGUUGUUUCAUUGGAUAUAAAAUCAAUUUAUCUUAUGGAGACAAUUCCAGUCUAAGUGGGUACCGCCUCAUGUUGAUAGUUCUUGUUUUUGCAUCUGGUUCUGCUAAACAAGGAAACUAACGACUAGUUGUAGGUAUCCGGCUUGUAACCAUGAGUUUGGAUUGCUCAUCUAGGUCAUCAAAGCCCAUAGCUGGACAUGCAUGGAUAUUUAUGUCUUUGCAACCCCAUACCGCGUGACAUGGGACUACUAUUUUUUAUCUUGUGAGCACACAUUCGAGUUCAAAGAGUGGGAAGGAAAAGCUGAGUUUGAAUAUGUAAGCUGCAAUUAUCUUUUUUCUCUUCUGCCCUUGCAUGUGCAUAUUGGUGAGUUAUUACACUUGGAUUUUCCAUUAUUUCAAUUACAGGUGAAAAGCAGAGGAGUGUCAAUCUUUCUAAUGCAAGCCGGGAUGCUAGGGACCCUUCAAGCACUGUGGGAUGUGUUUUCCUUGUUUUCAAAUAUGGGGCGGGGGGAGAAAUCUAACAUUGGUUUUCUCAAGAACAUAUGGGAGCUUCAUUUGAGCAACGUCCCCAGCCUUGGGUUACAAACAUCAACAUUGAUGAUAUCCACUCUGGAGACUUCUUUGCAAUUUCGAAAGUUCGUGGGAGGUGGGGUGGUUUUGAGACUCUAGAGAAAUGGGUCAGUGGCGCAUAUGCUGGUCACACAGUUGUGUGCUUAAGGGAUUAUGAAGGAAAGCUUUGGGUUGGUGAAUCUGGACACGAUAAUGAGCAGGUAAUUUGGAAACAGAUAUGGGUUGGUUAUGCAUGUAAGUGUGUUUCUUUUUCAGUUUGAAGGGCUAAUUUUUAUAUUGACUAGUGGAGAAAGGCUUUUUGAGGAAAAGGAUUACUUUGUGAUUGUUUUUAAGCAUUUUUAUCUAUUCCUCUUUGUUCCUUUUUCUCAUACAUUGACGGAUUGCUUUCGAUGUUCGACAUUUCACCCAAUCUUUCUGCCUGUUGCUAUCUCUGCAAUUGUAAUUGUGAAGAAAAGUUUUAAACCAAUUGCAUCAACACAGUAUUAAUAUGGCUGUAAAUAUGCUAGUCUUUCACAAUAACUAUCCCCAUUGUUCCUAUAUGGGGAUAUCCAACAGACAAAUGUUCAAACAUCUCAAACACCCCCAUCAGUUGUUUGAGUUAUUAUUUCUCCACCUUCUCCUUAAUUCCCUGUGCUUAUCUGUCAUUCAUUAUUAAAGACAUUCAUACAACACUGCUUUAAUGUCCUCUGAUUAUCAAAGGGUGGUCUUGUACAUAUUAAGAAGGACAAGUAGGCUCCUUGCCAUGUUUCUGUAACAUUUUGUGAACCCUUAGGUUUUUGGGGCAUUGUAUUCCUGCGCGAUUACUUUAUAAAUGUAACUUUUGUUGAAUCAUGGACUUCUUCUCUCACAAAUAUGGUUCCCAUUGAGACUGUUCCAUUUUGCAUAUUAGGUGUGCUUUAGUCAUGCCCCUAUAUCCUUAAAUCUCCUUGCUCAUCUUAUGUUCUCUAAUACGACAGGUCUUUCCUUUUCUGUGCUCCAGUAUAAACUUUUGAUUGUAAGAGAGGAUGAGCAAGUAAACGAUGACAUGCUGCUUCAGGUUCAUGUUGAGCUGGAGCAGAUCCUAAUUAGGCUCCUACUAGAAGCUCUAUUGUAGCAUCAUCAUAUUUAUAACAUAGCAAAUACAGGGUGUCUGAACUGUUUCUACUUAACUUCAAGACCAUCUUUACACAUGACACCGCAACUUACUGAUGAUGAUUAUGGUUAGAAUUUGAUGAACUGAUGUCCUUUACUUGAGGCAGACCUUGAUUAACAAAUUUAAGGUCACAUUUGGGUUAUUGCUAGAUGCUCUGUUCCUUUGUGUUGGUAAAGGGUUCAGGUGCUGCAGAAGUCCGACAUAGUGUCUGAGAUAAUGCAAUUUUUGUUUUGUUCUUAUCAUUGCAGGGAGAAGAUGUCAUUGCUGUGCUACCAUGGGAUGAAUGGUGGGAGUUUGAGCUUAACAAAGAUGACUCAAAUCCCCACAUUGCAUUGCUUCCACUGCAUCCUGAUAUGCGAGCCAAAUUUAAUGAGACUGCUGCCUGGGAGUAUGCAGAGAGUAUGAAUGCGAAACCAUAUGGUUAUCACAACAUGCUUUUUAGCUGGAUAGACACUAUCGAUGCAAAUUAUCCAACGCCAUUGGAUGCUCAUGUGGUACAGAGAUUGUACAUGUGCAUAUGUGUUUAUAAAUUUUUUUUAUGGGUGCAUUCAGUUUGUCUUAAGACAAUCUUUCUAACACUAAGUCCUUGUGUUACUUCCAAGGUAUAUCUAUAGAUGCCUUAAGAUUCUUAGAUGCUGGAUACAAAAUAGUUUAUGCUUCUUAACCUGACUGCUAAAUAGCAAUUUACCCAUACUUUGAUAGGCCUGAAAUAUAAUGAUGCCAUGUGUCAGAUCCUAACAACACGGUCUAGUUGGAACAAGACAAUCACGCCAUGAUUUUUGAAUGAAUUCAACUGAGCAAAACAAAAGGCUGAAACCUGGACAGUGAUCUCACCAAAUAGCAGAUUAGCAUGUGACUCUAUUGAAUGCUAACAUUAUGGAGAAGAAUCUGACACUUGGUUUGACAAAUAUUCAUUUUUUUAUGGCCUUCUAUAUGAUACUAAGGCAGCAGAGUAGCAGACUUCAUUUGUCUUUUCUUAAGAGUUGCUAUCAGCCCGACUGAUGACGCAUGUAAUAUGCUUGCCAUGUGGGGUGCUUUAUUUACGUGAUGGGAGUAUGGUUCACUUGUUUUAUAGAAAGCAUUGUAUUAUUGUAGGUAGCUUCUGUUAUGACGGUAUGGAACCAAAUGCAACCAGCCUAUGCUGCGAACAUGUGGAAUGAAGCAAUCAACAAGCGACUAGGAACAGAGGUACCAUCCCAUUCAGUUGGCAAUUGUCCGUGUGAUUUUAUGCAUUUUGUUUUGCACACUUAGGUGUAACUGAAUCUAAUGUCUCAUGAAUGACAUUCAGUUAACACAUAUUAUAUGGUUGUAAUUACACUUACUUUACUUUAUGGCUACCUUACGAUUGGGUUGCAUACAGGGCUCGGAUCUUCCUGAUCUAUUAGUGGAAACUGAAAUGAGGNNNNNNNNNNNNNNNNNNNNNNNNNNNNNNNNNNNNNNNNNNNNNNNNNNNNNNNNNNNNNNNNNNNNNNNNNNNNNNNNNNNNNNNNNNNNNNNNNNNNNNNNNNNNNNNNGACUCUUUGAUCCAAUUUCUAGCUCCAUUCAAGUUACAGAGUUCACUGUAAGUGCAAUCUAAUUGACCCUAGUUGGGUUAUCUUUCUGACACUAAUUGCUUGAACUUACUAUCUUGAGAUGGAUAUCGCUUUCUUGUUGCUUUCUUCAAAGAUGGAGAGACCUAUAAUCUAGUUUGCCCUUCAAAGCAUGACUUUUUGUCAUGAGGAGUCUCAUUGGGCAUUUUGAGAAUGGCAUUGUUUUUUAUGCAGAUAAAAGAUGCUUACUCACUAAAGUUCUUAGAGAAUAAUUCAAGCCGCUUGCCUAAGUGGUGCAAUGAUGGGGACAAUGUCGAGCUUCCAUUCUGUCAAAUACGAGGUAGGUAUCGAAUGGAGCUGCCAGGAUACAAUACAAUGGACCCAUGCCCUCAUAUGAAUGAGAGGUGUCCAUCUUUGCCCCCAAAAUAUUCCAGGCCAUCCGAUUGCUAGAAAACAUUUCCUAUGAUGUGAAUAGAACUUUGUAUAUUGGUAGGUGAUUCCAUCAGAUUGUAGCUUAUGAUUGCAUAUUUUUGUAGAAUGUCUAGUAAAUAAAGACCCUUAAGGUUGCACAGAUUCAGAAAUUUACUUCUUCAAAUUCCAUUUAUUUGAUAUGAACCCACAUAACAUGUAUAAAAUUUUUGCAUAAUGUUAUAUUAACACUUCAUAUAAAUCAAUCGUUGUAUUAUUGUUUAGUCUUUCAUUAUGGUCUAUUUUUAUGAAUGUUCUUGCAAUAUAAGUAUUUAUAGUAGGACUAUCUAAAAUUUGAUGUUUACUUUCUAUCUUAUGACAGAUAGAGAUGCUCUUUUGUUUAAGGGUUUUCUUAUCUUCCUUCUCUAAAUGUUUAUGCAUUUUAUGUGUAAAAUGAAAUGAUAUGGUAUCGGAAGUGUUUAAUACACAUUAAAACAAUUAGUACUUAUUUUUAAUUUGUAUUACCUGGUAAAUGUUGUUAAUAUAAGAGCCAUUUUUUCUGUCAUUUUUUUUUCAAUUUAUUCAAAUACAUGUUUACUUGUUUUGCAGCGAAAUCAUGUAUGUUAAUAUGCACAUUGGCAUAAACUAAUCGAAAAAAAAAUAGAUAUGGCACCACAUGGUUUGAAUGAUGUUAUUGGGUAAUUGCUAAAAGAAGAACCAAUAAAUGAAAAAAAAAAUUAAACAAAAAGAUUUCAGUGAUGAAUUUAUACUGUUAUUGUCUCUUAUUCCAAGUUAUAGAAAAAAAAAAAAAACAGAUUAUAUAAACUAAUAGUAGCAUAUUGUUCGGGUAGAUUAGUUGAUAAAAUAAGUAACAUAUUUAUUAUUAAGUAUAAGAGCAACAUAAGUGCCAAACACAACAUUUUAACUUAAUCCCUAGAUAGUGAAGUUUGUGAUGUUAACCGCUCUGUCAUGGCAAUAACCAUACCACAAUUCGAGGACUAGUCGGUGACAAAGGAGCAGCAAANNNNNNNNNNNNNNNNNNNNNNNNNNNNNNNNNNNNNNNNNNNNNNNNNNNNNNNNNNNNNNNNNNNNNNNNNNNNNNNNNNNNNNNNNNNNNNNNNNNNNNNNNNNNNNNNNNNNNNNNNNNNNNNNNNNNNNNNNNNNNNNNNNNNNNNNNNNNNNNNNNNNNNNNNNNNNNNNNNNNNNNNNNNNNNNNNNNNNNNNNNNNNNNNNNNNNNNNNNNNNNNNNNNNNNNNNNNNNNNNNNNNNNNNNNNNNNNNNNNNNNNNNNNNNNNNNNNNNNNNNNNNNNNNNNNNNNNNNNNNNNAUCCACCAUUUCUAAACCCAUUCAUCAAUAAGGAAGCCAAUCCGCAUCUUAUGAGUUAGGAUAUCCAUAUUUCAAUAUAAAACAGAAUGAGAACAAUUAUUUCAUAUUUGAUGUUGAAGCAUUUGUCAGAAGCACUGUACUCAUUGCAACGUAUGUCCAGAUAUUAUCUUUAUAUCACGUCGUUAUCAAUUUACAAGUAAAGAUUGCGUGCUCCAUCAUAUAUUAUAUAAAUCUUUUGUAUAUCUUCUUUAAUGUAUAGCGUUACUCUCAAGCAAAUAACAGCAUCCACCAUUUCUAAACCCAUUCAUCAAUGAGGAAGCCAAUCCGCAUCUUAUGAGUUAGGAUAUCCGUAUUUCAAUAUAAAACAGAAUGAGAACAAUUAUUUCAUAUUUGAUGUUGAAGCAUUUGUCAGAAGCACUACACUCAUUGCAACAAAAGUUUUAAGUGAAUUAUAUUUUUAUAAGGAUAAAUUUCACAAUAAUAUCUACACAAGUUAAAUUUAAUAAAAUGAUGUUCUCAUUUAUAAGAUUUAAAAAAAAAAGCUCUUCACAAUUUUUUUAUGCAUAAACAAGUAAUCGAAUUUGUAUGCUCCUCAUCAUAACUCAUGACAUAAAUAUGAUGGACAACGUGAAAAAGAACUAUAAUUCUGUGAAAUUUCUCUUUCCGAUAAAACAAAUUUAUAUGGUAAUAAUAUCUAUCAAUAAAUAAAUAAAUAAAUAAAUAAAUAAACAUAGUGCCUUUAAUAUACCUGGAAAAUCUACAACAAACAAAAGCUAAAUAUAUAAGAUUAUUAAUUAUGGUAAGUAGAUAUAUAGAAAAAAUUUUGAAAAAAAGAAGAAGAGGAAAGUAGAUAAGUUGGGAUCACCAAUAAUUGAAUGAUAGAGGGUAACUUGAUCUUUUUGGUAAAAAUUGGGUGGAUUUAGUUAUAGGGGCGGUGGUCAGCGACUGCCUAUCAAGAAGGAGGAAGAAGAAGAGAAAAAGAAAAAGAAAAAAUAUAAUAAAAUCAUUAAAAAAUUAAAAGAAAUAAAAAAAUUUAAGAAUAUUACCAAAUGCAUUUCUAUCUUGGAAAUAUAAUCAAGUAUGUUUUUUUCUUAGAAAUUGUUCUCGAAAAUAUAAUUAAAAAAUCAUUGUUAAUAAAAAAUUAUUUCUAGAAAUAGAAUCGUUAUCAAACACGUCUUAAGUACAAAGAAGAAAAAAAGUCUCCAUCUUUUCUUUAUCAUUUUUUUUUGUUUUAAAAUGCGUGUGUGAGAGAGAGACUUGGAAUUGGUCAAAGUCUUGAAUCCUGAUCAAACAUUACUGUUGAAUGGUCCAUGUAUGCUUAUUUUACGGCACUGUACUUUAUUCAGGCAAGUCAAUUUUCUGCCUACUCAUCCUCGUCUUCUUUCAAUUUGUUCUUCCCCCGGUUUCAAGCGGAGGACUUCUAGAAACCAACCAAAUUUCUACAAUAUGCUACGUUUCGAUCCUCAACCACCGUAUCAACUAUUCAUGUAUAUUCUCAGUAAAAAGAAAAUUAAAGCACAUGCAUAUGUUUACCAUAAGAGAAUUCAUAGAAGGUUAUUGUCUUAUAGCUAUGUCCACCCAUAUAUAAUUAGGUCAUUCAACCCGAUAUAACUUGUUUCGCAUAUAAUUCCUUCAAAUAUACUUGUCUAGAGUGCGCAUAUAUUUGAUUUGGCUGUCAAUUUUUGCAUGAAUAUGAUGAUAAUCGAAAAACGUUAAUCAUAUAUAUCAAUAAAAAAAACACAUAACCUGAGAAAGAGAUCCCGAAUGAGGACGUUUUGACUAUGGAUCCCCUUCUAAUUGAACAAAUUUGAUCAAUUAGAAGCGAAUUUGAUCUAGGUGUGAACUUUCCAAACAAAUCUUAACUGUGCAUCGUUUUGUUUUCUACUAUGCUUUGGCAAAUAAUUUUCCCUACGAAUGAGAACGUACAGCUGAAAGAAGGAAACAAGUAAGUGGAAGUAGAGGGGCAACUCCCUCUGCAGCUCGGAGUACUUGAAGAUGAUAGAUACAUGAAGCGGAAGAGAUUCCCCUUCAAAUUCCAUCGAUUUCGGGAGCAUAGAAUCGUCCACGAUCAAAGGAAACAGAUUCAUUUCAGUAACUUGAUAAUGGCUUGUUGUGCGUCACUGUCCAGGGAAAGUCCUGUCCUUGCACCGGGAUGAUUAAGAAGAGAUGACUGGGGAAAAGAGAACCCAAUGCAUUUGAAAAUGGAAAUUUAGAAAGUUGCAUCCUGUGCCUCUGAACUUGCAUUUCGUUCCCAUUUUCCCAUCACAACGUGACAAACACGUGAAUGUAAACGGGGUGACCAUUUGCCCUCAUUCAAAAUGAGCAUUAAGCAAUAUACCUAAUAGAUAAAGUUACGACCACUAACCCUGAAUUGUAUUUUAAUCUAUUUGAAGAGAUCAUGGGAAUCUUUCAAAGAGUGAACUGAAAAGUAGUAACUAUGACUGAAUAUAAAAGUUUAGGGAAAAAUUCUUGGAUGUGAUUAUUAAUUAAAAUGAACAGCAAGUUUUCUGAACUAUUUAAAUAUAUGAUUGAUUUUGUGACUUGGCUAAUUAGGACUAUUGAUCAUAUUCUCCCCCAAUUGAAUGUGCAACAUUUUAGCGAAAGUUGAAAAUCAGUAUAUUUUGACAAGGGAAAACUACUAGAAUGUACACUAACAGAGUUUCAAAAAUGCAAAGCUCACUUCAUACGCUCUCUCAACUUCUGCAUUGUCCAUUCGCUAAAGACCAAUUUACCUAAACUUAUACAUGUACUUGUUAUUUGGCAUGUGCAUAAAAUUAUUUAGGAGCAAUGUAUAAUAUGCUAAAUUUGUGUUUUCCCAAUUACGAGUCUAGUUCAUAUGUAGUUUGGAUCUUUAGAUCAAAAAGAAAAAAAAAAUUAUCGCAAUAAUGAUUUAAAGACUGUAAUAACUCAGUAACUUUUAAGUUAAAUUACUGUUACAAGUUCAAAGAUUUCAUUCGCACCUUCAUAAAAGUUAACAAUCAAAUCCACUGAUAACUUAACCCAUUAUAAAAUCCAUUUGUAACCUCACAUUCUCGUGAUUCCUUUUUAAUAAGAGUGCAAUUUUUUUGAUCCAAUCUAUUACACAACACAACUCUGAAUUUCCCUAUAUGAAUUUAAAUGGGAAUUCUUAUGAGAGUUUUGGAUGCGGCCCGCAGUCUGAAGUCCUUUCCGUUCCCUUCUUCUGGUUGGCCGAAAGGAGGCCACUUUCAGCACGACAUUUUAUGACCGAAUCUUGAAAACUAAUGAGUUCUUGCCUAGGUUUUUGUUUAUCUUUUUCUUGACACGUUGGUGCAGCUCCUGUUUAAACAAGAAUAUUUAGUUAAUUGAUGACUGAGUUUAGCGAACUUGAUGGUCGAUGAUGGUGCUCAAUAAUGCUACACUUUGGAAAACUAAACACCAAUUAGUUGUCUUCAUUAAGGGUUUGGGCAGAGGACACCAAGAAAAAAAAAAAACCAAAAAGCAGCGAAAGAAGAACAAGUUUUACGAAAGAAAUGGAGGAGAUAAGGGACAAAAGAGAAAAGGCGCCUUAUGGUUAGGAUGUUGAUUGAAAAAUGAGGAAAAGAAGAAAAGAAAAUGAAAUCGAAGAGAGAAUCCAAUGCAACCAAGAGAUAUCGCUCGGCCUGAGUGGCGCCUCCGACUUUGCAAAAUUUCGAGGAGUUUCUUUUUCUGUUACACUUUAUGUCAUUCAUACCAUAUAUUUCCGCUAUGCAUUAGGACAGAGGAAUCACUUUGAUUGUAGAAAAAAUAAUAGUAAAAAGGAAGUAUGUUUACUUUGCAUUUCAUGCAGAAAUUGCUAUUUUCACCUAAGUGAAGACCAACCUAAAAAAUUGAACAAGUAAGGGCAGGUAAUAUAAGGUCCAUUAAAAUCUCGUAAACGAAUAGCUUGAGAUGUUUUCAAUAGAUUUCAUCGGCUAUUUGCAUUUUAUAGACACGGGAUGCAAAAUUAUUCUAAAAAUGUUCCACAAAAUGACAAACGACCUAAGGGGAAAAUACGGCAAACUUGCAGCAUCACUUGGGAGCAAAACCAUCAGGGGAAAGACUUUUCCCCUGCUGCCCUGACAAGAGCAUGAUCGCAACAAUCGACGUGAAUUCUCCUCUCGGAAGCUGCAAAUCUUGGAUCAUCAUGAUCAUUUACAUUUGCAAGCAGACCACAAUGGCUUUUCUUGAUUCACUGGAAUUUGGUGACAAUGAUGAGGGCCAUUUUGGUCAGAGAAAUCUCAUGUAUUUAUUAAGAUCAACAACAUUGUUGAAGGGACGAAUCAAGAGCCUCCAAUGCCCUAAUUUAGAUACUUCUCCCUUCACUACCGCAAUCCUAAGACAUUGCAGGUUUGCCAAACUUGCCAAUGUUCCUCCCAUCAAACCGACAAAGUAUUUGCUUUCAAAAUGAGUUUAGGAAUUCUGAUGCACUAUAGCUUCGGUUUUCUUUUUCUUUUUGCUUUUCUGGGUUUUCUUGCUUGUGUUUCGUGAUCUGUUGCUUAUUUGGAGCCAAAUCAAUACCAUUCAAUUUUGAUGAAUAAAUGUAUUUUUUACAAAAUGUUUCUAGUAAGAAUGCACUCUGCAGUAAAAGGUUUAGAUUAAGCAACACUGACAAAUUGCCUAGAUCAGUAUGCUGCCAAUCAGACCAUGCAAGAGAAGCAUGCGCCUUAUUUUGUCAAUAUACAAGUAUUUCAUCACAUCUAUGGACCGUGUGAUCCUUUUGGUUUAGUAAAUAUGGAACUUUACAGGACAACAUCCCUUUUGCGACAAUGUACAACACUUGAAAUAAGUCAGUCAUUUGCAACUUCAAAUUUACAGGAAAGCAUGCUCAAGUAGCAUAGCAGCAGAAGGCCUCUCCGCAGACUGUCUUCGAAAGCAGCACUGUAGGAAAUCCUUUCCCUCGGCAGAUAACGUCUCAGGUAUUGCUGGAGAACUUUGCAUCACCUUAAAUAUAGCUUGAGCCUGCAUAAAUGAUUCAAUAUUAAACAGAAACUCAUGACACAGAUCACACACCAAAUGGUAAUGCACAUGGCCCGAACUUCCAAUAGAAAACGAAGACACAGAUUUGCUUGGAAGCGUAUUACCUGGAUGGACAGAGAAAAUGAAAAAAAAAACAGUGCAGCGUACUUACCCACUCAUAGUCCAAGAAGGUUUCCCAGUAAUCAUUUCGGUAAUAGUACAUCCCAAACUCCACAUGUCGGCAGUAUGAUCGAGAUCCGUGCUGUAGUUAUUCACCAUCAAGGAUUGUAUGAGUUGCAAGAUAUAUUAUUCCAUCAUUCCACCAUGACUAAAAAAGAAUGCCGCAUUAACAUUAACAAAAGCAGAGUACCUCUAGAGCCAUCCAGUUUAGACUUCCCUUCAAAGAGCGGUAAGCUGCUUGUCCGAUUAGCUAAGAAAUGGUACGGCAUUAGUAAAGCUGAAGACUACUUGGUGUGUUCAUGGAACACUGGAUAAAACAGCAACAUCUUUAUAGACAUAGAUACAUCAGAUCAAUAACUGAAUCAACCACUUUCAACUUAUGUUACUCAUUACUGAGAAAAAGGACCAUGAAGCAAUUAACAUGGCCUCAGCAAAUGCUUGAGAACUCAAAAAGAGAGCAACAACACCUUGGCUACUGUCCAGAAUUCCAUUCUAUGGAUCAAUACACUUUUAUUUACCCCAUGUUAGGAAGGAGGCCCUUACUUACUCUGACUAAUUUCUAUCCUUAUUUUGGAAUGUAGAGGAGCAGCAAAAAUAACACCACAACCUUUUGCCAAAGGUAUUGCGUUCUAUUCACUGCCGCUCUUAGGAACUUUUUAGAAACCAAUAGAAAGGGAAAGAACUCUCAUUAGGUUUCGGCAUCUAUUUACAGCAAGAAAUCUUUUCCCGUUUAUGCAACAUGGUAACUUUACCCGAAACAAUGGGAAAAAAAGUGAAGAAAAUUACUUAAUAACAUUUCAUCCGUCUAUGAUAGAUUUAUGCACAUAUGAAAUGCCACAAACCAAUAACGAGAAGUACGCAGUCACCCUGGGUCCCUGACUUCACAUUCGAAUGCACCACAGAUCAGCAAGGAAUUUCUACAUGCAUUGAGUAGUCUUGCAAUGAAGAGGAAAAAACUCACACGUUUAGCAAUUCCAAAGUCAGCAAGUUUGAAUAUCCCAAAUGCAUCCACAAAUAAAUUAGCUCCCUUUAAAUCCCUGCACAAGCCAAAUAGUUUUAACAGGUCUGUAGGCACAAAGAAGAAGGUCCAAUCAUCCUAAUCCAAUAUGCAAGUCAUCUCAUGAUGCUUGAUCAAUGGUUUAGAAUUACCCAUGUAUGGAGUUGGUAACAUGCAGGGAAGCCAAUCCAGCCACAAUAUAGCGGGUAAAGUGUGGACAACCAAUUAUGUUAGGGUCCCAAGAUGCUCUGGAUAUACUUGUCUGUUGAAUCGUGAUGUGCAUAUUCUAGAUAUAUGUAAAGCCAAUCCUCUAUUGAAUCGUGAUGUGCAUAUUCUAGAUAUAUGUAAAGCCAAUCCUCAACCUGAGUAUGUAUGAAUGUGUUGAGAUUUUGGUGAGUCAAAUAAUGAACGCCCAUUGAGCUGGAACACAAAUGCUGUGGAAAUUUGGCUCACAAAUUCCAUGACAUAAUACUGCAGAAUGUUCGGAUGUCUAUGCUGGCUAAGUACCUGAAUUUCCUGUAGUAACAAAGCAAUCAAUUACCUGAAAAUGGUGAAAGAAAGUUUCCUCUCAGCAUAUUUAGAUCAGAUGAGAGGAUAGAUUGGAUCCCAGAGCACAACAAAAACAUUACCUGCUUUAACUGCUUGAUGCACUCAGCUUAAUUUGGAUCAUUAGGCGAUAGCUCAAACUCCUUCCAUGCACAUAGAGAUCUGGUUUUUCUGUCACUUAAUAUGUCAAAGUUUAGCUGACUGGAUAUCUAAAAAAAUGGAACAUGUCUAAGAUUCCCAGAGCUAACUUACUGGUUGCUUGCAAUGUAAACACUUUCAAGAGUGCCAUGUCCUAUAAGCCGGCCUUUUUUCCAUUGACUUGCUAGUGGUUGCUGCUCUGAUUUUUAGUAACUUGAGCUGAAGCUGUAGGGUUCUCCAUCUAUCCACAACUUCGAGGCAUUUAAAGAGGGGUGAUAGCUGUGCAAUUCUUUCUUCUUCGUCUUUUUACAUUUCUAACUCAAAGAAUGACAAAGGGUGAAAAGAAAAAAUCCCGGUCUAUGUUUCCAGAUAUGAUACAACUACUAAGCAUAUCAAGUAUUCUAUACCUGAUAGUUUAAUGUCGAAAGAAGUUUAAUCGGGGUCAUGUUGCUCUGAUCCAAUAGAGCAAAGCAGCAUAUUUGACACAAUAUUUUCGAUCGACAAGUUAAAGCGAUAUCAUAUUUGAAAUCCUUUCUAAACAAAAACAAAUUAAAGGUAGUGCUGCACAAAAUUCUCUUUUUUUAGAUGGCUAAUAUCCCAAGAAGAUCAAUCCAUAAUAAUAAAUCGUCCUUUCAGUUAUAAGAAAAGAUAGGAAACAAAAUUUGCUAUUCCCUAGGCUUCCCAAAUCUUCAGAUCCGUUGCUUUUUGACUAACCUAAAAUAUUGACCAAAUUGACUCAUUUCCAGUAGUCAAUAAAACAUGCGAUCGCAUUCAAAAUAGACAAAGCAUGGCCACAAAAAAAAAGUCAAAUUCAUAUGGCAACCUGAGUAGUCGAGCAGCCGGGCUUUCUUGCAGCCCUGAGUCAAAGGAGACCCUCUACCUUCCAAUUCUGCAAAAGGCCACUGUUAGAGCUACAUGACUAUAUAGACGGAAAAGCUACAUCUUUGUAACGACUUUUAAGAAGUGAAGCAAUUGUAUAUCCGUUAAACUCAUUAACCUAUAGCAUUUGGAGGACACGGUCUCGCCUUAUGAGAAGAAAUUCCAUCAUUGGCGUGUUUCCCUUUUCGGAGAUAAGGUUGAAGAAUAGUCUGAGCAUUGGGAUGAUUCCACAUCAGUGUCUUCCACUUUUCCUCAUCUUCCACCCAAAUAUACGGAAGCUCCUCAAUUUCACACAAUCGCAGUUGCAAAGGAAUCCCCUUCAGUUUUGGGCAUUCGUCCACAGUCAAAUAUGUCAUGGAAUCACAGCUUAUUGGUACUUCACAUAUGCUCUUCAGCUGGGGUAGAUCGUGUA
rnacentral:lncRNA from 1 species